rnacentral:lncRNA from 1 species
ACACACACAUUGUUUCCAAAAGGGUAAGAAAUAGAUCCAAAUUAUAAUUUAGAAGUCAAGUUUUCAAUAACAAGAGGAAUUUCACCUGAAACAUAUAAUUAAAUCAGUAAAUAUUUGUAAAUAUUUUCCUGGCAAACCCUUAAUUUAUUUGUUGAGCAUAUUAGUGUCGGUUUGAUUUACCUAUUUUGAAAUAUGCAAAUUUUGUUUAGUUUUAUAGUAACUAUUUUAAUAAUAUAUACCUGAUAAUAUAUAACAACUAAAAAGGGAUUGCAUAAAUGUAACAACAAAAAGAAAAAAAAAUGAUAUUAUACUUGAUAAGUUGUUAUUAGAAAGUUCAAUAACUUUUCGAGAGUGGUCAAGUUUCUAUCAGUUGAUGGGAUUUUACUUAAAAAUAUAAAUAAAUAGGUCAAAAUAUCUUGGUGCUAGAAUUAUGUUAUCUUUUUUUAAAUUUAUGUUUAAUGUAGAUAGCUAACUUAGAAGUAACCCAGGAUAUAGAGAAAUUUUAAUAAAUACUCAAACACGUUGAACUUUUGACAAAUUGUAACUCAAAUUUGUUUCUUAUACUCAGAAUAGUAUAAGAAAAAAAAAAAGAAAACAAUAAUAUUAUACUUGAUAAGUUGUUAUUAGAAAGAUCAAUAGCUUUGAGGGUAGUCAAGUUUCCAAUUAUUAAUGAGAUUUCACCUAAAAAUAUAAGUAAGUUAGUCAAAGAAAAAGUAAAGCAUCUAAAAAUAUAUGUCUUAUACCAAGAUUUUUAUAUUUUUCUAAUUUCAAAGUAGUUAAAGGAUUAAAUGUGUAAUUAAUUGUUUUUAAGCCAAAAGUAUUAUAGUAAGAAGUUAAAAGAUUGUAAUUAAUUAGUAUUAUAUAGCACCUGGUGGAGGAGGGAAAAUACCAAAAUGAGCUUUAUAAAAUGCAGUUUUUCGGGAAUAUAGAAAGUUGACAUCAAUGAGUCUCUCAACUCCACAAGUUUUUGCGCAAAAAUAAAAACUAACAAUAUUUAAGCACAUGAAAUGCAAUGAAAACAAACCACAGUUCUCAAGAAACAAAGUAAAUGCAACCUCAAAAAAGUUUGGUUCUGCUAGCACUGAACUUAGUGGUUAUUGUUUAAAGUCCCGCUUCACUACUUAAAACAACUGUUGAUGGAAAUUAGAUAAAAAAGAAUGAAACAAUAACCAGGCAUUGUUUACCUUUGAAAUGGUUGAUACCAAGACCCAAAGUCUUGAGCAAAGUCAAAUUUUCAAUUUCUGUAGGUAUACUUCCCUCCAAGGAGUUGUUAAACAAUGAUAAAAACUUCAGCUCUUUGCACUUGAAUAAACUAUUUGGAAUUCUACCGGUCAUUUGAUUCCCACCCAAGCUCAACCUUUCUAGUUUUGACAAAUUGCCUAGAGUAGAUGGGAUAACACCAAUGAAGUUGUUAAGGUAUAGAGACAAUGUUUGAAGUUUACUGAAGCAACCAAACCAUAAUGGGAUUUCUCCAUUGAAGCUAUUGUUACCAAAGUCCAAAUAUUUCAUCCGACGCAAAUUAGUUAACUCAAUGGGUAAAGAGCCUAGGAAACUAUUUUGAUGAAUAUCGAGCCAAGCAAGGAAAGAUAGAUUUCCCAAUUGAGAAGAAAUGGUGCCUGUGAGAUCCAUGCUUGACAAAUUCAGAGCAGUGACCCUAUAGUGUUUAGAUCCACAUGUGACACCAAUCCAGCUACAAAAAGAGGUAGAAGUAGACCAAUUGGUUGUCAAGAAAUUGUGAGGAUCAUGAGUUAUAUGAGAUUUGAGUGCUAGAAGAGCAGAUUGAUCAACGGUGAUGCUAGAAUAUUUUGCAGACAAAAUAACCCCAAAGGUUGCAAAUAGCAGCCCAAACAUAAACGGAGGGAGGAAGCUUGGUUUUUCCAUAAGGUUGGAUAUGGGUGUAAGGCGCAUCAUAAGGAGAGAAACAACCGAGUUUAAUACUUUCCUAAUGUUAGUUCAAUACUUCGUAAGUUUAUAGUAAUUCCAACUGCGAGAUGAUCACAAAUUCCAAUUGGCAAUUGGAAAAUGAGAGAGAUGUUUAUGUUUUUUUUCAUUUUCAAAUAUAAUAAAGGCGAUUGACGGAAGGGAAAACUUUCUCCUUGGUUUAAAAGUCCAGAUAUCAAUUACAAGACAUAAAAAACAAAGACAAGUAUUGGGGGCCAGCAGAUUGAAACUAUUUGAUUUAGUCUAAUUAUUACAACAUGUUUGAUUGAAACUAUUUUGUAAUCUCUGAUUAAAUAAAUAUUGAGAGGAAAAGACUUAAAUUUUCUCUUUUUCCUUAGCUAUAAAAUUGAAUUUCUAGUUUGGAUUACAUGCCUGUGGUUCUCAUCUCUAGUUAUGUAAGGCUGAGUCGCUGUUAGUUGGAUGGACCUACAUUGAAAACAUGAAUUGAAAAGAUAAGUAAUAGAAACUUUGUCAUAUUUAGACAAAUAUCAACCACAUCUUUAUUAACUUUUUACAUUUCUUAUCCCAAUAUUCAAAACCAAACAAUAAUACAUUCAUUGCAUGUUCCUUUUCUCAAAUAUCAUUUUAUUUAAUGUCAUUAGAGAUUACUCUAUUCUUUUUUCUUUGUGAUAAAAAUUAUUAAACAAAAAAUUAUUACAAAUGUUGUAGGAAUCUAUCCUUUGAGAUUGUUUGAUUCUAGUUUUUGACAAAUUGCUCAAAGUUGAUGGGAUAAAACAAGUGAGUUUGAUGGUGUUCGGAAACAAGCUUCGAUGUUUAGUGAGAUCAAAAUUUGUUGGCAAAUUAAAUUACUCAAUGGGUAAAUAUCCAUGGAAGUUAUUGUCCUAGAGUGGGGCUGGACUUGGAUGGUGUCUGCGAGACUCAUUUUUAUCAAAUUCAAAGUGGCAGUAAUAUCGAUUAAAUUACAACUAGAAAUAAAAACAGAUCAGUUGAUUUGGUUGCGAAGAGGUUUCGAGGGUCAUGCUUUUUCCCUAUCAUCCCAAGUACUACUAAGUCAGUACCCCUCUAAAUGGGGAGAACUUUGUUGAUGUUUCAUUGGUUUAAAAGUCCAAAUACCAAUUGUAAGGCAUCAAAACAACAAAGACAAGUACUGGGGACCAGCUGAAGAGAGUGAGUGACAUGGUUUGAUUUAGAGUCUCAUGAUUGCAACAUGUUUGAUCGUGAUAUGAUUGUAAUGUCUAACAAAAUAUAUACCAAGAUGGAAAGACCUUUUUUUCUAUAAAAUCUAAAUUUCUAGUUUUGAAGACAUGCCUUUGGUUCUCAUCUCUUACUUGUUCUGCACGGCUAAGUCGCAGUUGCUUCGAUGGGCCCAUGUUGGAAACAUGAAUUGAAAAGAAUGCCAACAAGUAAUAGAAACUUUGUAAUAUUCAGAUAGAUCAAAUUAAGCUUUGUGUGGACCAUUCUCAAAUAAUUACAUUGGCAAUCCUGAAUUUAACAAUCUAACCAUUGAAUUUAACAAUAUAAUUAUAGUUGCCUUGCAUUUAAAAUUUUGAAUUAAUCUAAUACCUCUAUCAUUUCAGUCCAAAACUUUGUUUAUUUCAUAUAUAUUAUAUAAAGCAAAGUUUAUAAGUGUUUUUGAAUGUAACUAAGUAAGCAUGUUUCUUCUACCGCGAGUCAAAAGUUUGCAGCAAUUUUAGCCAUUUCGUACACUAUAUAUCAUUAUAUUGUUGCCUUAAUUAAAGCAGAAUAAUAUAUAUUUCCAUAAGUUUUUAAAAAUAUCAUAAAUUUCCAUUGGGAAUUUUGUUGGUGUAUUCUAAAUUACAUAAUAAUCAGAAAUAUGAAAGAUUUCCAUAUGUUCUCGCCUUUUAGUAUAAGUAAUAAUAAAAUUUUUUAUUGAUUCACCUUUACUACGAAAAUAAAAAUAAAAAAUUACAAAAUUAGUACCGUAAAUCAAUUUUGGUUUAAAAUUUUAAACCUACAUAUUAAAGAUCUCCUAACAAUUUUACUUUAUAAGAGCACAGUUUAUGGAAUAAUUUUUAUAUCCAAUCAAAGGCUUUUCAUUCUUAUAAAUAUCGGAAAUUAUAAAGCUAAUCUUUAUGUAGAAAAUCUGAUAGGUAAGUAGCAUAGCAUCCAUCUAAUAGAUUAAGAAAUCUGUAGUCUAAUAAAUUAUAAUCUUCUUUGAUCUCGUUUGCAUAACAUCCAUCUAAUUUUGAGAAAUCUUCUCUUUUAAUUUCAAAAUUGUAAUUAAAUUGUUUUAUCCAAUUAAAUAAUAAUAAUAUAUGGCUAUGGUGAUGUCUAUAAUUUCAUAAAAUAAUUACUCUAAUCUAAUCCAUGUCUCUUCCUUUCUGGUUUAUCAAGCAAUAAAUUCCCUUCGAUUUCACCUAACUUGUUAUAAUAAUGUUUUUUUAAAUUAGUUAAAGAAGAAAAUUUGUGAUGUUAUACUUAAAUUGAAUCUUUCGAUUUAAUAGGAAUUGAUUUUAAAUUAGAAAGAUCAAAAUUUAAGUAGAAUCACUUAGGGAUGCCAGUGGGGCAAGUUUUGCGGGUCCCGCCCUACUUUGUGCUCAAUUGACAGUGAGAUGAGGACAAAAAUUAAACCCGUUGUGAGUGGUGGGGUAGGCGUGGGUAUGACCUUGUACCUACCUCAUCCCCACCUACCCCAUCCCAUCCCGCAUAAUAUAAUAAGCAUAUUUAAAAAAUAAACAUUUAUAAAAAAAUAAUUUAAUAAUUAUUUUAAUAGUAUUUAAUUUUUGCUCUUGUGUUGCAUUUGAAGAUAUUUAUGAUGUAUUUGAGAUAUUGUUUAUAUUUUGAUAUUAUGUAAUGACUUUAUUUUUUUGAAUUUUUAAACUUGAAAUUAUAUCUUAUUUAUCAAUUAAAGGUCGUAACGACUUACCUUUUUUUUUAAAUAGUGACAGUUAAAAUAAUGUCACAUAUGUGGUGGGAGUUUGGAGGAUAAAUAUUUUAUACUUUUGUCACAAAAAGUUUGUUUAUUUUAUUUAACUGAUACUUAUAAAUAUAUUAUACGAAGUGGGUCAUAAGGCAAGUAUAGUGGGGAUUAGGUGGGUUUGAGACCCACAUGGGUGGUAGGGAGAGGAUGAAUUUGAGUUUUGUACCCGUAACGGGUCACAGGACAGAGAUGGGAUGAAAAUUCUUGGUGGGGAUGGGGAUGAAAACGGUGUAAGUCAAAGUCUGUGUAAUUUGUAGUAAUGCAUACCAAGAAGGAAUCUUCUACCCUCUCUCUUUCUAUUUCUGUGUAUUGUUUGUUUGGAUGUGUUUUGUCUUGUGUUGAUCUGAAUUGUUUUGUUCCAGUGAUGUUAAGCCUUUGACAAGUAAUACGAGUAAUAUUGGGCUCCAACCACAAUACACAGUAAAGAAUGAAAGCCAGAAAAAUGCAAGACUGCAUGUCUACACCAUUACUUAUUUUUUUCUUUGUGAUAAAAUUUAUUAACAACAAAUGCUAUGCUUGUUUUAUGGAUAAAGUAAUGUUUAUUUAAUAUAUCCCCAACAAUAUCAGUCUGAUUUACUGAAAAAUAUAUAUAUCCACAACAAUGAAUUAAUUUCCAGUUAUACGUCUCAUCUAAUAAUAAUAUUUUCACUAUUACCAAAUAUUUUCUCUUUUAAUAAUUGUUUAGAAAAUGGCUUUCAAGAUGAAUUUAGACAAAUAGUUUAGUAGUAGAUUAAAUUCUUUGGAUAUAUUAACCAAAUCCACACCAGCAAAUUUUACCUAUGAUGGAUUCAAUUGAACAUAUAAAAUAAUAACUUGUUAGAAGGGUUGAUUAAUUGGAAGGCAUAGAAUGGGUUAAUCAAUUAGAAAACUAGAAUUUAUAAAACUUAAGGAUAUAAUUUUAUAUUGGAAUUGUUCAGUGGGAUGAAGAAUAAAUUUCAAGUAGCAAAAGGAUGGAGCCAUCUCUCUCCCUUCCAUAUUAAGUCUUUUGCAAAUCUUCAAGAAUAGGCUGAUGUACAAUUAUUUUACUUUGAAUGCAUGAGUCUAUGGUAAGGAAGGGGUCCCAGCAGUAAGGUAAAAUGGUAAGUGUUGAAACAGAAAAUAAAAGAAAUGUAACCGCUGUGGGUCUUAUGGAAUUAGUAUGAUUUAACGAUGACGGGGUCUUAUGGUGCUUUGGAAUCAUCGUUUUUUUUAAGAUGAUUUGAUUUGGUGAAAGGGAGAGGGCCCGAUGUGGGUAUUUGGUUGCAUAUUUAUUGUUGUACAAAAAUCUUGCUAGUUGGAGGAUCAACUUUCCUUUUAAUUUUAAUAAAAAUUAUAUAUGAACUUGUGAACUUGUAUUCAAAUUGAAUCUUUCCAUUGAGUCGCUCUUGCAAGUCAAUGCAGCAAUCAUGAACCAUAUUAUUAAUACCCAGCUAAGAUCGUGGACGUUUUCUACUCUAUAUCUUUCUCCUAAAUGCUUCAUUCCAGUGAAAAGUGCUGCAAUUCCUACGGGAAUGGCACCUUUGCCAAUAAUUACAUGGAAAUACUCCCAAAUUAAUUAAUCUCUUUGUGGAAGCGUCCUCCCCAUUAGCAGGUUUCUCCGGUCUGAGAUAUGCAUUCAUUGGUUGCACAGAGGCAGAAACUAUGGCAACAAUACCAAGCUGAACAUGUAACGAGCUGACAUAGAAACCCCGAAGUUCGGCAACUGCAAAAAGAACACCAAGUAUAAUAAUUGCUAAUCCUGAAUAUUGUAGGUAAAUAUGAAUUUGGUACCAUCCAUCACCCUUUACAUGUUUUAGGUAUCUAGCAGCCAAUAUUCCACCAGGAAUCAAAAUACCCCAGGAGAGGAACAGCAUAAACCCAUGUACAGCUUUGACAGGUUGUAAACCUUGCUCAGCCUCGGAAGAACCACGGAUAAGCAGCACUUGCACUGACAGUAUGCAUGUUUUUCUCACUGAGAUGUUCAUCAGUCCACUUUGAACCCAUUGCCCAUAUGACUUUAAGAGGAGUUGUAGGAUGAACAAUGUUCUUGCACUCUGGCUUAUCAUUUUGAUUGCAUGAUGGUUUUAAUGGACGUGUGAAUUCCAAAGUAAUGAUGCCAUCUUCUGACCUGCACCUGACGUGUGUCAGAUUCUCAUUUGUUGGAUGGAUGUUCAAGGGAUACUUUCCAUCAAUGCAAUAUGUAUUUAAAUGCCAUUUUCCAGUAUCACCAAUCCAGCCCACAUAUGCAUAGCUAUUCACCAUCCCAUUACCGAAACCUAUUGCAAGAUAGCCACUCUUAUUCACACCAAGGGCAGCAAUAGUUAUUGAAUCUUCUGAUAACGUCCAAAAGAAAGUAACUUGAUCAUCUAAAUGCACACUAGUGUUAUACAUAUCAGACAGGGCACCAUCAAAAUCUUGAACUUUCCAUCCCAUCUUCUCUUGGUACAAGGAUUGAUAAUACACUUGAUCGGGGGUAUUCCUAUCAGGAACCGAAAUCAAUUCGUGAGGAUUUGCUACAACUCCUUCCGCUUCUGGCUCUCCAGAAUAAAUAGUCUCAGUUGCAUUCCUUAAUGUAGCAUUCCCACCUAGAGAAUCUGAAGUAAUAUACAAUGCAACAUCAUGCCCUACUUGCACCAAAAACUUAACUGGAACCCCUCUUUCCACUCUCAACACCGGUGCUUACUUAUUAUUAAUACACAAAACCUUAGUCAGACUUGGUGGAUUUGGAUAAUGCAACACCUCCCCUGUUGUAGCAACAAGGGAGACUUCUAUAUCAGCAAUAAUCAACUAUUGAUCCUCAGUAUCAUUAGCAUCCAAUGGCCCGAAACAAUCAUCUACCUUCUCUGAAACAUGAAGCACCAAAUGUCCUUAUCCAACCUUCUCUGGACCCCCAUGAAAUUGGGGCAAAAAAUGAGACCGAUUUUCAUUCGGUGGUUUCAUCAACCCUAAUGCCUAAAUAACCCUCAGAUCCUCAUUAGGAUACACAGGCAAAUCAUACUUCUUAUUUGUCGAAUUCAAUGGUUUCCUAAACAUAAUUAAAGAAACCCCAUCUCUCCUAUGUCCAUAAACCAACAUAGUAUUAUUCACCAUUAUGCCAUUUUUCGAGUUCUCAUAAACUACAUCAGGGAAAACACCUAUAGCUGUACGAUCUUUAAAACUCAACUUACAUUCACUAUAAGCCGUAAUGUAAAAAUCAUCAACAAAAGGCCUACCUUCCUCAGUAAAACUUGCCACCGUAACAUCAGCUUCGGACAUCAGCUCAUUCGUCCUAUUCAGAUUCGCCCACCCAAAUGCCAUGUAAUAGGUCGUCGGUGCCCCUGCUUUUAACCCGAUCUCGAUCCAAUUUUCCUCCACAUUCAAGUUCCACCGGACCCUAUAAUUAUUCGAAAAAUUCUUACAGUUAUCAAACACUGUAUACACCAUGUUUGAAACCAAAUCUGACUCGUUUCGAGGGAGGGUGACAUGGCCGAAGUCUGAGGUGCUGGCGAUGUCCCAGAUUGAAAGAACGUUGAUCUGGUCCCAGGUUAUGUCGGGGAGCAAUUGGACUGAAAAUGAUGCAUUUUUGUAAGCUGUUUGAUUGAGGCGUUGAUCGGAGAUAGGGAACCCGCUGGUGAGGUUAGAGAAGUUGAGGGAGACGGCACCCCAAAAAACGAUGUCAGAUGAGCCAGAUAACAUGUCAAAUAAUUAUUCAUAAAUUUAUACAUUCUUUGCAUAUUCUUGGGUACCUACAAUAGGUCCUUGAAUAUCAACGACAUGAGUGACGCUGCUACAGACUCAGAAUCUCCUUUUGAGCGAGACAUGUGUUUAGAGGGAUCUCAUGACUUUGAAAAUGACAUAGAUUGUAGCCCAUCUCCGGACUUGUUAAGGAUGGUAGAACAAGAUGAAAAACAAAUCCUACCUUACAAAGAAUCAAUGGAGUCCAUGGCUUUUCUCUAUGUGGGGCAUGGAUGUCAUUAGGCUGAUUUUGGCAAAAGCUUCUAGCGGUCAAGAAUUCAUCUUUGCAGCCGUCGAUUACUUCACUAAGUGGGUGGAAGCUGCUUCAUAUGCUAAUAUCACAAAGUCGACUGUCAGCAAAUUUUUGAAAAAAUCAUAUGUCGGUAUGAAAUGCCAAAAAGGAUCAUAUCCAACAAUGUACUAAAUUUGAACAACAGCACGAUAUCAAAAGUUGGCUGUCUGUUCAAGAUUAACACCAUAUCGCCCCAAAGUGAACAGUACAGUGGAGGUAAAAAAAAAGUGAACCUCUACCGGGGCAACAUCUUUCUCUUUGGCUUAUUGCAAUUUUUUACCCAUUGAAGUCGAGAUUCUUUCAUUGGAACUUUUUGUGGAUCUAAUCUCGAUUGAAGAGGAGUGUUCAAAGUUAUCUGUCAUGGUCAAAUAUACCAAAAGCAAAUUAUGCAAGCUCACUAAAAAAGUUUGCCCCAAAGAAUUCCAUGAGAGAGAUCUAGUAACGAAGAAGAUUUUUCCCAUACAAAAAGAACUUCAUAAGAAAAUGGAUGUCAAACUCGGAAGGACCUUAUAUGGAAGGUCUUAUAUAGAAAAGUGUUGAUUUUGAUCAGAAGGGAUAACAAGGACAUGCCUAAUCCUAUGAGUUCAGAUUAAAUCAAAAAAUAUUUCAAAAAAGAGAGAGAAGAAGAAAAGAAUAGAAAAAGAAAAAGGAAAGGCCAAGGUGAAAACCAGCAAAGGGCGCCUUGAGACCAAAAGGGAUUUGAGUUGAAAAUCCGCAACGGGUGGCUCAAGUUUUGGAUAAAAAUGGGGCAUGAAGGGAUCAGAGCAACUCAAAUUUUAAUCAGAUUGGAGCAUGUGGUGAUCUUGCUAUACCUGAAUCAAUAAGAAAGGGUAGAUGACAUCUUGGGGCAUCGACAAAGUCCUGUAGAUCUCCUAAACACAUGUUAAACUCAGAAUGGUCUUUCAAAGAGUUUGUAUACAUAAGUUCAAGCUACGAUAUCUGGGGCACCUAAUCUUGAUACUAUUUAUAUUGAAUUUGCUAUCUUGGAAUACUUUAUUCUUUUUCAAGAUACGUGUUCCCAAUCAAUUCCUCUUUUAUUCUUACUAUCCUUGAUAAUUUAUUAAUUUCGAGCCAUGCUCCCAAAUCAAUUCUAUUUUAUCCAUUGUUAUGGUCUUUUUGUAAGCAUGUUACAUUAGAAUAACAAUUAAUGGAUUGAAUAUUCAAGCAAAAGAAGUUUUGCAUAUUACUCUAGAAGUUUCUAAAUAAUAUAGGAACUUGAAACAGGACUAUUGUUUAGAACACACCAAGUUUAAAGGUUGAAAUGUCUAAGGAGGAAAAGUCUAAAUUAAGACUACCCAUUCGAAUUUUAUUGUCAAAAUAUUGAUUGAAAAAAAACGACAAGAUGUCAUGUUGGUGACAAGCUUCAAUGAUCACCGAGUGAUAAAAAGAGGUUUCUCGGAAGAGAAAGUUCUACAGUUGAGCAUAAACAUUUGGUACGACACCCUGAGAAUGGUGUAGGAGACCAAAAGGAUUCAAAUCCUAUAUCCUUGAAUUACAGUGGGAGAGGAUUAAGAAAGCCAGAUCUUAUACUCAAUGGGAGGAAGACAGUUCAAAUUUUAUGUCCCAAAGGUACAGUGAAUUGAACCUUGAAAAUUACAGUGGGGGCAAUCCGGUUAAGUAAGAUAUGAGCAUUACCAACCGGAAAAGAUAGCAUUCUGACAUGUUGGCAAUAAAACCUUAUUGAACAAUGAGCAAUAACAACUCAAACAUUGAGGAAUCAUUUUCAUGACAUUUUGCAUUCAUGCAUGCACAUUUAGUUAGGAGAUUUUGAUUCGUUCCGAUCAUACUAUUCUAAUCACUAGGCAUAAAUAGGCCCAUGAAAUGGAUUCUAUAGGUUUUGUUCCAGUGAUGUUAAGCCUUUGACUAGUAAUAUGAGUAAUAUUGGGCUCCAAAUAUUCCGAUCAUAAUAUUCUAAUCACUAGGCAUAAAUAGGCCUCUGAGAGGGAUUCUACAGGUCAUGUUCCCCAGAGAACAGAUCGGUGAAACCAAAAAUCUUUUCUCCCUGAAGUUGCAGUGGAGCAGACUGAAGGUAGCGAAUCUUAUUUCCCUGGCUUUGCAGUGGAACAGAUUAAAGCUAAAGGUAGCGAAUCUUGUUUCCCUGGCAUUGCAGUGGAAUAGAUUAAAGCUGAAGUAUAGCGGAUUAAAGCUGAAGGCAGUGAAUCCUAUCUCCUUGGCUUUGCAAUGGAACAGAUUAAAGCUAAAGGUAGCAAAUCUUGUUUCCCUGGCAUUGCAGUGGAAUAGAUUAAAGCUGAAGGCGGUGAAUCCUAUCUCCUUGGCAUUACAGUGGAAUAGAUUAAAGCUAAAGGUAGUGAAUCUUGUUUCCCUGGCAUUGCAGCGAAGCAUAUUAAAGCUGAAGGCAACGAAUUGUAUCUCCUUGGCAUUAAAGACUAAAGACAACAAAUCUUAUCUCUAAUUGAAGCCAGACUACAAAUCUUAUAUCUCUAAAGUUGCAGUGGAGCAGAUUAAAGCCAAAAACCUUAUCUCUCUGAAGUUGCAGUAGAGUAGGUUGAAAGAAACUAAUCCUAUCUCCCUGAAGUUGCGGUGGAGCCACAGAUCUUAUUUCUCUGAAGUUAUAGUAGAGUAUACAAAAGAAACCAAUCCUAUCUCUCUGAAUUUGCAGUGGAGCGGAUUAAAAUGAUGGAUCUUAUCUCUCUGAAGUUGCAGUAGAGCAUAUCGCAUCAGACUUUAUUUUCUUAAAGAUGCAGUAAAUCAAGUUGAAGCUACAAGUCUUAUAUCACUGAGGUUUCAGUGUAGCAGACUAAAAAUUGCAUAUCUUAUCUCUCUAAAGUUGCAUAGAGCAGAUCAUAGCAAACAUUAUCUCCCUGAAGUGCAGUGGAGCAGUUGCAGUAUAGUAGAUUGAAACAACACUUCCUAUACCUCUGAAUAUGUAGUGAAUUGGAAUGAAGCUACCUUAAGAAGAAAAGCAUCAAAGUAAGUCAAGAUCUGGUGAGACCGGGCAAAAUUGGUCCUUUUUGAAGUCUUUGCUCCGUUCUCGUUACACGACAAUGAGCAAAGAGGGGCAACUGUAGUGACCCAUUUUUGCCCGGGGCCCAAUAUGACCCAAACAAAACCAAACACAAAAUGAAAACAAAACCUAAACUAAUUAGCAGCCCAUUUUACAACUGGCCCAAACAGCCCAAACUAAACCUAACAACCCUAGCCCAACAGAAUCAGAAAAAUGAAUAGUAAAAAAAAUACCCUAGGUGCACCGCACCUAGGUCUUCUGACCCCUAGCCGCUAGCCUGCCUGCACCGCCUCUGCAACCAUCACAGCAGGCCUCUGGCACCUACAAAACAGAGAAUAACACGCAACAACAAAUGCAAUAAAAAACAACAUGGAAACGGACAAAAAAGAAGAAGCAAACAGUUUUCGAUUCGGCUAUAAAAGCCCGAACUUUAUCUUUUUAUUUUUUUACCAGCACCAGUGAAUCAAAAUAGCAGAAAAGUCUUAAAAAGUGUUUAGAUCUUUUAUUUUAUUUUAUUUUAUUUUUUUUCUCUUCGUGUUCUUGUUCAUUUUUUAUGUUUGUUUACUAUUUUUUUAUAUAUGGAACUAUCUCAACAAAAAACGCAAUAAAAGAAAAAAAGGGAAGGGGUACCUAUCGGUUCUGAAAGCCUAUUGCCGGAGGCCUUCUUUUGGCAUUGGAAUCGGAUCGAAAAGGGUGUGAAAGAUCCCAUCUAUUCGGCCUUUUGGGUCAAGAGAAUUGGGUUUCUAACAAGGAUUUGGAACGGGGUUAAAAAACCCAAUCUUUGCCUAGCUCCGACCACCGCCUGCGGCGGCGCGGCCGUUCGCUGGUGGUGACCAUGGCCGGAGGAGGGGAAAGGUUUUGAAAGAAAAAGAGGAAGUUUUUUAAAAAUUUUUAAAUGGUGGUAGAAAUGAAUUUUUUUUAAAAAAAUUGGGCUUAAAUAGCCCCUUAAAACAGCGCCAUUUCAUCUGACCUCCCUAGGCGCCAAAACGGCGUCGUUUUGGGGAGGUCGACCCGAAAUCGACCCGACCCAGGCAGGAUCCGUGUGUUUUUUUAGCGGAAGGGAUAAUUGCGCCUUCAUCCCUUCCGUUUUUUAAUUUUUUUAAAUUAGGUUUUUUUUUAUUUUUUUUAAUUUUACCUCGCGUUUUCAGCGAUUUCAAUUUGGUCCUCGCUAGACGACGCCGUUUUGGAGGAGAAGGGAAAAUUGCCCUUUUAGUCCCUCCAUGUUAUGCGCGCAUUCAGAAAGGUCCCCUAUUUUUAUUUAUUUGCAGAUUUGCCCCCCAAAGUUCUGUUUUAAGUUCAAAUCAGUCCCUUUUUGUUACUUUUUGCUAUUAAAUUAAUUAAUUUUAAUGGUGUUAUCAUUAUUUUUACCAUUAUUAUUAUUUUUAAUAUUACUGUUACCAUUAUUGCGUUUAUUAUUAUUACUUACCUUAUUAUUAUAAUUAUUUUCUCAUUCAUACUUUUUUUUUAAUUUAAUUUCAAAUUUAGUUAUAUAUAUGCGUACAUACUUUUUCAUAUUAUCUAUAUCUAUGUACACGUGUAUAUAUAUAGAUAUAUAUAUUUAUAUUUUAUAUACAUAUCUACAUAUCUACAUAUAUAUAUAUAUUAUAUUUUCAUGAAUACAUAUACAUACUUAUAUAUAUUUUUUAUAUUUUAUAAUUUUUGUAUGCAUAUAUAUACAUACAUAUAUAUCUUUUUACAUUUUUAUAAUUUUAUUCAUCUUCUUUAUUUAUUUAUUUAUUUAUUUACGUUUUCAUUAUUAUUUUGAAAGAAUGUUUUAAUUUUAUUUGCUUAUAUACUUGUUAUUUUGUAUGAUAUUGAUUUGUCCUUUUAUUUAUCUUAUUUUGUUGCUAUUGCUCGUAUUAUUUUUACAUUAUCGUAUUCAUUAUUGUUUUGUUACGCAUAUUAAUACCAUGUUUUAUUUCUACCAUUUCGCGUUAGAUUAAUUCUAUUUUGAUGCAUGAAUUGCGACUUUAAAAUAAUUAAAAUUUCGUAUUUUGAUUUGAAAAGAUCGUACCCUAACUUACGGGGUUUCGAUUUUCUCGGUAUAUUCAAAUAAACGAUUGUUUUUUUAACAAAAUUUUUUAAAAUAAUCUCGAGAAUUAAGAAAAUCAUAUUCUAACUUACGGAGUACGAUGUUUUUCUAAAUUCGAGAUAAUCGAGUGUCUUUCAAAUAAGUAAAUUUUUCGGCAUAUAUUCUCGUAUCGGGAAUUCGAUACAUUGUGUCCUAAUGCAUUGGAUAUGACAUGUUGUUUUCCCGAGAUGAGGAUUUUUCUAAAAAAUAAUAAAGGCAAUAUUCAAUGUUUGAAAUUUUGAGAAAUUGUGCCCUAACGUAUUGGGCUGCGAUUUCUUCAACUGAAUUAAACAAUUGAAUAUCCUUUUAAAUUUUAUUACACGAGUUGUUUUAGGACAAGCUCAUUUUUGAGGAGGUGAAAUAUCAUGCCCUAACUCAUUGGGUUUGAUAUUUUCUCUCUCCAAAAUGAGAGGGUCUUAACGGGUAAUUUGUUUUAUACAAUUUUUUUUAAAUACAAGGAUCGUAUUUUAAAAUCUUUGCUCAUUUUUUAUAUUAAGACACUAAUUAAAAAGCUAGGUACCAAUUUUGGGCGCAUUGAGGGUACUAAUCCUUCCUCGUGCGUAACCGACUCCAGAACCUAUUUUUUGGUUUUUUGUAGACCGAAAAAUAAUGUUUUAAUAAAUCAAACUAUUUAUUAAAAUGAUUAAAUUGUGAGGUGAUCCGAUCACACCUCAUUAAAAAAAUUGGUGGCGACUCCCGUAGCUUUGAGGGAAAAAAAAGACAGAAAAAGAAUUUUAAAGACACAAAUUAAUAAAAUAAUUUUUUAAUCUACAUUAUAUUAAAACACACACACAAAAAAAAAAUCACCUCAUUUUCCCGUAGCUUAUUAUUUACAGUUUUUCUUGCAAUCCAAGUGCGAGAUGAUCACAAAUUCCAAUUGGCAAUUGGAAAAUGAGAUACGAUUUUUAUGUUGUUUUUUUUUUUCAUUUUUAAAUAUAAUAAAGGCGAAAUUGACGGAAGGGAAACUUUCUCCUUGGUUUAAAAGUCCAGAUAUCAAUUACAAGACAUAAAAAACAACGACAAGUAUUGGUGGCAAGUAGAUGAUAGUGAGUGACACUAUUUGAUUUAGUCUAAUUAUUAUAACAUGUUUGAUUGAAACUAUUUUGUAAUCUCUGAUUAAAUAAAUAUUGAGAGGAAAAGACUUAAAUUUUCUUCUUUUCCUUAGCUAUAAAAUUGAAUUUCUAGUUUGGAUUACAUGCCUGUGGUUCUCAUCUCUAGAUAUGUAAGGCUGAGUCGCUGUUAGUUGGAUGGACCUACAUUGAAAACAUGAAUUGAAAAGAUAAGUAAUAGAAACUUUGUCAUAUUUAGACAAAUAUCAACCACAUCUUUAUUAACUUUUUACAUUUCUUAUCCCAAUAUUCAAAACCAAACAAUAAUACAUUCAUUGCAUGUUCCUUUUCUCAAAUAUCAUUUUAUUUAAUGUCAUUAGAGAUUACUCUAUUCUUUUUUCUUUGUGAUAAAAAUUGUUAAACAAAAAAUUAUUACAAAUGUUGUAGGAAUCUAUCCUUUGAGAUUGUUUGAUUCUAGUUUUUGACAAAUUGCUCAAAGUUGAUGGGAUAAAACAAGUGAGUUUGAUGGUGUUCGGAAACAAGCUUCGACGUUUAGUGAGAUCAAAAUUUGUUGGCAAAUUAAAUUACUCAAUGGGUAAAUAUCCAUGGAAGUUAUUGUCCCAGAGUGGGGCUGGACUUGGAUGGUGUCUGCGAGACUCAUUUUUAUCAAAUUCAAAUCAGUGGCAGUAAUACCGAUUAAAUUACAACUAGAAAUAAAAACAGAUCAGUUGGUUUGGUUGCGAAGAGGUUUCGAGGGUCAUGCUUGUUCCCUAUCAUCCCAAGUACUACUAAGUCAGUACCCCUCUAAAUGGGGGGAACUUUGUUGAUCUUUCAUUGGUUUAAAAGUCCAAAUACCAAUUGUAAGGCAUCAAAACAACAAAGACAAGUAUUGGGGACCAGCUGAAGAGAGUGAGUGACACGGUUUGAUUUAGAGUCUUAUGAUUGCAACAUGUUUGAUCGUGAUCCUCAACUUUGAUUGUAAUGUCUAACAAAAUAAAUACCCAGAUGAGAAGACCUUUUUUCUAUAAAAUCUAAAUUUCUAGUUUUGAAGGCAUGCCUGUAGUUCUCAUCUCUUACUUGUUCUGCACGGCUAAGUCGCAGUUGCUUCGAUGGACCUAUGUUGCCAACAAGUAAUAGAAACUUUGUAAUAUUCAGAUAGAUCAAAUUAAGCUUUUUGUGGACCAUCCUCAAAUAAUUAUUUUUGACAAUCUUGAAUUUAACAAUCUAGCUAUUAAAUUUAAUUAACAAUAUAAUUAUAGUUGCCUUGCAUUUAAAAUUUUAAUCUAUCAUUUCGGUCCAAAACUUUGUUUAUUUCAUAUAUAUUAUAUAAAGCAAAGUUUUUACGUAUUUUUGAAUGUAACUAAGUAAUUAAGCAUGUUUCUUCUACCGCGAGUCAAAAGUUUGCAGCAAUUUUAGCCAUUUCGUACACUAUAUAUCAUUAUAUUGUUGCAUUAAUUAAAGCAGAAUAAUAUAUAUUUCCAUAAGUUUUUAAAAAUAUCAUAAAUUUCCAUUGGGAAUCUUGUUGGUGUAUUCUAAAUUACAUAAUAAUCAGAAAUAUGAAAGAUUUCCAUAUAUUCUCGCCUUUUAGUAUAAGUAAUAAUAAAAAUUUUUGCUGAUUCACCUUUACUAUGAAAAUAAAAAAAAAAUUACAAAAUUAGAACCGUAAAUCAAUUUUGGUUUAAAAUUUUAAACCUACAUAUUAAAGAUAUCCUAACAAUUUUACUUUAUAAGAGCACAAUUUAUGGAAUAAUUUUUAUAUCCAAUCAAAGGCCUUUCAUUCUUAUAAAUAUCGGAAAUUACAAAGUUAAUCUUUGUGUAGAAAAUCUGAUAGGUAAGUAGCAUAGCAUCUAUCUAAUAGAUUAGGAAAUCUGUAGUCUUGAGAUGGAAUAGAUUUUACGGUCACAUUGGCAACCUUAAAUUAUAACCUUCUUUGAUCUCGUUUGCAUAACAUUCAUCUAAUUUUGAGAAAUCUUCACUUUUAAUUUCAAAAUUGUAAUUAAAUAGUUUUAUCCAAUUAAAUAAUAAUAAUAUAUGGCUAUGGUGAUGUCUAUAAUUUCAUAAAAUAAUUACUCUAAUCUAAUCCAUGUCUCUUUCUUUCUGAGUUUAUCAAGCAAUAAAUUCCCUUCGAUUUCACCUAACUUGUUAUAAUAAUGUUUUUUCAAAUUAGUUAAAGAAGAAAAUUUGUGAUGUUAUACUUAAAUUGAAUCUUUCGAUUUAUUAGGAAUUGCUUUUAAAUUAGAAAGAUCAAAAUUUAAGUAGAAUCACUUAGAGAUGCUAGUGGGGAAAGUUUUGCGGGUCCCGCCCUACUUCGUGCUCGAUUGACAGUGGGAUGGGGACAAAAAUUAAACCCGUUGUGAGUGGUGGGGUAGGCGUGAGUAUGACCUUGUACCUACCUCAUCCCCACCUACCCCAUCCCAUCCUACAUAAUAUAAUAAACAUAUUUAAAAAAUAAACAUUUAUAAAAAAAAUAUUUCAAUAAUUAUUUUAAUAGUAUUUAAUUUUUGCUCUUGUGUUGCAUUUGAAGAUAUUUAUGAUGUAUUUGAGAUAUUGUUUGUAUUUUGAUAUUAUGUAAUGACUUUAUUUUUUGAAUUUUUAAACUUGAAACUAUAUCUUAUUUACCGAUUAAAGGUCGUAACGACUUAACUUUUUUUUAAAUAGUAAAUAGUGACAGUUAGAAUAAUGUCACAUAUGUGGUGGGAGUCUGGAGGAUAUAUAUUUUAUACUUUUGUCACAAAAAAUUGGUUUAUAUUUAUUUAACUGAUACUUAUAAAUAUAUCAUAUGAAGUGGGUCAUAAGGCAAAUAUAGCGAGGAUUAGGUGGGUUGUGGGUGGUAGGGCGAGGAUGAAAAUUGUGUAAGUCAAAGUCUGUGUAAUUUGUAGUAAUGCAUACCAAGAAGGAAUCUUCUGCCCUCUCUCUUUCUAUCUCUGUCUUCCUCUCAUUUUGGUGUAUUGUUUGUUUGGAUGUGUUUUGUCUUGUGUUGAUCUCAUUUGUUUUGUUCCAGUGAUGUUAAGCCUUUGACAAGUAAUGCAAGACUGCAUGUCUACACCAUUAUUCACUAUUCAACAAUACAUUACUUAUUUUUUUCUUUGUGAUAAAAUUUAUUAACAACAAAUGCUACGCUUGUUUUAUGGAUAAAGCAAUGUUUAUUUAAUAUAUCCACAACAAUAUCAGUCUGAUUUACUGAAAAAUAUAUAUUAUAUAUCCACAACAAUAAAUUAAUUUCCAGUUAUACGUCUCAUCCAAUAAUAAUAUUUUCACUAUUACCAAAUAUUUGCUCUUUUAAUAAUUGGUUAGAAAAUGGCGUUCAACAUGAAUUUAGACAAAUAGUUUAGUAGUAGAUUAAAUUCUUUGGAUAUAUUAACCAAAUCCACAUCAACAAAUUUUACCUCUGAUGGAUUCAAUUGAACAUAUAAAAUAAUAACUUGUUAGAAGGGUUGAUUAAUUGGAAAGCAUAGAAUGGGUUAAUCAAUUAGAAAACUAGAAAUUAUUAAACUUAAGGAUAUAAUUUUAUAUUGGAAUUAUUCAGUGGGAUGAAGAGUAAAUUUCAAGUAGCAAAAGGAUGGAUCCAUCUCUCUCCCUUCCAUAUUUAGUCUUUUGCAAAUCUUCAAGAAUAAGCUGAUGUACAGUUAUUUUACUUUGAAUGCAUGAGUCUAUGGUAAGAAAGGGGUCCCAGCAGCAAGGUAAAAUGGUAAGUGUUGAAACAGAAAAUAAAAGAAAUGUAGCCGCCGUGGGUCUUAUGGAAUUAGUAUGAUUUAACGAUGAUGGGGUGUUAUGGUGCUUUGGAAUCAUCGUUUUUUUUAAGAUGAUUUGAUUUGGUGAAAGGGAGAGGGCCCGAUGUGGGUAUUUGGUUGCAUCUUUAUUGUUGUACAAAAAUCUUGCUAGUUGGAGGAUCAACUUUCCUUUUAAUUUUAAUAAAAAUUAUAUAUGAACUUGUGAACUUGUAUUCAAAUUGAAUCUUUCCAUUGAGUCGGCUCUUGCAAGUCAAUGCAGCAAUCAAGAACCAUAUUAUUAAUACCCAGCUAAGAUCGUGGACGUUUUCUACUCUAUAUCUUUCUCCUAAAUGCUUCAUUCCAGUGAAAAGUGCUGCAAUUCCUACAGUAAUGGCAACUCUGCCGAUAAUUACAUGGAAAUACUCCCAAAUUAAUCUCUUUGUGGAAGCGUCCUCCCUAUUAGCAGGUUUCUCCGGUCUGAGAUAUGCAUUCAUUGGUUGCAGAGAGGCAAAAACUAUGGCAGCAAUACCAAGCUUAACAUGUAUCGAGCUGACAUAGAAACCGCGAAGUUCGGCAACUGCAAAAAGAACACCAAGUAGGAUAAUUGCUAAUCCUGAAUAUUGUAGGUAAAUAUGAAUUUGGUACCAUCCAUCACCCUUUACAUGUUUUAGGUAUCUAGCAGCCAAUAUUCCACCAGGAAUCAAAAUACACCAGGAGAGGAACAGUAUAAACCCAUGUACAGCUUUGACAGGUUGUAAACCUUGCUCAGCCUCGGAAGAACCACGGAUAAGCAGCACUUACACAGGCCUUUGACUCGUGACAGUAUGCAUGUAUUUCUCACUGAGAUGUUCAUCAGUCCACUUUGAACCCAUUGCCCAUAUGACUUUAAGAGGAGUUGUAGGGUCAACAAUGUUCUUGCACUCUGGCUUAUCAUUUUGAUUGCAUGAUGGUUUUAAUGGACGCCUGAAUUCCAAAGUAAUGAUGCCAUCUUCUGACCUGCACCUGACAUGUGUCAGAUUCUCAUUUGUUGGAUGGAUGUUCAAGGGAUGCUUUCCAUCAAUCCAAUAUGUAUUUAAAUGCCCUUUUCCAGUAUCGCCAAUCCAGCCCACAUAUGCAUAGCUAUUCACCAUCCCAUUACCGAAACCUAUUGCAAGAUAGCCACUCUUAUUCACACCAUGGGCAGCAAUAGUUAUUGAAUCUUCUGAUAACGUCCAAAAGAAAGUAACUUGAUCAUCUAAAAGCACACUAGUGAGGGCACCAUCAAAAACUUGAACCUUCCAUCCCAUCUUCUCCUGGUACAAGGACUGAUAAUACACUUGAUCGGGGGUAUUCCUAUCGGGAACCCAAAUCAAUUCGUGAGGAUUUGCUACAACUCCUUCUGCUUCUGGCCCUCCAGAAUAAAUAGUCUCAGUUGCAUUCCUUAAUAUAGCAUUCCCUCCUAGAGAAUCUGAAGUAAUAUACAAUGCAACAUCAUGCCCUGCCUGCACCAAAAACUUAACUGGAACCCCUCUUUCCACUCUCAACACCGGUGCUUACUUAUUAUUAAUAUACAAAACCUUAGACGGACUUGGCGGAUUUGGAUAAUGCAACACCUCCCCUGUUGUAGCAACAAGGGGGACUUCUGUAUCAACAAUAAUCAACUCUUGAUCCUCAUUAUCAUCAGCAUCCAAUGGCCCAAAACAAUCAUCUACCUUCUCUGAAACAUUAAGCACCAAAUGUCCUUAUGCAACCUUCUCUAGACCCCAUGAAAUUGGGGCAAAAAAUGAGACCGAUUUUCAUUCAGUGGUUUCAUCAACCCUAAUGCCCAAAUAACACUCAUAUCCUCAUUAGGAUACACAGGCAAAUCAUACUUCUUAUCUGUCGAAUUCAAUGGUUUCCUAAACAUAAUUAAAGAAACCCCAUCUCUCCUAUGUCCAUAAACCAACCUAGUAUUAUUCACCAUCAUGCCAUUUUUCGAGUUCUCAUAAACUACAUCAGGGCAAACACCUAUAGCUGUCUGAUCUUUAGAACUCAACUUACAUUCACUAUAAGCCGUAAUGUAAAAAUCAUCAACAAAAGGCCUACCUUCCUCAGUAAAACUUGCCACCGUAACAUCAGCUUUGGACAUCAGCUCCUUCGUCCUAUUCGGAUUCGCCCACCCAAAUGCCAUGUAAUAGGUCGUCGGCGCCGCCGCUUCUAACCCGAUCUUGAUCCAGUUUUCCUCCACAUUCAAGUUCCACCGGACCCUAUAAUUAUCCGACAAGUUCUUGCAGUUAUCAAACACUGUAUGCACCGAGUCCGAAAUUGAAUCCGACCCGUUUCGAGGGAGGGUGAUAUGGCCGAAGUCCGAGGUGCUGGCGAUGUCCUAGAUUGAAAGAUCGUUGAUCUAGUCCCAGGUUAUGUCGGGGAGCAAUUGGACUGGAAACGAUGCGUUUUUGUAAGUUGUUUGAUUGAGGCGUUGACCAGAGAUGGGGAACCAACUGGUGAGGUCAGAGAAGUUGAGGGAGACGGCGCCCCAAAAAAAUGACGUCGGAUGAGCCGGAUAACAUGUCGAAUCCGGUGACCUGGAAAGAGCAGCCAUCAAAGAUUUUGAGAUGGCCACGGAGUUGGUGUCGGACCGUUGUGAAGUUCGAUUCGAACCCGACUAGGGAGCUGGUGUUGGAGCAUUUCUGACCCAAAUCCUCUUUGGAAGAGGCGAUGGAAUUGAUUAGGAAGAGCAGGAUUAGAAGGAAAAUUUUGGAAUUGUACAUUCGAAUCCGGUCGCGGGUGAUUCGAGAAUCCGAAUUCGGUGAUGAUGGAAAAUGAACGUUUCAAAGAGAAGGAAAGAGCCAAUGAGCGGCUGGUGGUGGUGAGUGGUGACUCGGUGCAGCCGGAGCGAGUCGUCAACUUGUCUCGAUAUUGUUUUAUAAUUUUACUUUUUUUCCUGCUUUUCUGAAGAGAGGAAACCAGAAUCCCAACUAUCUUCUCAACUAUCAGUUUUUUAAUUUUGCUCAUUCAACCGUCAAUUUUUAAUCUUAGUUCAAAUUUUUUAAUUUUGUAGUCCAACCGAUUGAGAUUUUUUUUUUUCCAAUUUCCGUUAAGUAGGGUUAAAUCUCUAAUGAGAGGAUAUGACAGUUAAAAAUUAAUAUAAUAAUAAAUUUAACUCUUAAUUUUUAUAUUUUCUAUUAAUUUAGUCAUUAAUUUUUAAAAUUUACAAAUAAACUCAAUAUAAUCAUCAAAAUUUACCUUUUCUUUCCACUUCCUCCGCUACUACUAUCACCAUUGCCUCUAGUUCUGCCCUCUCCUCCACCUUUCUCAAAAAAAAAAAAACCCCCUUUUUUUCAAUCAUGUUCAAAUUUAAGGUAUUAUAAUUUAUUUUGUGUUAAGUUAGAUGAAGCCUAAGCAAUUUAAAUAUAUGUGCUACUAUUUAACAAUAAAUUAGGUUGAAAUAGAAAGAGGAAAGGUAAGUUUUUUUGGGGAGAAAGGUGGAGGUGGAGGUAAUGAUGGUAAUGGCACGUGGUGAAGUACAAGAGAAAAAUAAAUUUUGAGAAUCUGAGACUAUUUAUAAAAUUUGAGAAUUAAUUAUUUUAUAAUUUUGACUAAAUCAAUUUAAGAUGUAAAAUUUGAGAGCAAGAUUUAUAAUUAUACUUAUUUUUUAACUACCACAUUACCCUCGAUAGAGAUUUAAAGAAAUGAACAAAAAAAAAAUCUCAAUUAGUUGAGUGAUCAAAUUAAAAAAAUUCAUAAUUAGGUAGCUAAAAAAGAAAAAGGGGAGAUAGUUGGGUGACUUGUGGUGUAGUUUACCCUAAUAAUAAAAUAUAAAAGGGUAAACUGUAGAAUUAGUCACCCCAUUAUUAGUGUAUUUAUGUUUUAGUCACCUAACUAUGAAAAUUUUCAAUUUUAUCACUAUCGUUUUAGAUCAUUUCUAUUUUGGUCACUCACAUUUUAGAGUAUUUUUAUUUUACUCACUCUUCAUUAAAUGGUUAAUGAAAGUUAUGAUGUAACCUUUUUUUUAAUUAGUAUAAAUAAUACAUUUAGUCUUCAAUGCUUACAAAUUUUAUCAAUUUGAUCCUCGAACACAUAUAAUUAAAUAUAAAGUAUAUAUUGUGAAAACGUACAAAAUAUAAUUAUUUAUAUAUAUUUAUCUAAAUAAUAUAAUAUGUGCUUAUAUUUUAUUAUAAUUAUAAUGUUCAAAUAUGCAUUUAGCCCCUCAAACUUGACACCUUUUUCCAUUUUGGUACUUAUAAUUUUUUUGUCCCAAGUUGGUACCUAAUUUUUUAUUCCAUCAAGAGCUUUGAUUUUUUUUUUGUUACAAUAUUAAAUAUAAGACUUGACACUCUUAGGAUGCCAUAAUCCAUUUUUUUAUAAAAAUAUACUAAAAAAUUUAAAAGAAACUAUAUGAAAUAUAUAUAUUUUAAAAUAUAAAAGAAAUUAUAAAUUAUAAAAAUAUAUGUAAAUAAAAAAUUUAAACUAUUACAAAAAAUCUAAAAUUCAAGUUGGAAAAAUUGAAAACCUAGAAAAUUUACACAUUUUUCUAAAUAAAUUGCAAACAAAUUAGAUAAAGAUAAAUUUUGCAAUAAAUUUUAUGUUUAGAGAUGGGUGUAAAUUAUUACACGAUUUUUCAAUUAAAUAAGAAUGUAAAAGAUGAUGAUUUAAAAAUGGCUUACAAGAAGCUUUUUCGUUGUCUUUUUUUUUGCUGUUAAUUAUUGCCUAGGUGAUAGGAGAAAUUGGGUUCCUUUGUUGAAAAUGCUAUAAAACCACAAAUUUACUAAGUUAUGGGGGUUUUGAGUUUUUUGGUUUAUCAAAAUCACACAUACAUAUAAAUUUAUCAACAUUUAGUUAUAUGUGUUUAAAUAUAAUCAUUUUUUAUAUUUAAUUAUAUGUGUUUUAGAAUAAAGUUGAUAGAAUUUGUAAAUAUGGAAUGUGAAAUUUAUUGAAUUAUUUAGAAUAAGAAUCAAAUUGAUAGAAUGUGCAAGUAUUAAGAAAUAAACAUGUUAUUAUACCAUCUAUAAUUUGAAAAAACAAAUAUCCAAAAAUAAUAUAAAAAUACAUAUCUAUAAUUUCGCAAAAAGAAUUAGAUUGCCAUAAAAAUAUAAGAAUGUACUAAACUUUUUGGAAUAAAUUAACCAUCUAUUCCUUAUUUCAAUUUUAUUAAAAAGAUAGGUUCCCAUAAAGACAGUCUUUACAAACCAGUGCACCUAUCAUAAACACAUCAGGGAACAUUGCCAUGAGAGAGGACCUAAGAAAACAUAAUACAAAGCACCCACACAAAAUGUUUAUUAAACAGCUACUGAAAAAGGCCUGCAUACCACCAAGCAAUGAAGUUUUCUGUUCUGUUUGCAACUUGUUGAACUCGCCCAAGUGUUGCCUUCUCUACCUUUUUGCAAAUCUUCGUCGGACUCGCUCCACGAUCCUAAUCAACCACCAUGGUUUUCCAGUCGUGAAUACAAUGUAUGCCAUGCUCAUUCCCAGCACCAACCCACAUCCAUACCCCAUCAAUAUUGAAAAUUUCCAAUUCAAUUCAUCACCAUCAUCAUCUCUAUCAAAUAUGGCUGGGGUUUCCUCAUCAGUACCACAGUUUUUUGAUAGUGGCAAACCACAUAAAUCCAAAUUUCCCAUGUAGGAAUCGUUAGUGAAAGUAUCAAAUUGUUUGCCUUGAGGAAUGGGUCCCUUGAGAUUAUUUUGAGAAAGGUUUAACACCUCUAAGAAUCCAAGAUUUUUCAACUCUGUUGGAAUUCUUCUUUCCAGCUUAUUUGAUGAGAGGUCUAAUGAUUCAAGCUCUGACAAAUUACCUAAAGAUGAUGGGAUAGGACCUAUUAAACAGUUAUAGGAGAGAUUUAGGACAAUAAGUAAAUGAAGCUCACCAAGUAUUUUUGGAAUUUCUCCCCUGAAUUGGUUACUAGAAAGGUCAAUAACCGUCCAAAUGGAUAAUGUGAUUCAAACUUUAUUUCCAGCCCUCUUGCUAUAACAGAUAAACCAUCAGUAUAAUUCACUAAAAAUUCACUAAGUGCUUCUCUCAUGUAAUGUGGAUCAACUUUCUUUCCAUACUCAUCUCUAAUGGCAUGCAUAUGCUCAAAAAAAGGGUAGGUAAGUAGCCACUAAAUUUAUUGUGAGAAAGAUCAAUGAUUUGCAAUUUAGUUAAAGAAAAUGUAAUAUCAAAGCUCUCUAUUUGGCUGUAAAAUCUAUUCAACCUCAAGGUAAGAACUUGCAGCUGAUCCAAAUUUCCUAACCAACUUGGGAAAGUGUCAUUCAAAUUGUUGUUUCCAACAUUGAGAAGAUUUAAACCUUUGCAAUUACCCAAAGAUCGUGGUAGUGACCCUUCUAAUUUAUUGUUGUCGAUGCGUAAACUUCUCAACAUGCAACCUUUAGCAAAAUUUUCUGGUAUUUGACCAUGAAAAUUAUUAUUCCCUAGCUGAACUGCUAUGAGAGAAGAACUCAAGUUUCCGAUGCACAUUGGAAUUGUUCCCUCCAAAUUAUUCUCAUCUAAAAGCAUAACCAUAAGGGAAGUGAAACUGCAUAUUAAAGAAGGGAUUUCUCCAAUUAAGUUAUUAGUUGAAACUCCAUAGAAUUGCAAUAAAGGUGGUGGUGUUGGAAUUCGACCUUAGAGAUAAAAUUGAAAAUGAGAUAGAAUUAGGAGUUUGAAGAUUCUUUGGAAUAUAAAUUAUAAAAUAACUAUAUUUGUGAUGUAUUACAUGCAUGAUGUGCACACUCGAUACAAAUAAUUGGUUAAUUUACUACACUACUUCUAACCAUUUUUAGAUGCAUCACAACAACUUUUAAGUUGUAAUCUAUUGAAGGAAACUACUACUAUCUUCUAGAGAAAUUUUUAUUUCCCUUACUUAAAAGUAAAAUGGGAUUGCAUAAAUGUAUAAAAAAUUGAAGGAAAAAAAUAUCAAACUAUACCUAAUAGUUUAUUAUAAAAGAGAUAACCAUUUAAUAUCUUACUUAUAUUUCAUUUUUUAGUGUUUAUUAUUAUUUUUGGUACAUUUAUGUAUAUUUUAUAAUUUAUUAUUGGGGUUCACGGUUGCUAUUGUCAAGAAUAUCAUCUCUAAUACUUGAAUCUUGUUCUCCCAUUAAGAGAGUAAUAUGCCUUACCACUGCACCGAAUAUUUAUUGGUGUAGUAUUUAUUAUAACUACAAAUAAAUUUAAUUAUCUUUUUAUGAAACUCUAAGUUAGAGGUCAAAUAAAAAAGAAAUUUAAUUAAUAUAGUGUUUAACUUUUUAUCAUUUUAAUUAUUAGUUAUAAAAUUUUUCCUCACAAUUGAAAUUUAAAAAUGACAUUUUAUGAAAUUUAAAGAUAACAUAAUUAAUAGAAAAUUGACAUUUUCUUUAGAGUCGGAAUUUAAGUAGUAGCAAUAUCUAUAACUGGUACUUCAAAUGUACAUUUUAUGUUUAUAAUUUUUAUAAGAUUCGGAGUUAAUUAAGAUUGUAGCCUCAAAAUUGGUGUUAUGAAAGCCAUUUUUUAUAAGAAUAUUUUUCUAUUUAACAAUGAUUGUCCAGCAUGUUAUAAUUGAAACCUAAUAUGGUAUUCACUAUUACUGACUCGGAACUCGAGUAGGUUCAAGUUACUGACCCACAACCCAAGUAGACUCAAAGGAAUUCGGGUCGGGCCCCACGAAGUGGGCAUGUUAGAGUUCGUACAUCCAAUUUGUGAGUAUGCUAUAGCUCUCGAGCCUAGCUCACAAGACAAGCUUGCACAUUGAGUUCACAUAUCUCUAUAUGCUUGCGAGGAGAGGUGUUAGGUCAAGCACGUGGUCCAUGACCACGUGUUAAGUCUAGAGCAAGAUAUGUGUUAGCAUGCAUGAAGCCUAUCUAAGACGUCAUUUUAGUGAAUAGUAACCGUAUUAUAUAAAUACUAAGUCUUAUGCCCAUAGUAGACACAAAGAGAAAAUACUCAACAAUUUGGUGUAAUGUGUGUGGUCAAACUUUUGAUUGAUAGAUUUUAGGGGUGAGCAAAACUCGAUUCGACUCGAAAAAAUCGAAAAAAAAUUUGAAUUUCGAGUUAAACGAAUCAAGUUUUUCGAGUUAAUCGAGUUAUUCGAAUCAACUCGAAUAUUUUUUUCGAAUUUCGAGUUCGAAUCGAGUUGAGUUUUCGAAUUCGAAUAACCCGAAUAAUUCGAAUAAUUCGAAUAUUAAACUAUAAUAUUUUACAUUUUUACCCCAAACUCCCAAACCUUUUUAUUUUUCCCUCAAAACUUUUACUCCUUCCCACUUUCCCCCCAAAACUUUUACUCCCCUCCCCUCCCAACCCCCCAAUCUACCCAAAAUCUAUUUCCCACCAAAAUUUUACUCUCCCAUUUAUUUUUUCUCAAAAUAACCUUUUUCUUUUUUCAAUCAUGUUCAAAUUUAAGGUAUUAUAAUUUAUUUUGUGUUAAGUUAGAUGAAGCCUAAGCAAUUUAAAUAUAUGUGCUACUAUUUAACAAUAAAUUAGGUUGAAAUAGAAAGAGGAAAGGUAAGUUUUUUUCUGGGAAGAAAGGUGGAGGUGGAGGUAAUGAUGGUAAUCGCACGUGGUGAAGUAGAAGAGAAAAGUAAAUUUUGAGGAUCAAAUUGAAACUAUUUGUAAAAUUUGAGAGUUAAUUAUUUUAAAAUUUUGACUAAAACAAUAUAAGAUAUAAAAUUUGAGAGCUAGAUUUAUAAUUUUACUCAUUUUUUAACUACCACAUUACCCUCCAUAGAGAUUUAAAGAAACGGACAAAAAAAUCUCAAUUAGUUGAGUGAUCAAAUUAAAAAAAAUUGAUAAUUAGGUAACUAAAAAAAGAAAAAUAAAAAUUGAUAAUUGUUCAUCGAUAGUGUAUAGAACUUAUGCACCAACAAUGCAUCAAAUAUUCUCAUUAAAAGAAAAUGUAUAAAAUAAGUUUUAUACUAUCUAUAAUUUGUAAAAAAAAAAAUUCAAUAAAAAAUAAAAAAAUACAUCUAUAAACUCACAAAAAGAAUUACAUAUCUAUAAUAUCUUUUUAUAAAUUCAAUUCCAAAUCUCCUGUAAUAAAUCAACCUCACAAAUCUGAUUGAGGUUAAAAACAAAGAAUGCAUGUAUUGUGCAAUUAAAACUAUGAUCCAUUUUCAAUUCUAAAGUAUUGAACAUAUAAUUUUGCAUUAUUUCACAAACUCUUUGCAAUAAAUUAACCAUCUAUUCCUUAUUUCAAUUUUAUUAAAAAGAUAGGUUCCCAUAAAGACAGUCUUUACAAACCAGUGCACCUAUCAUAAACACAUCAGGGAACAUUGCCAUGAGAGAGGACCUAAGAAAACAUAAUACAAAGCACCCACACAAAAUGUUUAUUAAACAGCUACUGAAAAAGGCCUGCAUACCACCAAGCAAUGAAGUUUUCUGUUCUGUUUGCAACUUGUUGAACUCGCCCAAGUGUUGCCUUCUCUACCUUUUUGCAAAUCUUCGUCGGACUCGCUCCACGAUCCUAAUCAACCACCAUGGUUUUCCAGUCGUGAAUACAAUGUAUGCCAUGCUCAUUCCCAGCACCAACCCACAUCCAUACCCCAUCAAUAUUGAAAAUUUCCAAUUCAAUUCAUCACCAUCAUCAUCUCUAUCAAAUAUGGCUGGGGUUUCCUCAUCAGUACCACAGUUUUUUGAUAGUGGCAAACCACAUAAAUCCAAAUUUCCCAUGUAGGAAUCGUUAGUGAAAGUAUCAAAUUGUUUUCCUUGAGGAAUGGGUCCCUUGAGAUUAUUUUGAGAAAGGUUUAACACCUCUAAGAAUCCAAGAUUUUUUAACUCCGUUGGAAUUCUUCCAUCCAGCUUAUUUGAUGAGAGAUCUAAUGAUUCAAGCUCUGACAAAUUACCUAAAGAUGAUGGGAUAGGACCUAUUAAACAGUUAUGGGAGAUCUAUUCGACCUCAAGAUAAGAACUUGCAGCUGAUCCAAAUUUCCUAACCAACUUGGGAAAGUGUCAUUCAAAUUGUUGUUUCCAACAUCGAGAAGAUUUAAACCUUUGCAAUUACCCAACGAUCGUGGUAGUGACCCUUCUAAUUCAUUGUUGUUGAUGUGUAAACUUCUCAACAUGCAACCUUUAGCAAAAUUUUCUGGUAUUUGACCAUGAAAAUUAUUAUUCCCUAGAAAAACUGCUGUGAGAGAAGAACUCAAGUUUCCGAUGCACUUUGGAAUUGUUCCCUCCAAAUUAUUGUCAUGUAAAGCCAUAGCCACAAGGGAAGUCAAAUUGCAUAUUGAAGAAGGGAUUUCUCCAAUUAAGUUAUUAGUUGAAACUCCAUACAAUUGCAAUAAAGGUGGUGGUGUUGGAAUUCGACCUUAGAGAUAAAAUUGAAAAUGAGAUAGAAUUAGGAGUUUGAAGAUUCUUUGGAAUAAAAAUUAUAAAAUAGCUAUAUUUGAGAUAUGUACACUCAAUACAAAUAAUUGAUUAAUUUACUACACUACUUCUAACCAUUUUAAGAUGCAUCACAACAACUUUUAAGUUGUAAUCUAUUGGAGGAAACUACUACUAUCUUCUAGUGAAAAUUUUAUUUCCCUUACUUAAAAGUAAAAAGGGAUUGCAUAAAUGUAUAAAAAAUAGAAGGAAAAAUAUAUCAAACUAUACCUAAUAGUUUAUUAUAAAAGAGAUAACCAUUUAAUAUCUUACUUAUAUUUCAUUUUUUAGUGUUUAUUAUUAUUUUUUGUACUUUUAUGUAUAUUUUAUAAUUUAUUAUCGGGGUUCACGGUUGUUACUGUCAAGAAUAUCAUCUCUAAGACUUGAAUCUUGUUCUCCCAUUAAGAGAGUAAUAUGUUUUACCACUGCACCGAAUAUUUAUUGGUGUAGUAUUUAUUAUAACUACAAAUAAUUUUAAUUAUCUUUUUAUGAACCUCUAAAUUAGAGGUCAAAUAAAAAAGUAAAUUAAUUGAUGUAGUGUUUAAAUUUUUAUCAUUACAUGUAAAGUUUUAAUUAUUAGUUAUAAAUUUUUUUCCUCACAAUUGAAAUUUAAAAACGACAUUUUAUGAAAAUUAAAGAUAACAUAAUUAAUAGAAAAUUGACAUUUUCUUUAGAGCCGGAAUCUAAGUAGUAGCAAUAUCUGUAACUGGUAUUUCAAAUGUACAUUUUAUGUUUAUAAUUUUUAUAAGAUUGGGAGUUAAUUGAGAUUGUAGCCUCAAAAUUAGUGUUAUAUAUGAAAGCCAUUUUUUAUGAGAAUACUUUUCUAUUUAACAAUGAUUGUCCAACAUGUUAUAAUUGAAAUCUAUUAUGGAAUUCACUAUUACUAACUCGAAACUCGAGUAGGUUAAAGUUAUUGACCCACAAUCUAAGUAGACUCAAAGGAAUUUGGGUCGGGCUCCACUAAGUGGGCAUAUUAGAGUUCGCACAUCCAAUUCGUACGAAUUUGAGUAUUUUUUAUGAGAAUACUAAUCAAAUAGAAACUUGGGAAAAGAAUAGUGGCCUUUUUAUUCAUGUUUGGCAAAUUAAUAUACUUUGUUUCUCUCAUAAUAUAAAAUAUGUCCUGCGCAUAAAUUAAUUAAACAAAUAAAUAAUAAGGCAAAUCAAAAAGGUAAAUCUACGUCUAAAUUAUAAUUCAUAAUAUAAAUUAAUUAAUGUAAAUUUUAAAUUUUUUUAAAUCAUUAUUAUUAUCAAAUAAAUUCUCUUAAUAAAAUACUUUUAGUGAAAUUAGAAAUCUUACUUAUAAAUAAUAAUAAUAAUAAUAAUAAUAAAUUUUGCUAUGAGCAAAUAGAAAAAUAGUCAAUAUUCUUAAUCAUUUUCAUUAAUUUAAGAGAUUUUGCAUGCUUAUUCUUUUAUGUAUAUAUAUAUAUCUAUUAUAGAUGUAGAUUAUAAAUUGUAGACAAAUAUUUUGGUUGGGUUAGCAAAGCUGAAAAAGUUGAGAAUAAUAAUUUGUUAAAUUUAUAAAUUUAAGGUGAAAAAUUAAAUCCUAAUAGUUAAAAUAUCUAUAUGUAAUUAAUGAAUAAGAAUUGCAAAGAAUGGCGUAAAAGAAAAAUAAAAUGAAAGAAUUUAAAAUAUAAUUUUUAAUUUUAUAUCACGUGUCGUAUUAUAAUUGAAACCUAUUAUGAAAUUCACUAUUACUACUUGAAAUUCGAGUAGGUUCAAGUUAUUGACCCACAACCCAAGUAGACUUAAAGGAAUUUGGGUCGGGCCCCACAAAGUGGGCAUAUUGGAGUUUGCACAUCCAAUUCGUAGGUAUGCUAGAGCUCGUGGGCCUAGCUUACAAGACAAGCUUGCACAUUGAGUUCACACGUCUUUAUAUGAUCGCAAGGAGAGGUGCUAAAGUCAAGCACGUGGUCCAUGAACAUGUGUUAAGUCUAGAACAAGAUACGUGUUAACAUGCAUGAAGCUUGUCUAAGACGUCAUUUCAGUGAGUGUGGUGCAGUGAGUUUGGUCAAACUUUCGAUUGACCAUUGUAGGCAAAAAGAGAAAACACUCAACAAUUUGGUGCAGUGAGUAUGGUCAAACUUUCGAUUGACAAUUUUUCAGCUUGUAACAAUCAAAAUAGCUCACCCAAAUGAAAAUUUCUCCAUCAAUGUUUUGUCAGGAUAAGUUGCUAGUAUUAUAUUGUUGCUAGUAUUAUACAAAACAAAAAGUCACAAAAGUGAGAGAAAACCUAGUCAUCAGCACACCAAAACUCAUUAAGUCGAUCAUAGUUGCUGGUAUUAUAUUGUAUCUUCUUACAUCGAGAGAUAAGGUGGGUGAGAAAGGGAGACAAAAGACGGUGAGCUUGGAUGGGACAUUAAGGGGGAAGAGAGGAAAAAAUGUCAUGUGUCUAACUAUUUCUAGUGUUUGAACCGUUUUGAGUCGUAUCUAUCUUUGAACUCAUACCGUCCUAAGCCUUAGAACAUUACAAGCUUAAAAGACCAAUGUAUUUCCUAUUCAAUAAUAUCAACUAUGGCUUAGCAACAACUAAAUCAAGACCUAAACAAGAAGGCAAAUCUAAAAGGUAGAAGGAAUAGUUAAUUAAAAGUAGUGUGUGAUUAAAAAGGUAGAUGGUGAACUUAGGAUGUGGAGUUCCAAUAAAUACCUAAACUUUUGGCAAUUCAAAUAGUUUCUUUAUAAAUAUUUGUAAAUAUUUGAGUCUUAUUUGUAUUAAGAAAUACAUUAUUUGAAAGAGCAUAAUAAUUUUAAGCGGUCUAAUAAUGAAAAUAUUAUAUUAAACUUUAGUAGAGUUUAAUUAUAUAUAUUAUAAGAAUAGUCUUCGCUGUAUUUAUCCAUUUAAUUUUAUUUUUUUAUUUUGGUCCCUUGGAACGGUGCGUUUAGGGGGUAUGGGGAUAAUUUCAUAGUUGGUCCCUGUCCAUUUUCACGCAUUUAAUUUUAGUCCUUUAUUCUGUUUUAUUGUUUAAUUUAUUUAUUUUAUUAUGAUUUAUAUUUUUAAUUUCACUUAAAUUUCGAUUCAGUCCCUUAUUUAUUUAGUUUCAGCCUUUCAUGAAUUUUAUUUAUUUUUUACUUCUUUAUUUUCAUAUACUUAAAAAUUGGAUUGUUUACAUUCUUUUAUUUGUGCAUUUUUUUGCCCAUUUAUUUUAUUUACUUAAAAAGAUUGCAUAAAUUUAAUAACAAAAAGGAGAAUAAAAGAAAAAUGAAAUUAUACCUGUCAAUUUGUUACUGCCAAGAGAAAGCACUUGAAGAGAAAUCAAGUUUCCAAUAACAAGAGGAAUUUUACCUGAAACAUAUAAUUAAAUCAGUAAAAAUUACAAAUAUUUUCCUAGCAAAACCUUAAUUUAUUUGUUGAGCAUAUUAGUAUCCAUUUGAUUUAUUUAUUUUUAAAUAUGCAAGUUUUGUUUAGUUUUAUAGUACUUAUGACAACCCAAAAAUAUUUUAAUUACAAUACUCAAAUUGAUAGUUGAAAUGAUGAUGAAAAUUAGAUAGAAUAAAAUAGUUCACGCUUAAUAUUUUGUUCAAAUAUAGGAUACAUUAGAGGUGAUUAUGGGUCGGGUUUGGGCCAGUUGAGACAAAAUUAGGCCAGUUCCCGAGCCCUAAAUAUGGGCCUAAAAAUUUGUUCAAGCCCAGCCCAAAAGAAAAUUGCUAAGCUGAGCCCGACCCUGCCCAGCCCAUAUUAAAUUUUACAACACCAAAAUAGCAUAAAAAACUUGCAAUAUAUAUAUUUUAUUAAAAAUAAAAAAUAUAUUUAAUAUAUAAUUCGGACCAGGCUUUGGCCAAAAAAGUUUUACCCGAAGCCCGGCCCGUUUUCUAAAAUUUCCAAUUUAUGUAGGUAUACUUCCCUCCAAGGAGUUGCUCGACAAUGAUAAAAACUUCAAAUCUUUGCACUUGAAUAAACUAUUUGGAAUUCUACCGGAAAUUUGAUUCCAACUCAAGCCCAACCUUUCUAGUUUUGACAAAUUGCCUAGAGUAAGAUAACACCAAUGAAGUUGUUAAGGUACAGAGACAAUCUUUGAAGUUUACUGAAGCAACCAAACCAUGAUGGGAUUUCUCCAUUGAAGCUAUUGUUACCAAAGUCCAAAUACUUCAUCCGACGUAAAUUGGUUAACUCAAUGGGUAAAGAGCCAUGGAAACUAUUUUGAUGAAUGUCGAGCCAAGCAAGGAAAGAUAGAUUUCCCAAUUGAGAAGAAAUGGUGCCUGUGAGAUCCAUGCUUGAUAAAUUCAGAGCAGUGACUCUAUGGUGUCUAGAUCCACAUGUGACACCAAUCCAGCUACAAACGGAGGUAGAAGUAGACCAAUUGGUUGCCAAGAAAUUGUAAGGAUCAUGAGUUAUAUGAGAUUUGAGUGCUAGAAAAGCAGAUUGAUCAACGGUGAUGCUAGAAUAUUUUGCAGACAAAAUAACCCCAAAGGUUGCGAAUAGCAGCCCAAACAUAAACGGAGGGAGGAAGACGGUGAUAGUCUCCAAGAGAAAGAGACAAGCAAGGAGGGUGAAGGCAAAGUGGCAAACAAUACAUUCAUUACAUAUUUAUUGUUGCAUAUCUCAUUUUAUUUACUGUCACUAGACACUUUUUAUAUAUAUAAAUUAUUAAAUAUUAAAUUUCAUAUAUAAAAAAAAUCCACAUAUUACUUAUUUUAUUAAUACAUAAAAGUAAACCGUUUAGAUGAUUUCAAGUUAAAAAAACAAUAUAUUUUAGAUUUUAUGUGGAUUCUUUUUAAGUUCAAUUUUCAAAUUAUUCAGAUUUCCAUCAUCAAAGUUGAAUAGUUUGUAAUUCAAAUUAUUGCUCUCUUUUUACUUGUACCAAUAUUUCCUAUAUUUUUCUUAUGUUAAAAUAGUCAAAGUAUUAAAUAUAUAAUUAGUUGUAGAGAAGUCAAAAGCUAAUUAAUAAUAUAUAGGGAUUGCAUAAAUGUAACAACAAAAAGAAAAAAAAAUCAAAGCUACUUAAUGGUUGUAUUUUGUGAGGCUGUGGAAGUUGAAAGAGCAAUAAUUUUAAGCUGUCUAAUGAAAAUAUUAAACUAAAACUUUAGUAAAGUUUAAUUAUAUAUUAUAUUUUAAUAAAAUUACAUAUCUUAAAUCGAAAAAUAAUUUAAUCAAUCAUCUGUAUUAGUUUUGAAGUUCAGGCUUACAUAUAUAGAAUAUAUAUUGAUUGAGUUAGAAAUACUCAAAUUUGUUUCUUAUACUCAAAAUGUUUACACAUGACACAAUAAUAUUCAUAACUUUUUUUAAUGAAAUAAUAUUCAUAACUUCAACUUUAUUUGGAAGAAAAAUUGGAAAUCAAUAAUAUUUGCUAUACACAUGAAUGGAGUGUAUAAAAUGAAUGAUUAGUAGAGUUUAAUAUUAUAUAUAUUUUAAUAUUUAAUAAAAUUACAUCUUUUAAUUCAAAAAGAUAUUUUAAUCAAUCAAUUUUAUUAGUUUUCGAGUUGAGGCUUAUAUAUAUAUAUAAUAUAUAUUAAUUGAGUUAGAAAUAGUACAAAAAGUUGACAUUUUUUAAAAGUAUGAUAAUUUGAAUAGAAGUAACAUAUGCUAAUGUGGAGUAAUUGUUCCAUAUAAUCCUUUUUAUGAUGAAAUCAUUGCUUAAUUUACUUCAUAACUUCUUACAUUUAGACAUAAUAAUGAGGUUUUAAUCUUUUAAGGUAACUUUUAUUUUAUUUACUUAAAAAAUUGCAUAAAUUUAAUUAAAAAAAAGAGAAUAAAAGAAACAUGAAAUUAUACCUGUCAAUUUGUUAUGGUUAAGAUAAAGAAAUUGGAGAGAAGUCAAGUUUCCAAUAACAAGAGGAAUUUCACCUGAAACGUAUAAUUAAAUCGGUCAAAAUUUGUAAAUAUCAUAUUAGUGUCUGUUUCAUUUACCUAUUUUUAAAUAUGUAAGUUUUGUUUAGUCUUAUAGCACUUAUGAUAACCCAAAAAUAUUUUAAUUAUAAUACUCAAAUUAACAAUAAAAAAUAUUUAUGUUUGUGCCAGAAAAAAACACUGCAUAGAUCACAAAAAGGAAAAACUAAAACAUCCAAAAAACACUAAACACAAAAUUCAUAGUUGUAGAGGAGGAUUAGAUACAUUGGUCCCAUAAUAUGUCACUCAAAAUCUCAAAAUCAUCCAACAAAAAGAAAUCAUCACUUUAGUUAAUUAAAUCAAGAACAAAUAAAGUUAUGGAUGAACAAAUAUGGGAAGCAAAGAAAUGUGAUGGAUCAAAAGGGACGGAUAAGCUAAUUUCUGCCAUAAGGUAGAUGGUGAACUUAGGAUGUGGAGUUCCAAUAAACACCUAAACAUACCUAAACUUUUGGCAAUUCAAAUAGAUUAUACUAAUUUUUAAUUACUUAAAAAUAUUGCAUAAAUUUAAUAACAAAAUAGAGAAUAAAAGAAAUAUGAAAUUAUACCUGUCAAAUUGUUAUUGCUAAGAUAAAGAAAUUGGAGAGAAGUCAAGUUUCCAAUAACAAGAGAAAUUUCACCUGAAACGUAUAAUUAAAUCAAUAAAUAUUUGUAAAUAUUUUCCUAGCAAACCCUUAAUUUAUUUGUUGAGCAUAUUAGUGUCUGUUUGAUUUACCUAUUUUUAAAUAUGCAAGUUUUGUUUAGUCUUAUAGUACUUAUGAUAACCCAAAAAUAUUUUAAUUAUAAUACCCAAAAAUUUCAGGCCCAUAUUUUGGGCCGGGCCGAGCCCGAGCCUAGGACGAGGACCAAAAAUUUUUCUAGGCCCAGCCCAAACCUAGCCCGACCCAUGAUCACCUCUAUUGCAUACAAUAUGUUUCCCUAAACUACUUAUUAUUUAUCUCUCGCCACAAAUUAUCAAAAACACAUUUGCAUUUUAAGCCAAACAUUUAUAAUAGUGAUAAGUGCUGUAUUGAUUAAUAAUAUAUAACAACUAAAAAGGGAUUGCAUAAAUGUAACAACAACAAGGAAAAAAAUGAUAUUAUACCUAAUAAGUUGUUAUUAGAAAUAUAAAUAGCUUCGAGAAUGGUCAAGUUUCCAAUAGUUGAUGGGAUUUCACCUAAAAAUAUAAAUAAAUGGGUCAAAAUAAUCAACGGAAUUUCACCUAAAAUAUAAUAAAGAUGAUAUUUUACCUGUAAAGUAGUUAAGACCAAGAUAGAUAUUCGUGAGAGAAAUAAGGUUUCCAAUAAUUGAUGGAAUUUCACCUAAAAUAUAUAAUUAAAAUUAUCAAUUUAUUUCAAAAAAAAACCAAAAUUUAUUAAUUAUUUACCAAAAUAAUACAAAAAAAAAUAAAAAAAUACCAAAAUAUUACAACUUUUUUAUUAUUUACCGAAAUAAUACAAAAAAAAGAGUUAAAAAAAAAUACUGAAGGAGGAAUAGCUUAGAACAUUACAAGCUUAAAAGACCAAUGUAUUUCCUAUUCAAUAAUAUCAACUAUGGCUUAGCAACAACUAAAUCAAGACCUAAACAAUAAGGCAAAUCUAAAAGGGUAAGAAAUAGGUCCAAAUUAUAAUUCAGAACAUAAAUUAAUUUUUAAUGUAAAAUUUAAAUAAAAUUUAAAAUUCUUUUAUUAUCAAAUAAAUUUCUUAAUAAAAUUCUUUUAUUAUCAAAUAAAAUUCUUAAUGAAAAAAUAAAACAUCUAAAAAUAUAUGUCUUAUACCAAGAUUCUUAUAUUUUUCUAAUAUGUCACUUUAGUUAAUUAAAGCAAGAACAAAUAAAGUUAUGGAUGAACAAAUAUGGGAAUCAAAGAAAAACGAUGGAUCAAAAGGGACGAAUAAGCUAAUUUCUGCCAUAAGGUAGAUGGUGAACUUAGGAUGUGGAGUUCCAAUAAACACCUAAACAUACCUAAACUUUUGGCAAUUCAAAUAGAUUAUACUAAUUUUUAAUUACUUAAAAAUAUUGCAUAAAUUUAAUAACAAAAUAGAGAAUAAAAGAAACAUGAAAUUAUACCUGUCAAAUUGUUAUUGCUAAGAUAAAGAAAUUGGAGAGAAGUCAAGUUUCCAAUAACAAGAGGAAUUUCACCUGAAACGUAUAAUUAAAUCAGUAAAUAUUUGUAAAUAUUUUCCUAGCAAACCCUUAAUUUAUUUGUUGAGCAUAUUAGUGUCUGUUUGAUUUACCUAUUUUUGAAUAUGCAAGUUUUGUUUAGUUUUAUAGUAUUAUGCCAACCCAAAAAUAUUUUAAUUACAAUACUCAAAUUUAUAGUUGAAAUGAUGAUGGAAAUUAGAUGAAAAUUUAAAUUUAAAAUGAAAAAUAUAAAAUUAUAAAUAGAUAUAAAUUUUCAUCUAAAACUUGACAUUUUUGAAACCUAAGUUAUAGCAUAAUGUGUAGUUUUUUUCUAUCAUUAUAAAUUAUGUUAAAUUUUGUUGAAUGUAGUGGUGCCAACGAGUUUAAUAUUCAAAUCAUCAUAUUGAUAUUGAGACACUGAAUUAUUGAUAUUUUUCUUAUUCUUAUAUUUUUCUAAUUUUAAAGUAGUUAAAGGAUUAAAUGUGUAAUUAAUUGUUUUUAAGCCAAAAGUAUUAUAGUAAUAUAAAAAGAAAAUAUGAGUAUAUAAAGAAAAUAAAACUAUGAUAUAAAACUAUGUUUUAAAAAGUACUUAUUAGUGCUUAUGAUAACCCAAAAACAUUUUAAUUAUAUAACACUCAAAUUUGAGUGUAGUGGUGCAAACCAGGUUUAAUUACUUCAUAACAUCUUACAUUUUCUAAAUGCAUUAUAAUGACUUCAAUGUUUUAAUCUUUUUAAGGUAACUUUUAUUUUAAUUACUUAAAAAGAUUGUAUAAAUUUAAUAACAAAAAGGAGAAUGAAAGAAACAUGAAAUUGUACCUGUCAAUUUGUUAUUACGAAAAGAAAGCACUCGAAGAGAAGUCAAGUUUCCAAUAACAAGAGGAAUUUCACCUGAAAUAUAUAAUUAAAUGAGUAAAUAUAUAAUUAUUUUUAAUAAUUAUUUUAAGAGUUAAAUAAGGCAAAUCUAAAAUGUAGAAGAAAUAGCUAAUUAGAAGUAGUGUGUGAUUCAAAAGGGUAUAAAGUAGGUCCAAAUUAAAAAUCAAAUCUUAAAAUAAUUUAAUCUAAAAUUUAACUCUUUUCUUAUCACUAAAUAAAUUAACUUUUAGAGAAAUUAGAAGUUUUAAUAAAAUACCUGAAAUAACUGAUUGUUUAUGACUAGGUGAAAAUUAGAUGAAAAAAAAUAUAAUUAAUAAUUUAUAUAGCUAUUAUUGGAAAUCAUCCAUAUUUAUAGAAAGUCAAAGAUAUGAGUAUAAAAAAGAUAUGGGUAUUAGAAAGAUAUGGGUAUCAAAAUCUGAGAUUUAAGACACCAAAAGUGGGAUUGAGAUUUGGCAUAAGAUAAUUGCAAUUUUGAUCCCUGAACUUCAACUAUAAAUAGGCCUAACUAUUUCUCUUCUUCAUCAUCCCAAAUUUGCCAUUCUCUACUUAAGGCAUUGUUUUCUCUCUCUCUUUGUAAAUUCUCACUUGUAUUUUGGAGUGAAAUAUAUUUGGUAGAGCCCGAGGACGUAGGCAAAAUUUGCUGAACCUCGUUAAAUUCUUGUGUUCUUUAUUGUAUUAUUAUGCAUGAAUUGUGAGUGUGAUUGUAGUGAUUUAUUGUGCUAUUAAAUUACGAUUGAGGGAUAUUCUGGCUAGAAAAGACUUGGUACUUAAGCGAUCCUUGUGAUCCACCUCUCUUUCCUGGGAAUUGAAAUUAGUGUGAUUUUUAGUACAAUAAUUUUACUCUUUUACACGCUUCUGCACAAAAAUUGGUAUUAGAGCUAGAUUCGUACUUGGGGAAUACAAUUGUUCACGGCACUGUUCACGUACAGUAGUUGGGAUUGAGGAGAAAAAUGGAAAAGGUAUCGUCAUCAGCAAAGACUAUUGUGACCAAUGCAAAAUUUGAAGUAGAGAAAUUUGAUGGUACCAAUAAUUUUGGUAUGUGGCAAUGUGAGAUCCUAGAUGUCUUAUGUUAGCAAGAGCUGGAUAUAGCCCUUGAAGAAAAACCUGACAAGAGGGAAGACAAGGAGUGGGCUAAAAUUAAUAGACAGACAUGUGGAACAAUUCGUCUAUGUUUGGCCAAAGAGCAGAAGUACUCUGUCAUAAGGGAGACAUCAACGAAGAAGUUGAGGGAUACACUGAAAGAAAAGUUUCUAACAAAAAGUCUUGAAAAUAGGCUUUAUAUGAAAAAGAAACUUUAUCGAUUCACGUAUGUACCCAGUAUGUCGAUGGAUGACCAUGAGAACUCAUUCAAUAAAAUUUUAACAGAUUUGCUAAAUUUGGAUGAGAAAUUUGAAGAUGAAGACAAGGCAUUACUGUUGUUGAAUUAUCUUCUUGAUGAUGAUCAUCUUACCACCACAUUGCUCUAUGGAAGGAUACGAUCACAUUUGAUGCAGUCUGUAGUGCGUUGUAUAGAUCUGAGACUCGAAAGAAAGAUAAAAAAGAUCACAGAGAUACAACUACAGAAGUCUUAACAGUAAGAGGUCGUUCGGACAACAACAAAUCAGGUAGAAGUAGUAAGUCCAAAGGGAGACCUGCCAAAGAUAAAUGUGUUUUUUGUCGUGAGAAAGGGCAUUAGAAAAAGAAUUGUCCUAAGUUACAAAAGGGCAAGGCUAUUUCUGAUGCAUGUGUAGUGGAGUAUGAUGAGGAGUCAGACUUUAGCUUGGUUGGCAUGACAAUGGCAUGUCAUAUAGAUGAGUAGAUUUUGGAUUCGAGAUGUACUUACCAUAUGUGUCCUAAUAAGGACUGGUUUUCUAGUCUUAAAGAACUAGAAGGUGGAGUUGUUUUUAUGGGCAAUGACAGCGUUUGUAAGACAAUGGGAGUAUGUACAAUCCAACUGACGAAUCACGACGGCUCAAUUCAAGUCUUGACAGAUGUUCGCUAUAUACCUAGCUUGAAGAAAAAUCUCAUCUCAUUAGGGGUCCUAGAAUCUAAAGGGCUCACAAUCACUUUGAGAGGGAUUACUAAAGGUAGUAGCUGGGGGGUAUUGACGGUGAUGAAAGGCACAAGAAGGAAUAACCUGUACUAUUUAAAUGGUAGUACAGUUAUUGGAUCAACAUCAACAGUUUCUGUGAAAGAUGCAGAUUCAGAGCCUACCAGGUUAUGGCAUAUGCGAUUGAGACAUGCUGGUGAAAAAGCUUUGUAGAGUUUGGUGAAGCAAGGCUUGUUGAAAGGUGAAAAUUCUUGUAAAUUGGAAUUCUGUGAACAUUGUGCUCUAGGCAAGCAGACGAGGAUAAAAUUUGGUUCAACAAUUCACAAUACAAAAGGAAUUCUGGACUACGUUCACAGUGAUGUGUGGGGACCUACUAAAGUGGCUUCUUUGGUAGGUAUGCACUACUUUGUUACUUUUGUUGAUGAUUAUUCAAGAAAAGUAUGGGUGCAUCUAAUGAAAAGAAAACAAAUGAAGUUUUGGAUGCAUUUCUGAAAUGGAAGAAGGUGGUGGAGACCUAAAUUGGUCAAAAGGUCAAACAACUUCGAUCAGACAAUGGUACUGAUUACAAGAAUGAUCCAUUUCUACAAGUAAGUCAAGAUGAGGGCAUUGUGUGACACUUCACUGUUCGAGAUACACCACAACAGAAUGGGGUGGCAGAACGUAUGAAUCGGACUAUACUGGAGAAAGUUUUAUGUAUGUUGUCCAAUGCUAGAUUGGGCAAGGAAUUUUGGGCUGAGACAGUUACAUAUGCGUGCCAUCUAAUUAACCGGUUGCCAUCAGCUGUAAUAAAUGGAAAAACUCCUAUGGAGAGGUGGGCUGGUAAACCUGCUACUGAUUAUGAUUCUUUACAUGUUUUUGGUUCCACUACAUAUUAUCAUGUAAAAGAAUCUAAGUUAGACCCAAGAGCAAAAAAAAGCAUUAUUCAUGGGUAUAACUGGUGGAGUAAAAGGAUAUUGUCUCUGGUGUCCUGAUACAAGGAAGAUUGUUUUCAGUAGAGAUGUGACUUUUGAUGAAUCAACCAUGAUGAAGAAUAAUGAUUCACAAAAUGAUAACAAAACUAGUGGCACUUUGUAGCAGGUGGAGCUUGAAAAGGUUAAUGAUGAUCCAGCUAAUAUUGAAGGAACAAAUGAUGAAGAAGUUUUGACCCAAGAACUUUUACAGCAACAUGAUUCAAUUGCAUAUAAGAGGCCAAGAAGAGAGGUUCGUAUGCCUGCUCGCUUUGAUGAUAUUGUGGCCUAUGCACUUCCAAUUGCAGAUGAUGAUGUUCCUUCUAUUUAUAUAGAAGCAAGAAGUAACCCUGAUGGUGUAAAGUGGAAGCGAGCUAUGAAUGAAGAAAUGCAGUCUCUUCAUAAAAAUAGGACUUGGGAGUUGGUGACACUACCCAAAGGAAAGAAGGCAAUUGGAUGCAAAUGGGUAUAUGCAAAGAAGGAAGGAUUUCCUGGUAAAAAUGAAGUUCGAUACGAGGCUAGAUUGGUAGCAAAGGGUUACGCUCAGAAAGAAGGAAUAAACUACAAUGAAGUGUUUUCUCCAGUUGUGAAGCAUUCGUCUAUUCAGAUUUUGCUAGCCUUGGUUGCGCAAUAUGAUCUUGAACUAGUUUAGCUUGAUGUGAAGAUCGUAUUUUUACACGGUGAUUUGGAAGAGGAAAUCUAUAUGACUCGGCCAGAAGGAUUCAAGGUUGCUGAUAAAGAAAAUUGGGUUUGUAAACUGACAAAGUCACUUUAUGGAUUGAAACAAUCUCUGAGGCACUGGUACAAGCGAUUUGAUCAGUUCAUGAAAGGGUAAAGGUCCACAAGAAGUAAAUUUGAUCAUUGCGUGUAUUUUCAAAAGCUACAAGAAGGAUUUUUCAUAUACUUGCUUUUAUAUGUUGAUGAUAUGUUGAUAGCAUCUAAGAGUAAAGUUGAAAUUGAGAGAUUGAAGACUCAACUCAACCUUGAGUUUCAGAUGAAAGACCUAGGUGAAACUAAUAAGAUUCUUGGCAUUGAAAUAUGUAGGGAUAAAGCUCAUGGCAGAGUUAGUUUGUCUCAGAAGCAAUAUUUGAAGAAGGUACUAUAGAAGUUUGGCAUGAACGAGCAAACAAAAGCUGUAAGUACCCAGUUGGCUUCUCAUUUCAAGCUUUCUACACAACUAUCUCCUUCGACUAAUACGGAACAAGAAUACAUGUUACAAGUUCCGUAUUCUAAUGCAGUAGGUAGCUUGAUGUAUGCAAUGGUGUGUACAAGACCCGACAUUUCACAGGCAGUUAGUAUAGUGAGCAGGUAUAUGCACAAUCCUGGAAAAGGACAUUGGCAAGCUGUGAAAAGGAUUCUACGGUAUAUUCAGAAUACCAUGGAUAUUGGAUUACUGUUUAAGCAGGAUACUACACUUGGUAAAUGUGUUAUUGGGUAUGUUGAUUCUGAUUAUGCCCAUGAUUUGGUCAAACGAAGAUCAAUCACUGGUUAUGUGUUUACACUUGCUGGAGGACCAAUAAGUUAGAAGUCUACAUUGCAGUCUACAGUUGCAUUGUCAACCACAGAAGUUGAAUACAUAGCUGUAACAGAGGCUGUAAAGAAAGCUAUUUGGUUACAAGGUAUGGUUAAAACCUUGGGAUUGGUUCAGGAGCAUAUUAACGUGUAUUGUGAUAGUCAAAGUGCUAUUCAUUUAGCAAAGAUUCAAGUCUAUCAUGCACGUACAAAACAUAUCGACGUACGUUUCCAUUUUGUGUGGGAAAUUAUUGAUGAGGGGAAAAUUCACCUUCAGAAUAUUAAGACUGCAGAUAAUCCCGCAGAUAUGAUGACCAAGGUGGUGACAACCAUCAAGUUCGAACAUUGUUUGAACUUGAUCAAUAUUCUGCAUGUUUAACAGUUGAAGAAGGCACUAUCAAGUGUUGUUGAUAAAGGCAAAGAGAAUUGUGUGAAUAUAAGAUUAUUCGAAUCAAAUCUUCAAGAUGGAGAUUAUUAGAAAUCAUCCAUAUUUAUAGAAAGUCAAAGAUAUGGGUAUCGGAAAGAUAUGGGUAUCAAAAUCUAAGAUUUAAGGCACCAAAAGUGGGAUUGAGAUUUGGCAUAAGAUAAUUGCAAUUUUGAUCCCUGAACUUCAACUAUAAAUAGGCCUAACCAUUUCUCUUCUUCAUCAUCCCAAAUUUGCCAUUCUCUACUUAAGGCAUUGUUUUCUCUCUCUCUCUCUCUUUGUAAAUUCUCACUUGUAUUUUGGAGUGAAAUAUAUUUGGUAGUGCCCGAGGACGUAGGCAAAAUUUGCUAAACCUCGUUAAAUUCUUGUGUUCUUUAUUGUAUUAUUCUGCAUGAAUUGUGAGUGUGAUUGUAGUGAUUUAUUGUGCUAUUAAAUUGGGAUUGAGGGAUAUUCUGGCUAGGAAAGACCUGGUACUUAAGCGAUCCUUGUGAUCCACCUCUCUUUCCUAGGAAUUGAACUUAGUGUGAUUUUUUAGUACAAUAAUUUUACUCUUUUACACGCUUCCGCACAACAGCUAUUUCUCUCAUUCUAUGGACUAUGGUGGAGCAAAAAUUAAUAAAAAAAAUCAAACGGAUAGAAAUAGCUGAGUUACAAGUUUAUGUUAAUUCAAUAAAUUUAAAAAAAAACACAUUAUUUCCAAAAGGGUAAGAAAUAGGUCCAAAUUAUAAUUCAGAAUAUAAAUUAAUUUAAUGUAAAAUUUAAAUAAAAUUGAAAAUUUUUGUUAUUAUCAAAUUGAAAAAAACACCGAUCAUAAAAAGGAAAAACUAAAACAUCCAAAAAACACUAAACACAAAAUUCAUAGUUAUAGAGGAGGAUUAGAUACAUUGGUCCCAUAAUAUGUCACUCAAAAUCUCAAAAUCUCAAAAUCAUCCAACAAAAAGAAAUCAUCACUUUAGUUAAUUAAAUCAAGAACAAAUAAAGUUAUGGAUGAACAAAUAUGGGAAGCAAAGAAUGAUGAUCACGAGAGAAAUAAGGUUUCCAAUAACAGAUAAAAUUUCACCUAACACAUAUAAUUAAAAUCAUUAAAAUUUACUAACAGAUCUUAAAAUGGUUAUUUUGUGAGGCUGUGGGAGUUGUGUGAAGAAGAAAAAGAGGGAAUGGCAGUGGGUCAAUGCGGGUAGGUAUAAGUCUGAAACAUAUAAUAUCAACUAUGUACUCUGUAAUCAAGGCUAAGAGAAAUAAAGUACUCUAUUUCUUUCCUAUUCAAGAAUAUCAACACAUAAAUAAUAAGGAUAGAAAAAAUAGGUAAUUACAAGUCUUGUGUGAUUCAAAAGGGUAUAAAGUAGGUCCUAAUUAAAAAUCAAACCUUAAAUUAAUUUAAUGUAAAAUUUAACUCUUUUCUUAUCACCAAAUAAAUCUACUUCUAGUAAAUUAGGAGUUUUAAUAAAAUACUUGUAAGAACUGAUUGUUUAUGACUAGGUGUUUUGUUUUCAACAUAUUUGGAAUUAACUUGCCUUAGAAAAACAGUCUCUAUUAUUUUAAGAAUAUUAUAGAAGGGUAGAACUAUGAAAGCGGUUAGUAAAACAUGAGAUGCUAAAAAUAGACACAUGCCAUAAUAGGAAGGAAAAUUAGAAACAAACUCCUAAACCAAAUAAUUGGUUGAUGGCUGAAUUGUCAUGUACGGGGUUGUGGAGGUGACUAUGAGUUUUGAUGUGUUCCUACCUGCUACUAAGGGUAACUCAGGAGUUGCAUUAAAAAUCUGACUUCGUUUGUUUGGCACCAAUUAAAUUGGUUGAUGGCUAGCUCAAUUCACAUAAAUAAUGUAUAUAUACUCUAUGAGUUGCAUUAGUGGUUAUUGUUUAAAGUCCCGCUUCACUAUUUAAAACAACUGUCGAUGGAAAUUAGAUAAAAAUGAAUGACACGAUAACCAGGACUUGUUUACCUUUGAAAUAGUUGUCACCAAGAUCCAAAGUCUCGAGAAAGGUCAAAUUUCCAAUUUCUGUAGGUAUACUUCCCUCCAAGGAGUUGUUAAACAAUGAUAAAAACUUCAGCUCUUUGCACUUGAAUAAACUAUUUGGAAUUCUACCGGUAAUUUGAUUCCCACCCAAGCUCAACCUUUCUAGUUUUGACAAAUUGCCUAGAGUAGAUGGGAUAACACCAACGAAGUUGUUAAGGUACAGAGACAAUCUUUGAAGUUUACUGAAGCAACCAAACCAUGAUGGGAUUUCUCCAUUGAAGCUAUUGUUACCAAAGUCCAAAUAUUUCAUCCGACGCAAAUUAGUUAACUCAAUGGGUAAAGAGCCAUGGAAACUAUUUUGAUGAAUGCCGAGCCAAGCAAGGAAAGAUAGAUUUCCCAAUAGAGAAGAAAUGGUGCCUGUGAGAUCCAUGCUUGACAAAUUCAGAGCAGUGACUCUAUGGUGUCUAGAUCCACAUGUGACACCAAUCCAGCUACAAACGGAGGUAGAAGUAGACCAAUUGGUUGCCAAGAAAUUGUGAGGAUCAUGAGUUAUAUGAGAUUUUAGUGCUAGAAGAGCAGAUUGAUCAACGGUGAUGCUAGAAUAUUUUGCAGACAAAAUAACCCCAAAGGUUGCGAAUAGCAGCCCAAACAUAAACGGAGGGAGGAAGCUUGGUUUUGCCAUAAGGUUGGAUACGGGUGUCAGGCGCAUCAUAAGGAGAGAAACAACCGAAUUUAAUACUUUUCUAAUGUUAUAGUUCAAUAUUCUUUAAAUACUUUGAUUCUAAGGAUUUAAGCAAGGCAUCCAUUGACUCAUAAUUUGAGUAAGAAAUACGUACAAUCUUGUGGGUCCAACCAUGUUAUAGGAAAAAAAAAAGGGAAGGCUUAGUCUCAAGUUGAAGAGUAGCACUAAUAAUCCAAUUGUAGGUUUGGGAAAAAAUUUAAGAUGUAGAAAAUUUUUAUUAUUAUUAAAACUCUUAUCAAAUACUUAUUUGACGCAAGUUUAAAUUGUGUUGAUCUCAUUUUAUAUUCCAAUGACAAUUUGAAUAAUUAGUAAUUUUUUUAUUUUUAAUUAAUAUAAAAAUUCUCAACUCAAAUUUUAAAUUAAAAAUUAAAAGUACUUUGUAAGUUUAUAGUAAUUGUAAGUUUCAUUUCAUAAAUUAGAAGAAUUUAUUGUUAUAAUUUUAAUUUUUUUAAACAUAUAGUUCAACAUUUUUAUUUAAAAAAAAUAGCAUACUAGUUUUAGAUUAUAUGAUAAUUAAAUUUAAUUAAGAUUUAUUAUACUUUAAUUAACUAUUAAUCACACUUACUGAUUUUCAUCAUCAUCAUUCAGUAUCUAUUAUUUAUUAUUGAUUUAUUGGCCAUUUUAAUCCUUGAGAUAAUUGCCAUCUAGGUCCCUAAGCUUUUUAUUAAUUAAAACUCAAUAAUAAAUAUAUCGAUGGAGCUUUGGUUUUAGUGGGCAUGAAACCAUGGAGUCUUUACAGCUUUGAGGGAAAAAAAGACAGAAAAAGAAUUUUAAAGACACAAAUUAAUAAAUUAAUUUUUUUAAUCUACGUUUUAUUAAAACACACACCCAAAAAUCACCUCAUUUUCCCGUAGCUUAUUAUUUACAGUUUUUCUUGCAAUCCAAGUGCAAUCCAAUUGGCAAUUGGAAAAUGAUACGAUGUUUAUGUUUUAUUUUUUUUCAUUUUUAAAUAUAAUAAAGGCGAAAUUGACGGAAGGAAAAACUUUCUCCUUGGUUUAAAAGUCCAGAUAUCAAUUACAAGACAUAAAAAACAAAGACAAGUAUUGGUGGCCAGUAGAUGAUAGUGAGUGACACUAUUUGAUUUAGUCUAAUUAUUACAACAUGUUUGAUUCAAACUAUUUUGUAUUUGGCAGCGAAGCAGGUCGAAGAUGGCAGAUUUUACCUCCCUGACUACAGUGGAGUACAUUGAAGCCGAUAACUCUAUCUCCCUGUAUUUGGCAGUGGAAUAGAUUGAAGAUUGCAGAUCUUGCCUUCCUGUAUUUGGCAGCGAAGCAAGUCGAAGAUGGCGGAUUUUACCUCCCUGACUACAGUGGAGUACAUUGAAGCCGAUAACUCUAUCUCCCUGUAUUUGGCAGUGGAAUAGAUUGAAGAUUGCAGAUCUUGCCUUCCUGUAUUUGGCAGCGAAGCAGGUCGAAGAUGGCGGAUUUUACCUCCCUGACUACAGUGGAGUACAUUGAAGCCGAUAACUCUAUCUCCCUGUAUUUGGCAGUGGAAUAGAUUGAAGAUUGCAGAUCUUGCCUUCCUGUAUUUGGCAGCGAAGCAGGUCGAAGAUGGCAGAUUUUACCUCCCUGACUACAGUGGAGUACAUUGAAGCCGAUAAUUCUAUCUCCCUGUAUUUGGCAGUGGAAUAGAUUGAAGAUUGCAGAUCUUGCCUUCCUGUAUUUGGCAGCGAAGCAGAUCAAAUAUGGCAGAUUUUACCUCCCUGACUACAGUGGAGUACAUUGAAGCCGAUAAUUCUAUCUCCCUGUAUUUGGCAGUGGAAUAGAUUGAAGAUUACAGAUCUUGCCUUCCUGUAUUUGGCAGUGAAGCAGAUCAAAGAUGUCAGAUUUUACCUCCCUGACUACAGUGGAGUACAUUGAAGCCGAUAACUCUAUCUCCCUGUAUUUGGCAGUGGAAUAGAUUGAAGAUUACAGAUCUUAUCUCCCUAAGCAAUAAUGGAGUAGGUUGAAGACGGCAGAUUUUACCUCCCUGAUUACAGUGGAGUACAUUGAAGCUGGUAGUUCUACUUCCCUGGGAAACAGUGGAAUAGAUCGAAGAUUACAAUCUUAUCUCCCUAAGCAGUAGUGGAGUAGAUCGCAUUAAGUCUUAUCUCCCUAAGCAGUAGUGGAGCAGACAAAACCACAGAUCUUAUUUCCCUAAGCAAUAGUGGAGCAGAUCGCAUCAAGUCUUAUCUCCCUAAGUAGUAGUGGAGCAGACUAAAAACACAAAUCUCAUCCCCAUGGAAUCGUAGCAGAUUAGAUUGAAGCUACAAGGCGUAUCUGAAGUUGCAUUAGAGUGGAUCGAAGCAACAAGACGUAGCAGGCUGGAAUAAGGCUACUGGAAGAAGAUGAGCACCAAAAAGUCAAGACUCGGCAAGACCGGGCAAAAUUGGCCCUUUUGAUGUCUUUGCUCUAUUCUCGUUACACGAAAAUGAGCAAAGAGGGGCAGCUGUAAAGGCCCAAUUUUGGCCCAACUUAAACCAACCCUAACCAAAACCCAGUCCCAACCAGACCCACUACCUAAACACUAAAAACCCAACACCAGCCCAAAACAGUGAAGCCCGAUAGGCCCAAGUCUCUAAAAAAAUUUUUGGAAAGCCAGAAACCCUAGGGUUUCUGGCGCCGUUGCCCCAUGUGCGCGACCACGCAGUCCCCACUUCCUCCUCUGCCCAAAACCUAGCACUGCCCAUACCGUUUGCACCCCAUGCCUCUGUCACCUCCAUCGUGCCCAUCCCAUGCAAAGAGACAAAGCAUAAACAAUAAGAAAUUAGAUGAAAGUGGGUUAUAAAAACCCGAAUCAAAAUUGUAUGGCGGGGGGUUUUUUUUUUCUUUUCUGUUUUCGUUUUAACAUUCGUUCAAAUGUUCAAAAGAAAUCAACAACCAAGAUAGAAUGAAACACAUGUACAAGCCGUGAUUUUAACACUGAAAUCAGAAGUUCAAAGUUGUCAAAAAAAAUCAAAAACUACAAAGUAUAAGGUAAUCUUUUUCUUUAUUUUUUUCUCGUUUUCUAAACCUAUUUUCCAUACAUAAAUAUUAAUAUAUAUAUAUAUAUAAUACAAGAAAUAAAAAAAUAAAAAAAAUAAAUUUUUUUUACCUUUUUCGGCCACCGCGUGCGGUGGCCGGCGCCGGCGCCGGCGAGCCUCCGGUGGCCGUCUGGUGACCGGCCCCCCUGGCCGGAUUUUCCUUCCCCCCUCCCUUCUCUCUCCCUUCUCUCUUCCCUCUCUCUUCCUUUUUUUUCUUUCCCUCUCCCCAAAUGAUUUUUUUUGGUUAUUUUAGGCCUUAUAUAGCCCUCCAAAACGACGUCGUUUUGGGGGCUACACUUAAGCCUCAAAACGACGUCGUUUUGACCAUGCCCGACCCAUCCGACCCGACCCGCUAGAGGAUCCGCGUGUUUUCGUUUGAAUGGGAUAUUUAUGCGCGCAGUCCUUCCGCUUUUUCAGGGUUUUGCAAUUAAGUCAUUUUUCUUGUUUCCAAUUUGGCCCCAUAAUUUCUCGCGCUUUUCGAUUUAGUCCCCGCUAAUGUGCUGCGUUUUAAUGGAAUGGAAUAAUUGUUGUUUCGGUCCCCCUAUGUUUUGUGUGCGCUCAAAUAAGCCCAUUUCUCUUUAUUUCCUUUCACAUUUGCCCCACAACUUUGUUUUUAAUUCAAUUUUAGUCCUUUUUUUCGUUUAUUCUUAUAUCUUUAUUAAAUAUCCUUGUUAUUUUUAUAUUAUUAGUAUUAUUAGUAUUACUAUUAUUAUUAUGUAUUAGUAUAUAUUUUUAUUAUGUACGCGUAUACAUAUAUAUAUAUAUUUUCAUAUUUAAUAUUUUUAUUUCAUUUUUAUUCUAAUAUUUUAUUAUAAUUUAUAUAUAUAUACAUGUACAUAUUCUUUAUUUAUUUUAAGUAUAUAUUUUUUAUAUUUCAUAUUUUCUACAGGCAUAUAUAUACUUAUAUAUUUACAUAUUUUAAUUCAUAUACUUAUAAAUGUAUGUACAUACUUACGUUAUUUUAUUUUUUUAAUAUACAUAUUUAUAUUUUUUUGUCUUUAUGUAAUAUAUAUACAUACAUGCGCAUGUUAUUUAUAUAUAUGUAAUUAUGUUUUCAUAUUUUAUAAUUCUUAUACAUACACAUAUAUAUAUACGUAUAGACAUACAUAUUUUCAUUAUAUAUAUACCUACAUAGUUUUUUUUUGUAUUUUAAAUCUUUUAAAAUUCAUACAUACAUUUUUAAAACUUUUAUAAUUUUAUUCAUUUCUUUAUUAUUAUUAUUGUUUUACUUUAUGUUUAUUUAUUUAUGUGUCCAUUAUUAUUUUUUUUUAAAAUGUUUUAGUUUUUUUUAUUUUGUUUAUUUACUUGUUAUUGUAUAUAAUUGAUUUUUUAUAUAUUUAUUUUUGUUAUCUUCGCUCGUAUUAUUUUUACUCGCAUUAUCGUAAUUGUUAUUCCGUCACAUCAAUUUUUACCCGAAUUCGUAAAAAAGGAAAAUUUUGGAAAUAAAAGCAAUACUCAAUACUUGGGAUCUUCGAGAGAAUUGGGCCCUAACGUGCUGGGUUCUAAUUUUCUGUUGAAUCUAAAUGCUCGAGAAUGCUCUUUAAUAAAAAAACAUAAAUAAAAACUCAUUAUCGGGAUUUCAAUAUGUUGUGUCCUAACGCAUUGGAUAUAACACGUGGUUUUCUCGAUAUGAGGAUUUUUCGAAAGUAAAGGCAAUAUUCUGUAUUUAGAAAAUUCGAGAAAAUCGUGCCCUAACUUACUGAGAUUCGAUUUUUCUCGUUGAUUCUAAGUAAUCGAAUAUCCUUUUAAAAUUAAAAUAAAUGAGGUUUAAAUAAAAAAAUAAAAGGAAAGCUUACUCUCAAAAAAUACAAGGUGUCGUGUCCUAACUUACUGGAUGUGACAUCUUGUUAAUUCGAGAUAAGAAGGCAUUUUUCAUUUUGACUUAUCCAAGUAAUUUUUUUUAAAAAAUAACGCAAUAUAAAGAAGGAUCUUAUUUUUAAAUUCUUUUCGAGUUUUUAAUUUUCGACAUAAAGACAUUAAAUAAUCAACUAAGGUACCAAUUUUGGGCGUGUCGAGGGUGCUAAUCCUUCCUCAUGCGUAACCGACUCCCGAACCCUUUUUUUUUCUGAAUUUCGUAGACCAAAAUCGUUAUUUUAAUAAAAAUUAAAUCGUUUAUUAAAAACAACCACUCUUCGAGGUGACCCGAUCACACCUCAUCAAAAAAGAUUGGUGGCGACUCCCAUUUUCGUUUUUAUUUUUAAAAAAACCCAAGUCGACCCCGUUUUCAUCCAAAAAAUGGUGUCAACAGAGUCUUUACAGCUUUGAGGAAAAAAAGACAGAAAAAGAAUUUUAAAGACACAAAUUAAUAAAUUAAUUUUUUUAAUCUACGUUUUAUUAAAACACACACCCAAAAAUCACCUCAUUUUCCCGUAGCUUAUUAUUUACAGUUUUUCUUGCAAUCCAAGUGCGAGAUGAUCACAAAUUCCAAUUGGCAAUUGGAAAAUGAGAUACGAUUUUUAUGUUGUUUUUUUUUUCAUUUUUAAAUAUAAUAAAGGCAAAAUUAACGGAAGGGAAAACUUUCUGCUUGGUUUAAAAGUCAGAUAUCAAUUACAAGACAAAAAAAACAAAGACAAGUAUUGGGGACCAGUAGAUGAUAGUGAGUGACACUAUUUGAUUUAGUCUAAUUAUUACAACAUGUUUGAUUGAAACUAUUUUGUAAUCUCUGAUUAAAUAAAUAUUGACAGGAAAAGACUUCAAUUUUCUUCUUUUCCUUAGCUAUAAAAUUGAAUUUCUAGUUUGGAUUACAUGCCUUUGGUUCUCAUCUCUAGUUGUGUAAGGCUGAGUCGCUGUUAAUUAGUUGGAUGGACCUACAUUAAAAACAUGAAUUGAAAAGAUAAGUAAUAGAAACUUUGUCAGAUUUAGACAAAUAUCAACCACAUCUUUAUUAACAUUUUACAUUUCUUAUCCCAAUAUUCAAAACCAAACAAUAAUACAUUCAUUGCAUGUUCCUUUUCUCAAAUAUCAUUUUAUUUAAUGUCAUUAGACAUUACUCUAUUCUUUUUUCUUUGUGAUAAAAAUUGUUAAACAAAAAAUUAUUACAAAUGUUGUAGGAAUCUAUCCUUUGAGAUUGUUUGAUUCUAGUUUUUGACAAAUUGCUCAAAGUUGAUGGGACAAAACAAGUGAAUUUGAUUCUAGUUUAGUGAGAUCAAAAUUUGUUGGCAAAUUAAAUUACUCAAUGGGUAAAUAUCCAUGGAAGUUAUUGUCCCAAAGUGGGGUUGGACUUGGAUGGUAUCUGCGAGACUCAUUUUUAUCAUAUUCAAAGCAGUGGCUGCCGAAUAAAUUACAACUAGAAAUAAAAAUAGAUCAGUUGGCUGCCAAGAGGUUUUGAGGGUCAUGCUUGUUCCCUAUCAACCCGAGUACUACUAAGUAAGUACCCCUCUAAAUGGGGAGAACUUUGUUGAUCUUUCAUUGGUUUAAAAGUCUAAAUACCAAUUGUAAGGCAUCAAAACAACAAAGACAAGUAUUGGGGACCAGCUGAAGAGAGUGAGUGACACGGUUUGAUUUAGAGUCUCAUGAUUGCAAUAUAUUUGAUCGUGAUCCUCAAAUUUGAUUGAAAUGUCUAACAAAAUAAAUACCAAGAUGGAAAGACCUUUUUUUCUAUAAAAUCUAAAUUUCUAGUUUUGAAGACAUGCUUGUGGUUCUCAUCUCUUACUUGUUCUGCACGGCUAAGUUGCAGUUGCUUCGAUGGACCUAUGUUGGGAAACAUGAAUUGAAAAGAAUGCCAACAAGUAAUAGAAAUUUUGCAAUAUUCAGAUAGAUCAAAUUAAGCUUUUUGUGGACCAUUCUCAGAUAAUUACUUUGGCAAUCUUGAAUUUAACAAUCUAACCAUUAAAUUUAACAAUAUAAUUAUAGUUGUCUUGCAUUUUAAAUUUUGAAUUGAUUUAAUACCUCUAUCAUUUCGGUCCAAAACUUUGUUUAUUUCAUAUAUAUUUAAGUAUUUUUGAAUGUAACUAAGUAAGCAUGUUUCUUCUACCGCGAGUCAAAAGGUUGCAACAAUUUUAGCCAUUUUGUACACAAUAUAACAUUAUAUUGUUGCCUUAAUUAAAGCAGAAUAAUAUAUAUUUCCAUAAGUUUUUAAAAAUAUCAUAAAUUUUCAUUGGGAAUUUUAUUGGUGCAUUCUAAAUUACAUAAUAAUCAGAAAUAUAAAAGAUUUCCAUUGGGAAUUUGUUGGUGUAUUCUCGCCUUUUAGUAAAAGUAAUAAUAAAAAAUUUUGUUGAUUCACCUUUACUAUGAAAAUAAAAAUAAAAAAUUACAAAAUUAGAACCGUAAAUCAAUUUUGGUUUAAAAUUUUAAACCUACAUAUUAAAGUUAAUCUUUGUGUAGAAAAUCUGAUAGGUAAGUAGCAUAGCAUCCAUCUAAUAGAUUAGGAAAUCUGUAGUCUUGAGAUGGAAUAGAUUUUACGGUCACAUUGGCAACCUUAAAUUAUAAUCUUCUUUGAUCUCGUUUGCAUAACAUCCAUCUAAUUUUGAGAAUUCUUCACUUUUAAUUUCAAAAUUGUAAUUAAAUAGUUUUAUCCAAUUAAAUAAUAAUAAUAUAUGGCUAUGGUGAUGUCUAUAAGAUGGGAACAAAAAUUAAACCCGUUGUGAGUGGUGGGGUAGGCGUGGGUAUGACCUUGUACCUAAGUCAUCCCCACCUACCCCAUCCCAUCCCGCAUAAUAUAAUAAACAUAUUUAAAAAAUAAACAUUUAUAAAAAUUAAUUUAAUAAUUAAUUUAAUAAUAUUUAAUUUUUGCUCUUGUGUUGCAUUUGAAGAUAUUUAUGAUGUAUUUGAGAUAUUGUUUGUAUUUUGAUAUUAUGUAAUGACUUUAUUUUUUAAAUUUUUAAACUUGAAAUUAUAUCUUAUUUACCAACUAAAGGUCGUAACGACUUACCUUUUUUUUAAAUAAUGUUUAUUUAAUAUAUCCACAACAAUAUCAGUCUGAUUUACUGAAAAAUAUAUAUUAUAUAUCCACAACAAUAAAUUAAUUUAGUUAUUACGUCUCAUCCAAUAAUAAUAUUUUCACUAUUACCAAAUUUUUUCUCUUUUAAUAAUUGUUUGGAAAAUGGCUUCAAGAUGAAUUUAGACAAAUAGUUUAGUAGUAGAUUAAAUUCUUUGGAUAUAUUAACCAAAUCCACACCAGAAAAAUUUACCUAUGAUGGAUUUAAUUGAACAUAUAAAAUAAUAACUUGUUAGAAGGGUUGAUUAAUUGGAAAGCAUAGAAUGGGUUAAUGAAUUAGAAAGCAAGAAUUUAUAAAACUUAAGGAUAUAAUUUUGUAUUGGAAUUAUUCAGUGGGAUGAAGAGUAAAUUUCAAGUAGCAAAAGGAUGGAUCCAUCUCACUCCCUUCCAUAUUUAGUCUUUUGCAAAUAUUCAAGAAUAGGCUGAUGUACAAUUAUUUUACUUUGAAUGCAUGAGUCUAUGGUAAGGACGGGGUCCCAGCAGUAAGGUAAAAUGGUAAGUGUUGAAACAGAAAAUAAAAGAAAUGUAGAUGAUUUAACGAUGAUGGGGUCUUAUGGUGCUUUGGAAUCAUCGUUUUUUUAAAGAUGAUUUGAUUUGGAGAAAAGGAGAGGCCGGAUGUGGGUAUUUGGUUGUAUCUUUAUUGUUGUACAAAAAUCUUGCUAGUUCGAGGAUCAACUUUCCUUUCAAUUUUAAUAAAAAUUAUAUAUGAACUUGUGAACUUGUAUUCAAAUUGAAUCUUUCCAUUGAGUCGCCCUUGCAAGUCAAUGCAGCAAUCAAGAACCAUAUUAUUAAUACCCAGCUAAGAUCGUGAACGUUUUCUACUCUAUAUCUUUCUCCUAAAUGCUUCAUUCCAGUGAAAAGUGCUGCAAUUCGUACGGCAAUGGCACCUCUGGCGAUAAUUACAUGGAAAUACUCCCAAAUUAAUCUCUUUGUGGAAGCGUCCUCCUCAUUAGCAGGUUUCUCCGGUCUGAGAUAUGCAUUCAUUGGUUGCACAAAGGCAAAAACUAUGGCAGCAAUACCAAGCUUAAAAUGUAAGGAGCUGACAUAGAAACCCCGAAGUUCGGCAACUGCAAAAAGAACACCAAGUAGGAUAAUUGCUAAUCCUGAAUAUUGUAGGUACAUACCAUCCAUCACCCUUUACAUGUUUUAGGUAUCUAGCAGCCAAUAUUCCACCAGGAAUCAAAAUACCCCAGGAGAGGAACAGCAUAAACCCAUGUACAGCUUUGACAGGUUGUAAACCUUGCUCAGCCUCGGAAGAACCACGGAUAAGCAGCACUUGCACAGCCCUUUGACUCGUGACAGUAUGCAUGUUUUUCUCACUGAGAUGUUCAUCAGUCCAUUUUGAACCCAUUGCCCGUAUGACUUUAAGAGGAGUUGUAGGAUAAAAAAUGUUCUUGCACUCUGGCUUAUCAUUUUGAUUGCAUGAUGGUUUUAAUGGACGUGUGAAUUCCAAAGUAAUGAUGCCAUCUUCUGACCUGCACCUGACAUGUGUUAGAUUCUCAUUUGUUAGAUGGAUGUUCAAGGGAUGCUUUCCAUCAAUCCAAUAUGUAUUUAAAUGCCCUUUUCAAGUAUCGCCAAUCCAGCCCACAUAUGCAUAGCUAUUCACCAUCCCAUUACCGAAACCUAUUGCAAGAUAGCCACUCUUAUUCACACCACGGGCAGCAAUAGUUAUUGAAUCUUCUGAUAACGUCCAAAAGAAAGUAACUUGAUCAUCUAAAAGCACACUAGUGUUAUACAUAUCAGACAGGGCACCAUCAAGAACCAUAUUAUUAAUACCCAGCUAAGAUCGUGAACGUUUUCUACUCUAUCUUUCUCCUAAAUGCUUCAUUCCAGUGAAAAGUGCUGCAAUUCGUACGGCAAUGGCACCUCUGCCGAUAAUUACAUGGAAAUACUCCCAAAUUAAUCUCUUUGUGGAAGCGUCCUCCUCAUUAGCAGGUUUCUCCGGUCUAAGAUAUGCAUUCAUUGGUUGCACAAAGGCAAAAACUAUGGCAGCAAUACCAAGCUUAACAUGUAAGGAGCUGACAUAGAAACCCCGAAGUUUGGCAACUGCAAAAAGAACACCAAGUAGGAUAAUUGCUAAUCCUGAAUAUUGUAGGUACAUACCAUCCAUCACCCUUUACAUGUUUUAGGUAUCUAGCAGCCAAUAUUCCACCAGGAAUCAAAAUACCCCAGGAGAGGAACAGCAUAAACCCAUGUACAGCUUUGACAGGUUGUAAACCUUGCUCAGCCUCGGAAGAACCACGGAUAAGCAGCACUUGCACAGCCCUUUGACUCGUGACAGUAUGCAUGUUUUUCUCUCUGAGAUGUUCAUCAGUCCAUUUUGAACCCAUUGCCCGUAUGACUUUAAGAGGAGUUGUAGGAUCAAAAAUGUUCUUGCACUCUGGCUUAUCAUUUUGAUUGCAUGAUGGUUUUAAUGGACGUGUGAAUUCCAAAGUAAUGAUGCCAUCUUCUGACCUGCACCUGACAUGUGUUAGAUUCUCAUUUGUUAGAUGGAUGUUCAAGGGAUGCUUUCCAUCAAUCUAAUAUGUAUUUAAAUGCCCUUUUCCAGUAUCGCCAAUCCAGCCCACAUAUGCAUAGCUAUUCACCAUCCCAUUACCGAAACCUAUUGCAAGAUAGCCACUCUUAUUCACACCACGGGCAGCAAUAGUUAUUGAAUCUUCUGAUAACGUCCAAAAGAAAGUAACUUGAUCAUCUAAAAGCACACUAGUGUUAUACAUAUCAGACAGGGCACCAUCAAGAACCAUAUUAUUAAUACCCAGCUAAGAUCGUGAACGUUUUCUACUCUAUCUUUCUCCUAAAUGCUUCAUUCCAGUGAAAAGUGCUGCAAUUCGUACGGCAAUGGCACCUCUGCCGAUAAUUACAUGGAAAUACUCCCAAAUUAAUCUCUUUGUGGAAGCGUCCUCCUCAUUAGCAGGUUUCUCCGGUCUGAGAUAUGCAUUCAUUGGUUGCACAAAGGCAAAAACUAUGGCAGCAAUACCAAGCUUAACAUGUAAGGAGCUGACAUAGAAACCCCGAAGUUCGGCAACUGCAAAAAGAACACCAAGUAGGAUAAUUGCUAAUCCUGAAUAUUGUAAGUACAUACCAUCCAUCACCCUUUACAUGUUUUAGGUAUCUAGCAGCCAAUAUUCCACCAGGAAUCAAAAUACCCCAGGAGAGGAACAGCAUAAACCCAUGUACAGCUUUGACAGGUUGUAAACCUUGCUCAGCCUCGGAAGAACCACGGAUAAGCAGCACUUGCACAGCCCUUUGACUCGUGACAGUAUGCAUGUUUUUCUCACUGAGAUGUUCAUCAGUCCAUUUUGAACCCAUUGCCCGUAUGACUUUAAGAGGAGUUGUAGGAUCAAAAAUGUUCUUGCACUCUGGCUUAUCAUUUUGAUUGCAUGAUGGUUUUAAUGGACGUGUGAAUUCCAAAGUAAUGAUGCCAUCUUCUGACCUGCACCUGACAUGUGUUAGAUUCUCAUUUGUUAGAUGGAUGUUCAAGGGAUGCUUUCCAUCAAUCCAAUAUGUAUUUAAAUGCCCUUUUCCAGUAUCGCCAAUCCAGCCCACAUAUGCAUAGCUAUUCACCAUCCCAUUACCGAAACCUAUUGCAAGAUAGCCACUCUUAUUCACACCACGGGCAGCAAUAGUUAUUGAAUCUUCUGAUAACGUCCAAAAGAAAGUAACUUGAUCAUCUAAAAGCACACUAGUGUUAUACAUAUCAGACAGGGCACCAUCAAGAACCAUAUUAUUAAUACCCAGCUAAGAUCGUGAACGUUUUCUACUCUAUCUUUCUCCUAAAUGCUUCAUUCCAGUGAAAAGUGCUGCAAUUCGUACGGCAAUGGCACCUCUGCCGAUAAUUACAUGGAAAUACUCCCAAAUUAAUCUCUUUGUGGAAGCGUCCUCCUCAUUAAGAGGUUUCUCCGGUCUGAGAUAUGCAUUCAUUGGUUGCACAAAGGCAAAAACUAUGGCAGCAAUACCAAGCUUAACAUGUAAGGAGCUGACAUAGAAACCCCGAAGUUCGGCAACUGCAAAAAGAACACCAAGUAGGAUAAUUGCUAAUCCUGAAUAUUGUAGGUACAUACCAUCCAUCACCCUUUACAUGUUUUAGGUAUCUAGCAGCCAAUAUUCCACCAGGAAUUAAAAUACCCCAGGAGAGGAACAGCAUAAACCCAUGUACAGCUUUGACAGGUUGUAAACCUUGCUCAGCCUCGGAAGAACCACGGAUAAGCAGCACUUGCACAGUCCUUUGACUCGUGACAGUAUGCAUGUUUUUCUCACUGAGAUGUUCAUCAGUCUAUUUUGAACCCAUUGCCCGUAUGACUUUAAGAGGAGUUGUAGGAUCAAAAAUGUUCUUGCACUCUGGCUUAUCAUUUUGAUUGCAUGAUGGUUUUAAUGGAUGUGUGAAUUCCAAAGUAAUGAUGCCAUCUUCUGACCUGCACCUGACAUGUGUUAGAUUCUCAUUUGUUAGAUGGAUGUUCAAGGGAUGCUUUCCAUCAAUCCAAUAUGUAUUUAAAUGCCCUUUUCCAGUAUCGCCAAUCCAGCCCACAUAUGCAUAGCUAUUCACCAUCCCAUUACCGAAACCUAUUGCAAGAUAGCCACUCUUAUUCACACCACGGGCAGCAAUAGUUAUUGAAUCUUCUGAUAACGUCCAAAAGAAAGUAACUUGAUCAUCUAAAAGCACACUAGUGUUAUACAUAUCAGACAGGGCACCAUCAAGAACCAUAUUAUUAAUACCCAGCUAAGAUCGUGAACGUUUUCUACUCUAUCUUUCUCCUAAAUGCUUCAUUCCAGUGAAAAGUGCUGCAAUUCGUACGGCAAUGGCACCUCUGCCGAUAAUUACAUGGAAAUACUCCCAAAUUAAUCUCUUUGUGGAAGCGUCCUCCUCAUUAGCAGGUUUCUCCGGUCUGAGAUAUGCAUUCAUUGGUUGCACAAAGGCAAAAACUAUGGCAGCAAUACCAAGCUUAACAUGUAAGGAGCUGACAUAGAAACCCCGAAGUUCGGCAACUGCAAAAAGAACACCAAGUAGGAUAAUUGCUAAUCCUGAAUAUUGUAGGUACAUACCAUCCAUCACCCUUUACAUGUUUUAGGUAUCUAGCAGCCAAUAUUCCACCAGGAAUCAAAAUACCCCAGGAGAGGAACAGCAUAAACCCAUGUACAGCUUUGACAGGUUGUAAACCUUGCUCAGCCUCGGAAGAACCACGGAUAAGCAGCACUUGCACAGACCUUUGACUCGUGACAGUAUGCAUGUUUUUCUCACUGAGAUGUUCAUCAGUCCAUUUUGAACCCAUUGCCCGUAUGACUUUAAGAGGAGUUGUAGGAUCAAAAAUGUUCUUGCACUCUGGCUUAUCAUUUUGAUUGCAUGAUGGUUUUAAUGGACGUGUGAAUUCCAAAGUAAUGAUGCCAUCUUCUGACCUGCACCUGACAUGUGUUAGAUUCUCAUUUGUUAGAUGGAUGUUCAAGGGAUGCUUUCCAUCAAUCCAAUAUGUAUUUAAAUGCCCUUUUCCAGUAUCGCCAAUCCAGCCCACAUAUGCAUAGCUAUUCACCAUCCCAUUACCGAAACCUAUUGCAAGAUAGCCACUCUUAUUCACACCACGGGCAGCAAUAGUUAUUGAAUCUUCUGAUAACGUCCAAAAGAAAGUAACUUGAUCAUCUAAAAGCACACUAGUGUUAUACAUAUCAGACAGGGCACCAUCAAGAACCAUAUUAUUAAUACCCAGCUAAGAUCGUGAACGUUUUCUACUCUAUCUUUCUCCUAAAUGCUUCAUUCCAGUGAAAAGUGCUGCAAUUCGUACGGCAAUGGCACCUCUGCCGAUAAUUACAUGGAAAUACUCCCAAAUUAAUCUCUUUGUGGAAGCGUCCUCCUCAUUAGCAGGUUUCUCCGGUCUGAGAUAUGCAUUCAUUGGUUGCACAAAGGCAAAAACUAUGGCAGCAAUACCAAGCUUAACAUGUAAGGAGCUGACAUAGAAACCCCGAAGUUCGGCAACUGCAAAAAGAACACCAAGUAGGAUAAUUGCUAAUCCUGAAUAUUGUAGGUACAUACCAUCCAUCACCCUUUACAUGUUUUAGGUAUCUAGCAGCCAAUAUUCCACCAGGAAUCAAAAUACCCCAGGAGAGGAACAGCAUAAACCCAUGUACAGCUUUGACAGGUUGUAAACCUUGCUCAGCCUCGGAAGAACCACGGAUAAGCAGCACUUGCACAGCCCUUUGACUCGUGACAGUAUGCAUGUUUUUCUCACUGAGAUGUUCAUCAGUCCAUUUUGAACCCAUUGCCCGUAUGACUUUAAGAGGAGUUGUAGGAUCAAAAAUGUUCUUGCACUCUGGCUUAUCAUUUUGAUUGCAUGAUGGUUUUAAUGGACGUGUGAAUUCCAAAGUAAUGAUGCCAUCUUCUGACCUGCACCUGACAUGUGUUAGAUUCUCAUUUGUUAGAUGGAUGUUCAAGGAUGCUUUCCAUCAAUCCAAUAUGUAUUUAAAUGCCCUUUUCCAGUAUCGCCAAUCCAGCCCACAUAUGCAUAGCUAUUCACCAUCCCAUUACCGAAACCUAUUGCAAGAUAGCCACUCUUAUUCACACCACGGGCAGCAAUAGUUAUUGAAUCUUCUGAUAACGUCCAAAAGAAAGUAACUUGAUCAUCUAAAAGCACACUAGUGUUAUACAUAUCAGACAGGGCACCAUCAAGAACCAUAUUAUUAAUACCCAGCUAAGAUCGUGAACGUUUUCUACUCUAUCUUUCUCCUAAAUGCUUCAUUCCAGUGAAAAGUGCUGCAAUUCGUACGGCAAUGGCACCUCUGCCGAUAAUUACAUGGAAAUACUCCCAAAUUAAUCUCUUUGUGGAAGCGUCCUCCUCAUUAGUAGGUUUCUCCGGUCUGAGAUAUGCAUUCAUUGGUUGCACAAAGGCAAAAACUAUGGCAGCAAUACCAAGCUUAACAUGUAAGGAGCUGACAUAGAAACCCCGAAGUUCGGCAACUGCAAAAAGAACACCAAGUAGGAUAAUUGCUAAUCCUGAAUAUUGUAGGUACAUACCAUCCAUCACCCUUUACAUGUUUUAGGUAUCUAGCAGCCAAUAUUCCACCAGGAAUCAAAAUACCCCAGGAGAGGAACAGCAUAAACCCAUGUACAGCUUUGACAGGUUGUAAACCUUGCUCAGCCUCGGAAGAACCACGGAUAAGCAGCACUUGCAAAGCCCUUUGACUAGUGACAGUAUGCAUGUUUUUCUCACUGAGAUGUUCAUCAGUCCAUUUUGAACCCAUUGCCCGUAUGACUUUAAGCGGAGUUGUAGGAUCAAAAAUGUUCUUGCACUCUGGCUUAUCAUUUUGAUUGCAUGAUGGUUUUAAUGGACGUGUGAAUUCCAAAGUAAUGAUGCCAUCUUCUGACCUGCACCUGACAUGUGUUAGAUUCUCAUUUGUUAGAUGGAUGUUCAAGGGAUGCUUUCCAUCAAUCCAAUAUGUAUUUAAAUGCCCUUUUCCAGUAUCGCCAAUCCAGCCCACAUAUGCAUAGUUAUUCACCAUCCCAUUACCGAAACCUAUUGCAAGAUAGCCACUCUUAUUCACACCACGGGCAGCAAUAGUUAUUGAAUCUUCUGAUAACGUCCAAAAGAAAGUAACUUGAUCAUCUAAAAGCACACUAGUGUUAUACAUAUCAGACAGGGCACCAUCAAGAACCAUAUUAUUAAUACCCAGCUAAGAUCGUGAACGUUUUCUACUCUAUCUUUCUCCUAAAUGCUUCAUUCCAGUGAAAAGUGCUGCAAUUCGUACGGCAAUGGCACCUCUGCCGAUAAUUACAUGGAAAUACUCCCAAAUUAAUCUCUUUGUGGAAGCGUCCUCCUCAUUAGCAGGUUUCUCCGGUCUGAGAUAUGCAUUCAUUGGUUGCACAAAGGCAAAAACUAUGGCAGCAAUACCAAGCUUAACAUGUAAGGAGCUGACAUAGAAACCCCGAAGUUCGGCAACUGCAAAAAGAACACCAAGUAGGAUAAUUGCUAAUCCUGAAUAUUGUAGGUACAUACCAUCCAUCACCCUUUACAUGUUUUAGGUAUCUAGCAGCCAAUAUUCCACCAGGAAUCAAAAUACCCCAGGAGAGGAACAGCAUAAACCCAUGUACAGCUUUGACAGGUUGUAAACCUUGCUCAGCCUCGGAAGAACCACGGAUAAGCAGCACUUGCACAGCCCUUUGACUCGUGACAGUAUGCAUGUUUUUCUCACUGAGAUGUUCAUCAGUCCAUUUUGAACCCAUUGCCCGUAUGACUUUAAGAGGAGUUGUAGGAUCAAAAAUGUUCUUGCACUCUGGCUUAUCAUUUUGAUUGCAUGAUGGUUUUAAUGGACGUGUGAAUUCCAAAGUAAUGAUGCCAUCUUCUGACCUGCACCUGACAUGUGUUAGAUUCUCAUUUGUUAGAUGGAUGUUCAAGGGAUGCUUUCCAUCAAUCCAAUAUGUAUUUAAAUGCCCUUUUCCAGUAUCGCCAAUCCAGCCCACAUAUGCAUAGCUAUUCACCAUCCCAUUACCGAAACCUAUUGCAAGAUAGCCACUCUUAUUCACACCACGGGCAGCAAUAGUUAUUGAAUCUUCUGAUAACGUCCAAAAGAAAGUAACUUGAUCAUCUAAAAGCACACUAGUGUUAUACAUAUCAGACAGGGCACCAUCAAGAACCAUAUUAUUAAUACCCAGCUAAGAUCGUGAACGUUUUCUACUCUAUCUUUCUCCUAAAUGCUUCAUUCCAGUGAAAAGUGCUGCAAUUCGUACGGCAAUGGCACCUCUGCCGAUAAUUACAUGGAAAUACUCCCAAAUUAAUCUCUUUGUGGAAGCGUCCUCCUCAUUAGCAGGUUUCUCCGGUCUGAGAUAUGCAUUCAUUGGUUGCACAAAGGCAAAAACUAUGGCAGCAAUACCAAGCUUAACAUGUAAGGAGCUGACAUAGAAACCCCGAAGUUCGGCAACUGCAAAAAGAACACCAAGUAGGAUAAUUGCUAAUCCUGAAUAUUGUAGGUACAUACCAUCCAUCACCCUUUACAUGUUUUAGGUAUCUAGCAGCCAAUAUUCCACCAGGAAUCAAAAUACCCCAGGAGAGGAACAGCAUAAACCCAUGUACAGCUUUGACAGGUUGUAAACCUUGCUCAGCCUCGGAAGAACCACGGAUAAGCAGCACUUGCACAGCCCUUUGACUCGUGACAGUAUGCAUGUUUUUCUCACUGAGAUGUUCAUCAGUCCAUUUUGAACCCAUUGCCCGUAUGACUUUAAGAGGAGUUGUAGGAUCAAAAAUGUUCUUGCACUCUGGCUUAUCAUUUUGAUUGCAUGAUGGUUUUAAUGGACGUGUGAAUUCCAAAGUAAUGAUGCCAUCUUCUGACCUGCACCUGACAUGUGUUAGAUUCUCAUUUGUUAGAUGGAUGUUCAAGGGAUGCUUUCCAUCAAUCCAAUAUGUAUUUAAAUGCCCUUUUCCAGUAUCGCCAAUCCAGCCCACAUAUGCAUAGCUAUUCACCAUCCCAUUACCGAAACCUAUUGCAAGAUAGCCACUCUUAUUCACACCACGGGCAGCAAUAGUUAUUGAAUCUUCUGAUAACGUCCAAAAGAAAGUAACUUGAUCAUCUAAAAGCACACUAGUGUUAUACAUAUCAGACAGGGCACCAUCAAGAACCAUAUUAUUAAUACCCAGCUAAGAUCGUGAACGUUUUCUACUCUAUCUUUCUCCUAAAUGCUUCAUUCCAGUGAAAAGUGCUGCAAUUCGUACGGCAAUGGCACCUCUGCCGAUAAUUACAUGGAAAUACUCCCAAAUUAAUCUCUUUGUGGAAGCGUCCUCCUCAUUAGCAGGUUUCUCCGGUCUGAGAUAUGCAUUCAUUGGUUGCACAAAGGCAAAAACUAUGGCAGCAAUACCAAGCUUAACAUGUAAGGAGCUGACAUAGAAACCCCGAAGUUCGGCAACUGCAAAAAGAACACCAAGUAGGAUAAUUGCUAAUCCUGAAUAUUGUAGGUACAUACCAUCCAUCACCCUUUACAUGUUUUAGGUAUCUAGCAGCCAAUAUUCCACCAGGAAUCAAAAUACCCCAGGAGAGGAACAGCAUAAACCCAUGUACAGCUUUGACAGGUUGUAAACCUUGCUCAGCCUCGGAAGAACCUACGGAUAAGCAGCACUUGCACAGCCCUUUGACUCGUGACAGUAUGCAUGUUUUUCUCACUGAGAUGUUCAUCAGUCCAUUUUGAACCCAUUGCCCGUAUGACUUUAAGAGGAGUUGUAGGAUCAAAAAUGUUCUUGCACUCUGGCUUAUCAUUUUGAUUGCAUGAUGGUUUUAAUGGACGUGUGAAUUCCAAAGUAAUGAUGCCAUCUUCUGACCUGCACCUGACAUGUGUUAGAUUCUCAUUUGUUAGAUGGAUGUUCAAGGGAUGCUUUCCAUCAAUCCAAUAUGUAUUUAAAUGCCCUUUUCCAGUAUCGCCAAUCCAGCCCACAUAUGCAUAGCUAUUCACCAUCCCAUUACCGAAACCUAUUGCAAGAUAGCCACUCCUAUUCACACCACGGGCAGCAAUAGUUAUUGAAUCUUCUGAUAACGUCCAAAAGAAAGUAACUUGAUCAUCUAAAAGCACACUAGUGUUAUACAUAUCAGACAGGGCACCAUCAAGAACCAUAUUAUUAAUACCCAGCUAAGAUCGUGAACGUUUUCUACUCUAUCUUUCUCCUAAAUGCUUCAUUCCAGUGAAAAGUGCUGCAAUUCGUACGGCAAUGGCACCUCUGCCGAUAAUUACAUGGAAAUACUCCCAAAUUAAUCUCUUUGUGGAAGCGUCCUCCUCAUUAGCAGGUUUCUCCGGUCUGAGAUAUGCAUUCAUUGGUUGCACAAAGGCAAAAACUAUGGCAGCAAUACCAAGCUUAACAUGUAAGGAGCUGACAUAGAAACCCCGAAGUUCGGCAACUGCAAAAAGAACACCAAGUAGGAUAAUUGCUAAUCCUGAAUAUUGUAGGUACAUACCAUCCAUCACCCUUUACAUGUUUUAGGUAUCUAGCAGCCAAUAUUCCACCAGGAAUCAAAAUACCCCAGGAGAGGAACAGCAUAAACCCAUGUACAGCUUUGACAGGUUGUAAACCUUGCUCAGCCUCGGAAGAACUACGGAUAAGCAGCACUUGCACAGCCCUUUGACUCGUGACAGUAUGCAUGUUUUUCUCACUGAGAUGUUCAUCAGUCCAUUUUGAACCCAUUGCCCGUAUGACUUUAAGAGGAGUUGUAGGAUCAAAAAUGUUCUUGCACUCUGGCUUAUCAUUUUGAUUGCAUGAUGGUUUUAAUGGACGUGUGAAUUCCAAAGUAAUGAUGCCAUCUUCUGACCUGCACCUGACAUGUGUUAGAUUCUCAUUUGUUAGAUGGAUGUUCAAGGGAUGCUUUCCAUCAAUCCAAUAUGUAUUUAAAUGACCUUUUCCAGUAUCGCCAAUCCAGCCCACAUAUGCAUAGCUAUUCACCAUCCCAUUACCGAAACCUAUUGCAAGAUAGCCACUCUUAUUCACACCACGGGCAGCAAUAGUUAUUGAAUCUUCUGAUAACGUCCAAAAGAAAGUAACUUGAUCAUCUAAAAGCACACUAGUGUUAUACAUAUCAGACAGGGCACCAUCAAGAACCAUAUUAUUAAUACCCAGCUAAGAUCGUGAACGUUUUCUACUCUAUCUUUCUCCUAAAUGCUUCAUUCCAGUGAAAAGUGCUGCAAUUCGUACGGCAAUGGCACCUCUGCCGAUAAUUACAUGGAAAUACUCCCAAAUUAAUCUCUUUGUGGAAGCGUCCUCCUCAUUAGCAGGUUUCUCCGGUCUGAGAUAUGCAUUCAUUGGUUGCACAAAGGCAAAAACUAUGGCAGCAAUACCAAGCUUAACAUGUAAGGAGCUGACAUAGAAACCCCGAAGUUCGGCAACUGCAAAAAGAACACCAAGUAGGAUAAUUGCUAAUCCUGAAUAUUGUAGGUACAUACCAUCCAUCACCCUUUACAUGUUUUAGGUAUCUAGCAGCCAAUAUUCCACCAGGAAUCAAAAUACCCCAGGAGAGGAACAGCAUAAACCCAUGUACAGCUUUGACAGGUUGUAAACCUUGCUCAGCCUCGGAAGAACCACGGAUAAGCAGCACUUGCAAAGCCCUUUGACUCGUGACAGUAUGCAUGUUUUUCUCACUGAGAUGUUCAUCAGUCCAUUUUGAACCCAUUGCCCGUAUGACUUUAAGCGGAGUUGUAGGAUCAAAAAUGUUCUUGCACUCUGGCUUAUCAUUUUGAUUGCAUGAUGGUUUUAAUGGACGUGUGAAUUCCAAAGUAAUGAUGCCAUCUUCUGACCUGCACCUGACAUGUGUUAGAUUCUCAUUUGUUAGAUGGAUGUUCAAGGGAUGCUUUCCAUCAAUCCAAUAUGUAUUUAAAUGACCUUUUCCAGUAUCGCCAAUCCAGCCCACAUAUGCAUAGUUAUUCACCAUCCCAUUACCGAAACCUAUUGCAAGAUAGCCACUCUUAUUCACACCACGGGCAGCAAUAGUUAUUGAAUCUUCUGAUAACGUCCAAAAGAAAGUAACUUGAUCAUCUAAAAGCACACUAGUGUUAUACAUAUCAGACAGGGCACCAUCAAGAACCAUAUUAUUAAUACCCAGCUAAGAUCGUGAACGUUUUCUACUCUAUCUUUCUCCUAAAUGCUUCAUUCCAGUGAAAAGUGCUGCAAUUCGUACGGCAAUGGCACCUCUGCCGAUAAUUACAUGGAAAUACUCCCAAAUUAAUCUCUUUGUGGAAGCGUCCUCCUCAUUAGCAGGUUUCUCCGGUCUGAGAUAUGCAUUCAUUGGUUGCACAAAGGCAAAAACUAUGGCAGUAAUACCAAGCUUAACAUGUAAGGAGCUGACAUAGAAACCCCGAAAUUCGGCAACUGCAAAAAGAACACCAAGUAGGAUAAUUGCUAAUCCUGAAUAUUGUAGGUACAUACCAUCCAUCACCCUUUACAUGUUUUAGGUAUCUAGCAGCCAAUAUUCCACCAGGAAUCAAAAUACCCCAGGAGAGGAACAGCAUAAACCCAUGUACAGCUUUGACAGGUUGUAAACCUUGCUCAGCCUCGGAAGAACCACGGAUAAGCAGCACUUGCACAGCCCUUUGACUCGUGACAGUAUUCAUGUUUUUCUCACUGAGAUGUUCAUCAGUCCAUUUUGAACCCAUUGCCCGUAUGACUUUAAGAGGAGUUGUAGGAUCAAAAAUGUUCUUGCACUCUGGCUUAUCAUUUUGAUUGCAUGAUGGUUUUAAUGGACGUGUGAAUUCCAAAGUAAUGAUGCCAUCUUCUAACCUGCACCUGACAUGUGUUAGAUUCUCAUUUGUUAGAUGGAUGUUCAAGGGAUGCUUUCCAUCAAUCCAAUAUGUAUUUAAAUGCCCUUUUCCAGUAUCGCCAAUCCAGCCCACAUAUGCAUAGCUAUUCACCAUCCCAUUACCGAAACCUAUUGCAAGAUAGCCACUCUUAUUCACACCACGGGCAGCAAUAGUUAUUGAAUCUUCUGAUAACGUCCAAAAGAAAGUAACUUGAUCAUCUAAAAGCACACUAGUGUUAUACAUAUCAGACAGGGCACCAUCAAGAACCAUAUUAUUAAUACCCAGCUAAGAUCGUGAACGUUUUCUACUCUAUCUUUCUCCUAAAUGCUUCAUUCCAGUGAAAAGUGCUGCAAUUCGUACGGCAAUGGCACCUCUGCCGAUAAUUACAUGGAAAUACUCCCAAAUUAAUCUCUUUGUGGAAGCGUCCUCCUCAUUAGCAGGUUUCUCCGGUCUGAGAUAUGCAUUCAUUGGUUGCACAAAGGCAAAAACUAUGGCAGCAAUACCAAGCUUAACAUGUAAGGAGCUGACAUAGAAACCCCGAAGUUCGGCAACUGCAAAAAGAACACCAAGUAGGAUAAUUGCUAAUCCUGAAUAUUGUAGGUACAUACCAUCCAUCACCCUUUACAUGUUUUAGGUAUCUAGCAGCCAAUAUUCCACCAGGAAUCAAAAUACCCCAGGAGAGGAACAGCAUAAACCCAUGUACAGCUUUGACAGGUUGUAAACCUUGCUCAGCCUCGGAAGAACUACGGAUAAGCAGCACUUGCACAGCCCUUUGACUCGUGACAGUAUGCAUGUUUUUCUCACUGAGAUGUUCAUCAGUCCAUUUUGAACCCAUUGCCCGUAUGACUUUAAGAGGAGUUGUAGGAUCAAAAAUGUUCUUGCACUCUGGCUUAUCAUUUUGAUUGCAUGAUGGUUUUAAUGGACGUGUGAAUUCCAAAGUAAUGAUGCCAUCUUCUGACCUGCACCUGACAUGUGUUAGAUUCUCAUUUGUUAGAUGGAUGUUCAAGGGAUGCUUUCCAUCAAUCCAAUAUGUAUUUAAAUGCCCUUUUCCAGUAUCGCCAAUCCAGCCCACAUAUGCAUAGCUAUUCACCAUCCCAUUACCGAAACCUAUUGCAAGAUAGCCACUCCUAUUCACACCACGGGCAGCAAUAGUUAUUGAAUCUUCUGAUAACGUCCAAAAGAAAGUAACUUGAUCAUCUAAAAGCACACUAGUGUUAUACAUAUCAGACAGGGCACCAUCAAGAACCAUAUUAUUAAUACCCAGCUAAGAUCGUGAACGUUUUCUACUCUAUCUUUCUCCUAAAUGCUUCAUUCCAGUGAAAAGUGCUGCAAUUCGUACGGCAAUGGCACCUCUGCCGAUAAUUACAUGGAAAUACUCCCAAAUUAAUCUCUUUGUGGAAGCGUCCUCCUCAUUAGCAGGUUUCUCCGGUCUGAGAGAUGCAUUCAUUGGUUGCACAAAGGCAAAAACUAUGGCAGCAAUACCAAGCUUAACAUGUAAGGAGCUGACAUAGAAACCCCGAAGUUCGGCAACUGCAAAAAGAACACCAAGUAGGAUAAUUGCUAAUCCUGAAUAUUGUAGGUACAUACCAUCCAUCACCCUUUACAUGUUUUAGGUAUCUAGCAGCCAAUAUUCCACCAGGAAUCAAAAUACCCCAGGAGAGGAACAGCAUAAACCCAUGUACAGCUUUGACAGGUUGUAAACCUUGCUCAGCCUCGGAAGAACUACGGAUAAGCAGCACUUGCACAGCCCUUUGACUCGUGACAGUAUGCAUGUUUUUCUCACUGAGAUGUUCAUCAGUCCAUUUUGAACCCAUUGCCCGUAUGACUUUAAGAGGAGUUGUAGGAUCAAAAAUGUUCUUGCACUCUGGCUUAUCAUUUUGAUUGCAUGAUGGUUUUAAUGGACGUGUGAAUUCCAAAGUAAUGAUGCCAUCUUCUGACCUGCACCUGACAUGUGUUAGAUUCUCAUUUGUUAGAUGGAUGUUCAAGGGAUGCUUUCCAUCAAUCCAAUAUGUAUUUAAAUGCCCUUUUCCAGUAUCGCCAAUCCAGCCCACAUAUGCAUAGCUAUUCACCAUCCCAUUACCGAAACCUAUUGCAAGAUAGCCACUCCUAUUCACACCACGGGCAGCAAUAGUUAUUGAAUCUUCUGAUAACGUCCAAAAGAAAGUAACUUGAUCAUCUAAAAGCACACUAGUGUUAUACAUAUCAGACAGGGCACCAUCAAGAACCAUAUUAUUAAUACCCAGCUAAGAUCGUGAACGUUUUCUACUCUAUCUUUCUCCUAAAUGCUUCAUUCCAGUGAAAAGUGCUGCAAUUCGUACGGCAAUGGCACCUCUGCCGAUAAUUACAUGGAAAUACUCCCAAAUUAAUCUCUUUGUGGAAGCGUCCUCCUCAUUAGCAGGUUUCUCCGGUCUAAGAUAUGCAUUCAUUGGUUGCACAAAGGCAAAAACUAUGGCAGCAAUACCAAGCUUAACAUGUAAGGAGCUGACAUAGAAACCCCGAAGUUCGGAAACUGCAAAAAGAACACCAAGUAGGAUAAUUGCUAAUCCUGAAUAUUGUAGGUACAUACCAUCCAUCACCCUUUACAUGUUUUAGGUAUCUAGCAGCCAAUAUUCCACCAGGAAUCAAAAUACCCCAGGAGAGGAACAGCAUAAACCCAUGUACAGCUUUGACAGGUUGUAAACCUUGCUCAGCCUCGGAAGAACCACGGAUAAGCAGCACUUGCACAACCCAUUGACUCGUGACAGUAUGCAUGUUUUUCUCACUGAGAUGUUCAUCAGUCCAUUUUGAACCCAUUGCCCGUAUGACUUUAAGAGGAGUUGUAGGAUCAAAAAUGUUCUUGCACUCUGGCUUAUCAUUUUGAUUGCAUGAUGGUUUUAAUGGACGUGUGAAUUCCAAAGUAAUGAUGCCAUCUUCUGACCUGCACCUGACAUGUGUUAGAUUCUCAUUUGUUAGAUGGAUGUUCAAGGGAUGCUUUCCAUCAAUCCAAUAUGUAUUUAAAUGCCCUUUUCCAGUAUCGCCAAUCCAGCCCACAUAUGCAUAGCUAUUCACCAUCCCAUUACCGAAACCUAUUGCAAGAUAGCCACUCUUAUUCACACCACGGGCAGCAAUAGUUAUUGAAUCUUCUGAUAACGUCCAAAAGAAAGUAACUUGAUCAUCUAAAAGCACACUAGUGUUAUACAUAUCAGACAGGGCACCAUCAAGAACCAUAUUAUUAAUACCCAGCUAAGAUCGUGAACGUUUUCUACUCUAUCUUUCUCCUAAAUGCUUCAUUCCAGUGAAAAGUGCUGCAAUUCGUACGGCAAUGGCACCUCUGCCGAUAAUUACAUGGAAAUACUCCCAAAUUAAUCUCUUUGUGGAAGCGUCCUCCUCAUUAGCAGGUUUCUCCGGUCUGAGAUAUUCAUUCAUUGGUUGCACAAAGGCAAAAACUAUGGCAGCAAUACCAAGCUUAACAUGUAAGGAGCUGACAUAGAAACCCCGAAGUUCGGCAACUGCAAAAAGAACACCAAGUAGGAUAAUUGCUAAUCCUGAAUAUUGUAGGUACAUACCAUCCAUCACCCUUUACAUGUUUUAGGUAUCUAGCAGCCAAUAUUCCACCAGGAAUCAAAAUUCCCCAGGAGAGGAACAGCAUAAACCCAUGUACAGCUUUGACAGGUUGUAAACCUUGCUCAGCCUCGGAAGAACCACGGAUAAGCAGCACUUGCACAGCCCUUUGACUCGUGACAGUAUGCAUGUUUUUCUCACUGAGAUGUUCAUCAGUCCAUUUUGAACCCAUUGCCCGUAUGACUUUAAGAGGAGUUGUAGGAUCAAAAAUGUUCUUGCACUCUGGCUUAUCAUUUUGAUUGCAUGAUGGUUUUAAUGGACGUGUGAAUUCCAAAGUAAUGAUGCCAUCUUCUGACCUGCACCUGACAUGUGUUAGAUUCUCAUUUGUUAGAUGGAUGUUCAAGGGAUGCUUUCCAUCAAUCCAAUAUGUAUUUAAAUGCCCUUUUCCAGUAUCGCCAAUCCAGCCCACAUAUGCAUAGCUAUUCACCAUCCCAUUACCGAAACCUAUUGCAAGAUAGCCACUCUUAUUCACACCACGGGCAGCAAUAGUUAUUGAAUCUUCUGAUAACGUCCAAAAGAAAGUAACUUGAUCAUCUAAAAGCACACUAGUGUUAUACAUAUCAGACAGGGCACCAUCAAGAACCAUAUUAUUAAUACCAGCUAAGAUCGUGAACGUUUUCUACUCUAUCUUUCUCCUAAAUGCUUCAUUCCAGUGAAAAGUGCUGCAAUUCGUACGGCAAUGGCACCUCUACCGAUAAUUACAUGGAAAUACUCCCAAAUUAAUCUCUUUGUGGAAGCGUCCUCCUCAUUAGCAGGUUUCUCCGGUCUGAGAUAUGCAUUCAUUGGUUGCACAAAGGCAAAAACUAUGGCAGCAAUACCAAGCUUAACAUGUAAGGAGCUGACAUAGAAACCCCGAAGUUCGGCAACUGCAAAAAGAACACCAAGUAGGAUAAUUGCUAAUCCUGAAUAUUGUAGGUACAUACCAUCCAUCACCCUUUACAUGUUUUAGGUAUCUAGCAGCCAAUAUUCCACCAGGAAUCAAAAUACCCCAGGAGAGGAACAGCAUAAACCCAUGUACAGCUUUGACAGGUUGUAAACCUUGCUCAGCCUCGGAAGAACCACGGAUAAGCAGCACUUGCACAGCCCUUUGACUCGUGACAGUAUGCAUGUUUUUCUCACUGAGAUGUUCAUCAGUCCAUUUUGAACCCAUUGCCCGUAUGACUUUAAGAGGAGUUGUAGGAUCAAAAAUGUUCUUGCACUCUGGCUUAUCAUUUUGAUUACAUGAUGGUUUUAAUGGACGUGUGAAUUCCAAAGUAAUGAUGCCAUCUUCUGACCUGCACCUGACAUGUGUUAGAUUCUCAUUUGUUAGAUGGAUGUUCAAGGGAUGCUUUCCAUCAAUCCAAUAUGUAUUUAAAUGCCCUUUUCCAGUAUCGCCAAUCCAGCCCACAUAUGCAUAGCUAUUCACCAUCCCAUUACCGAAACCUAUUGCAAGAUAGCCACUCUUAUUCACACCACGGGCAGCAAUAGUUAUUGAAUCUUCUGAUAACGUCCAAAAGAAAGUAACUUGAUCAUCUAAAAGCACACUAGUGUUAUACAUAUCAGACAGGGCACCAUCAAGAACCAUAUUAUUAAUACCCAGCUAAGAUCGUGAACGUUUUCUACUCUAUCUUUCUCCUAAAUGCUUCAUUCCAGUGAAAAGUGCUGCAAUUCGUACGGCAAUGGCACCUCUGCCGAUAAUUACAUGGAAAUACUCCCAAAUUAAUCUCUUUGUGGAAGCGUCCUCCUCAUUAGCAGGUUUCUCCGGUCUGAGAUAUGCAUUCAUUGGUUGCACAAAGGCAAAAACUAUGGCAGCAAUACCAAGCUUAACAUGUAAGGAGCUGACAUAGAAACCCCGAAGUUCGGCAACUGCAAAAAGAACACCAAGUAGGAUAAUUGCUAAUCCUGAAUAUUGUAGGUACAUACCAUCCAUCACCCUUUACAUGUUUUAGGUAUCUAGCAGCCAAUAUUCCACCAGGAAUCAAAAUACCCCAGGAGAGGAACAGCAUAAACCCAUGUACAGCUUUGACAGGUUGUAAACCUUGCUCAGCCUCGGAAGAACCACGGUUAAGCAGCACUUGCACAGCCCUUUGACUCGUGACAGUAUGCAUGUUUUUCUCACUGAGAUGUUCAUCAGUCCAUUUUGAACCCAUUGCCCGUAUGACUUUAAGAGGAGUUGUAGGAUCAAAAAUGUUCUUGCACUCUGGCUUAUCAUUUUGAUUGCAUGAUGGUUUUAAUGGACGUGUGAAUUCCAAAGUAAUGAUGCCAUCUUCUGACCUGCACCUGACAUGUGUUAGAUUCUCAUUUGUUAGAUGGAUGUUCAAGGGAUGCUUUCCAUCAAUCCAAUAUGUAUUUAAAUGCCCUUUUCCAGUAUCGCCAAUCCAGCCCACAUAUGCAUAGCUAUUCACCAUCCCAUUACCGAAACCUAUUGCAAGAUAGCCACUCUUAUUCACACCACGGGCAGCAAUAGUUAUUGAAUCUUCUGAUAACGUCCAAAAGAAAGUAACUUGAUCAUCUAAAAGCACACUAGUGUUAUACAUAUCAGACAGGGCACCAUCAAGAACCAUAUUAUUAAUACCCAGCUAAGAUCGUGAACGUUUUCUACUCUAUCUUUCUCCUAAAUGCUUCAUUCCAGUGAAAAGUGCUGCAAUUCGUACGGCAAUGGCACCUCUGCCGAUAAUUACAUGGAAAUACUCCCAAAUUAAUCUCUUUGUGGAAGCGUCCUCCUCAUUAGCAGGUUUCUCCGGUCUGAGAUAUGCAUUCAUUGGUUGCACAAAGGCAAAAACUAUGGCAGCAAUACCAAGCUUAACAUGUAAGGAGCUGACAUAGAAACCCCGAAGUUCGGCAACUGCAAAAAGAACACCAAGUAGGAUAAUUGCUAAUCCUGAAUAUUGUAGGUACAUACCAUCCAUCACCCUUUACAUGUUUUAGGUAUCUAGCAGCCAAUAUUCCACCAGGAAUCAAAAUACCCCAGGAGAGGAACAGCAUAAACCCAUGUACAGCUUUGACAGGUUGUAAACCUUGCUCAGCCUCGGAAGAACCACGGAUAAGCAGCACUUGCACAGCCCUUUGACUCGUGACAGUAUGCAUGUUUUUCUCACUGAGAUGUUCAUCAGUCCAUUUUGAACCCAUUGCCCGUAUGACUUUAAGAGGAGUUGUAGGAUCAAAAAUGUUCUUGCACUCUGGCUUAUCAUUUUGAUUGCAUGAUGGUUUUAAUGGACGUGUGAAUUCCAAAGUAAUGAUGCCAUCUUCUGACCUGCACCUGACAUGUGUUAGAUUCUCAUUUGUUAGAUGGAUGUUCAAGGGAUGCUUUCCAUCAAUCCAAUAUGUAUUUAAAUGCCCUUUUCCAGUAUCGCCAAUCCAGCCCACAUAUGCAUAGCUAUUCACCAUCCCAUUACCGAAACCUAUUGCAAGAUAGCCACUCUUAUUCACACCACGGGCAGCAAUAGUUAUUGAAUCUUCUGAUAACGUCCAAAAGAAAGUAACUUGAUCAUCUAAAAGCACACUAGUGUUAUACAUAUCAGACAGGGCACCAUCAAGAACCAUAUUAUUAAUACCCAGCUAAGAUCGUGAACGUUUUCUACUCUAUCUUUCUCCUAAAUGCUUCAUUCCAGUGAAAAGUGCUGCAAUUCGUACGGCAAUGGCACCUCUGCCGAUAAUUACAUGGAAAUACUCCCAAAUUAAUCUCUUUGUGGAAGCGUCCUCCUCAUUAGCAGGUUUCUCCGGUCUGAGAUAUGCAUUCAUUGGUUGCACAAAGGCAAAAACUAUGGCAGCAAUACCAAGCUUAACAUGUAAGGAGCUGACAUAGAAACCCCGAAGUUCGGCAACUGCAAAAAGAACACCAAGUAGGAUAAUUGCUAAUCCUGAAUAUUGUAGGUACAUACCAUCCAUCACCCUUUACAUGUUUUAGGUAUCUAGCAGCCAAUAUUCCACCAGGAAUCAAAAUACCCCAGGAGAGGAACAGCAUAAACCCAUGUACAGCUUUGACAGGUUGUAAACCUUGCUCAGCCUCGGAAGAACCACGGAUAAGCAGCACUUGCACAGCCUUUUGACUCGUGACAGUAUGCAUGUUUUUCUCACUGAGAUGUUCAUCAGUCCAUUUUGAACCCAUUGCCCGUAUGACUUUAAGAGGAGUUGUAGGAUCAAAAAUGUUCUUGCACCCUGGCUUAUCAUUUUGAUUGCAUGAUGGUUUUAAUGGACGUGUGAAUUCCAAAGUAAUGAUGCCAUCUUCUGACCUGCACCUGACAUGUGUUAGAUUCUCAUUUGUUAGAUGGAUGUUCAAGGGAUGCUUUCCAUCAAUCCAAUAUGUAUUUAAAUGCCCUUUUCCAGUAUCGCCAAUCCAGCCCACAUAUGCAUAGCUAUUCACCAUCCCAUUACCGAAACCUAUUGCAAGAUAGCCACUCUUAUUCACACCACGGGCAGCAAUAGUUAUUGAAUCUUCUGAUAACGUCCAAAAGAAAGUAACUUGAUCAUCUAAAAGCACACUAGUGUUAUACAUAUCAGACAGGGCACCAUCAAAAACUUGAAGUUUCCAUCCCAUCUUCUCCUGGUACAAGGACUGAUAAUACACUUGAUCGGGGGUAUUCCUAUCGGGAACCCAAAUCAAUUCGUGAGGAUUUGCUACAACUCCUUCCGCUCCUGGCCCUCCAGGAUAAAUAGUCUCAGUUGCAUUCCUUAAUGUAGCAUUCCCACCUGAAGAAUCUGAAGUAAUAUACAAUGCAACAUCAUGCCCUGCCUGCACCAAAAACUUAACUGGAACCCCCCUUUCCACUCUCAACACGGUGUUUACUUAUUAUUAAUAUACAAAACCUUAGACGGACUUGGCGGAUUUGGAUAAUGCAACACCUCCCCUGUUGUAGCAACAAGAGGGACUUCUGUAUCAGCAACAAUCAACUCUUGAUCCUCAUUAUCAUCAGCAUCCAAUGGCCCAAAACAAUCAUCUACCUUCUCUGAAACAUUAAGCACCAAAUGUCCUUAUGCAACCUUCUCUGGACCCCCAUGAAAUUGGGGCAAAAAAUGAGACCGAUUUUCAUUUGGUGGUUUCAUCAACCCUAAUGCCCAAAUAACCCUCAUAUCCUCAUUAGGAUACACAGGCAAAUCAUACUUCUUAUCUGUCGAAUUCAAUGGUUUCCUAAACAUAAUUAAAGAAACCCCAUCUCUCCUAUGUCCAUAAACCAACCUAGUAUUAUUCACCAUCAUGCCAUUUUUCGAGUUCUCAUAAACUACAUCAGGGCAAACACCUAUAGCUGUCCGGUCUUUAGAACUCAACUUACAUUCAGUAUAAGCCGUAAUGUAAAAAUCAUCAACAAAAGGCCUACCUUCCUCAGUAAAACUUGCCACCGUAACAUCAGCUUCGGACAUCAGCUCCUUCGUCCUAUUCGGAUUCGCCCACCCAAAUGCCAUGUAAUAGGUCGUCGGCGCCGCCGCGUCUAACCCGAUCUCAAUCCAAUUUUCCUCCACAUUCAAGUUCCACCGGACCCUAUAAUUAUCCGACAAGUUCUUGCAGUUAUCAAACACUGUAUGCACCGAGUCCGAAACUGAAUCCAACCCGUUUCGAGGGAGGGUGACAUGGCCGAAGUCCGAGGUGCUGGCGAUCUCCCAGAUUGAAAGAACGUUGAUCUGGUCCCAGGUUAUGUCGGGGAGCAAUUGGACUGAAAACGAUGCAUUUUUGUAAGCUGUUUGAUUGAGGCGUUGACCGGAGAUGGGGAACCCACUGGUGAGGUCAGAGAAGUUGAGGGAGACGGCGCCCCAGAAAACGACGUCGGAUGAGCCAGAUAACAUGUCGAAUCCGGUGACCUGGAAAGAGCCGGAUAAACGUCCCAGCUGUUUGAUUUUGUUGGUUGUGACAAUUAUUUAGUAUAACAACUACACUUGCAAUAAUUACGAUCUUCAUCCUGCUAAAUAUACCGGAGAAAAUCAAUUUUCCAGUUGCUUCGGAUCUUUAAAAAAAAAAAUUGAACAUGAAAUGAAAGCAACUCUAAAUGCAAGACUUAAGUGAACUUUCUUUAUCAAACAAAGAAUUAACACUUCCAUCUCCAUCAUUUUCAUUAUUUUUUACUCAGAAUCAAUGAAAAGAAAAGAAAAAAAAAGGUUAAGGUGAGGAUAGUAAUUACAUUAUUAAUGUUCAUUUUUUUAAUAAUUCAAAAAAUUAUAUUGUAUAUAAUGUAUAUUAUUUUUUCAAUUAAUAUAAAAAAUAAUAGUUCAAAAAAAUGCACUACUAAUAUAAAACAUAUAUAACGAAUUAACUGAUAACCAAAAUUUAAAAAAAUCACUAACCAACCUCCAACUGAACUAAAUUCGACAACCAACCAAAUAACCAAAUUAGAUCUAUUCAAUUGAUUGGUUAGAUUUUAACCGAACCAUGAAUACACCUAUAUUCGGGGCUCUUUCAUUGCAUUUUGCUAUCAUUUUGUUUGUCCAAUUAUAAAAAGUUCGAAUAAAUAUAAAAAAAUUUGAUUUAUUAAAAUGGGUAAAUAUUCCAAGAAGUAUUUUACAUAUUUAAAAAUUUAUAUAUUUAUAUUAAUGGUUGAAAAUGUGAUAACUUCAGACGGAAGAUUGAAACCGUUAACACAGUCAAAGAGCCUAGGAGAGAAUCCAUAGAACAAUCCUACAUGUUGACUUUGCCGAUAUUUAUCAUAAACAGUUGAACAGUUCCCAUCAAAAGUCAAAAGUAUAAACUAAUCAAUGAAAAAGAAGAAGCUGUUCUUCUAACUUGUUACUUUGGAUAAACCAAGUGCUUCACCUUUUGAAUUCCAUCUUCUAGAUUUUGAUUUCUAGAUAACAUACACAGAUAAAUCACAAGAAUGUAUAAGCAACAUAAAUAUAUUUAAAACGAAAAAAUCUCGGGUUUGAUUAUGGGGUGCCUAACUGUUUACCAGUCGAACUGCUAUUGUAUGCUUGAUCGACCAAAGGACGGAAAACUCGAUUAAAAUGGCUUGAAUGAAUGAUCUGAUAUGGUGGCUAGAUUACUGAGAGAUUUGCAAGCAGUCAACAAAGGAAAUGGGUCAUUUAUUGAAUGUAAAUUACAUACCUACAUCGGUCAUCGGUAUUCUGCUUCGAAAAUUCAUCUUUAGACAUGUGCUUCUCUGCAAAGAACACCUUUCAUGUCACCAGAAAAAGCUAUGCUCGUCUUUCUUGCAAUCAUAUCGAUAAUCUGUAACAUUAUGAGUCGAACAAAUAAAGGGAAACAGCCAAAAUGAUGAUACUGACAUAGUUACAGCUGAAUUUACCUAUGUCACUCCGACUCUUGACGUUCAUUUUCCCUUGAGUAUUUAUCCAGCACAUAUUCAGACAUGGAUAUGGAGAUAUAAUCCUACAAAUAUCGGGAAAAUUACAAAAGUUAAACAUAUUCAUAUCUUACUUCAGAGUCCGAGUAAGAGGAAUUUACAAUAAGUACCUGUAGGAACAUUUUAGGAGUCUUGGCAUGUGGGUUGACUUAACUUUAUAACCACCUUCAACAAUUGGUUGAUUGAAUCUUUUACCUCAUCCGGAACGGUGAGUUUUGCAGGCACUAAAUCUAAAACAUACAAAGUGAUAACUUUCAUUACAUCAACCAGAAGCAAACUGUUGGUACCGAUUCCCCAUACACUCUUAUUAGCAUACUCGCAUGAAUCCUUUAACAUGCAUCGACUGCAUACCUGAAGAGAUCACCCAUCAGUAAAACAAACAACAUAGGAAGAUUUGUACUCAGUAUAGUAAACAUUGGAAUAAUGGCUUACAGUGUUUUCUUGAAUUUUAAAGAACUUGCGCAAUCUCUUAGCAGCGAAGACAUUAUUUUUAUCAAGGGAAGCGCAACCAAAGAGCACCACUUUUUUCAAGUGACUUCCCGGCAACCAUCUGCAAAUACCAAUAUCGAAGGUUACUUUAUUUACAAGAAGCAAAAGGACAGUCAUUGAAGUAAUGAUUCCCCAAAGCGAUGGCAAGGAGAUGAGCUAUAUAUAAAAGCAAGAUAUAUUAAUAGAUCAACUGCAUCGGUGUACAUAUGGUUGACCAUAUCAUAUCAAGUCAAAAAUUAUGCUACAAUCAUUGAUUGAUAAAAUCUGUCACACCUGAUUUUUUGUCAAACACAUAGAAACCAACUUUGCACAAUUUUAGUAGAACAUCAUAUAGCUCUGCCAAACAUAUGCUGCUAUUAUGUACUUAAUUACUAACAUUGAUUUUAAGUGAAGGUUCAGUGCAAAUCUGCCAGCUUUGCAAUGCUUGAAUCUAAGACCGCAUUCUUACAGCAUGCUAUGGCUAAAUCUCUUGAUAAUUUGACUGAAGAAUGCAGAGAAUUUUUAUAAUACCUCUAAAGUUUAUUUGUAUAAGGGGAGGGUUUAGGGUUGUCCAAGGAUUGAACCCAAGAUUGGUAUCAAUUAAAUACUUGAUAUCAAGUCUUUUGCCACUCAACCUAUGGUUCGGUCCAGAUGAAUAUCUCUAAUAUAACUACAUGAAAAAGAGAUGCUUGACUAUACACUUAUGUCUAUGAAUACCAGUAGUUUUGCACAUAUGUAUGCAUCUAUGCACUUAAAUAUGAUUAUCCCUCUUUCCCUAGUUUCUGAAUUUCUUUUUUAAGUUUUCCUAUAUACCCUCUUACACCAUAACUAUACAAUAUGCAUAAGCUCAAUUCUUUUUAUAUGUUUUUCUAUAUAUAUAUAUAUAUCCUAUAUCCUAGCUCGAACUCUAGUACUUAAGGAAAAAUGAACAGUAACAAUGAAGUAAGAAACUAAUAUUAUCAAUCCACCUAGUUAUUAUAAAUUCAUUUGAAAAAUGCAAAAUAACCAUAAUCUCAAACUCCACUUUCCCCUACAAUGUUAAGAACAACCAAAUAAAACAUCAAGUACAUCAAUCAGCCAACAUGAAUAAAAAAACAUUAACAAUUGUCAAACAAUGUCAAAUCCAAAUUAAAAAAGAAAAAAAGGAGAAAACAAAAGUUCUUACUUUGCAAUAUCUUGAUGAUCUUUACCAAAAUUGUAAGCAGCAAACUUGAUAAAAUCCCUGCCAUAACUAUUCUCAAAGUAACCAAAAUCCAACUUGUUGUCUUCCACAAAACUAGCCUCCUUAAAAUACCCUUUUGUAUACAAAUGCCUGAUGAAAAUCUCAGCUAACUGUGAAAGACCCUUCAAAGCUCUUACCUUUUCCCUUUCUCUUCUAGCUUUCAUCUUCUUUUUCAUCUUUUCUUCUUUGUUUUCAUCCCCAAUAAACUCAACCAAACACUUGAAUUUCUUGGGUCUUUUCCCCUCUAAUUUCUCUGUUUCUUUCUUUUUCCCUUUUGGGUUUUCUUUGAAAUUCCUAAAUUCUUUCACCGACUCAUUGAUUUCGCCUUUUCUCCGGGUUUCAGUUCCUGCGGGUUUUACUGUUAAAACAGUGUCUCGAAACAACAGAGAAAGUGGGGUCUUGGUUGGUAGCUGGGAAGAGGAAUUAAGGGUUCUUCUGAUUAUGAAGGAUGGUGAAGGACAAAGGGUUUUGUAAAGAGGAUUGUGGAUUUUGAGGAGAACUUUGGUACGCGUAGACAGAAUGAAAGCUUUGAAGAGAUACAUUUUGCAGCGGAAGGGUUUAAGAUUAAAAGGAGGGUCUUUUCUGCAGAGGAGCUUAGGGAUCUUAAAUACACAUCCAUCUUUUUAUUACUUAAAAAAUUACUUAUUUAUUAAUAUUAAUCUAUUUUUGUAACUAAAUUUAAAUAAAAUUUUAUUAAAUAAAUAGCAAUUUAAGCUAAAAUGUUCAAUAAAGCUAGGCGAUUUCAAGUGUUAUUAUUUGAAGGUUUGAUUCUUCAAUGUGAUAAUUUUCAAAUUAAAAAAAUCUUUGGGGGUUAGGCGAUUUAUGCUUUAAUUCCCAUUAAAUACCAAUAAAUUUUGCUUAAUUGAAAGCUUAUUUCAUUACUAUGAGAAAACCAAAAACAUUGGUAAGAAGUAUUGAAUCAAUAAAUUAAAAAAAAAUUAAUACAAUACUUUUUACUGGAUUUUUUUAAUUAAAAAAAGUCCCUAACUUUUGUAUUUUCUUCAUUGGCAAGGGGCUUAUCCAUUGAGAUGGCAAAGCUAGCAACCUUUUGCCCAACAAAAAAGAGGAAAUGAAGCACUCGGAUUCUGGUGUUUCAGCUUGCAUGUUUGAUUCCGGCGAUCGACAAUGGUGUCAAAAUACAAGUACAGGGAGUCCUUGUUGGAUGGCAACCAAAGUUUUGGAGCCCGGAACUGGAUACAACUUCAAGGCUGAUAUAUGGUUGUUUGGGAUGUUUAGUUGGAGUUGGCUCAUGGUCGUCCGCCCUUGUCGAUAUAUCUGCCAACAAAGGCUCAUGACUGAAUUAUGUUUGACAUAUUUGAAGUUCUCGAAGCCGUUUAAAGACAUGGUUGCAAUGUGGUUGGUGAAAGAUCAAACCAAGGGGCCAACUGUAGAUAAAUUGUUGAAGCACUUGUUUCUCAAGCAUGCAAAGCCUACUCAGCUUGCUUUAAAGAAGCUAUUAGACUUCCAGGUGAGUGUCUACUUUAACAUAAGCUUAUUUUGCCACCAAAAGCAAAAUUAUCACAAAGAAAGUGAAACAAAAAGGGGAAAAAAACUGACUGUAUAUUUCCGUGUAUUAAGAGUUCAAGAUAACAGAAAAUUAAGGUCUAUUUCAAUCAAGAGAAAUAAGGUACGAUAAAUUGAUCAAGAGUAUCAAAAAGAAUUAUCAAGAGUAAAGGUGUAUCAAGUAUACAAAAUACAUGUUGGUAGAAAAAAGAAUUAUCAAGAGUAAAGCUCUACUUACAGUGGGGAAAGCCGUCCGAGAAAAAAGCAGCUCCAUGUUAGUAAGAAGCUUUCAAAACUGGUGAAGAAUGGAGCUUUUUUAUAUUCAAAAAGAAAAAAUAUAUUAUAUGAAUAAAUCUAUCUGUUCAAUGGCUCUAACUGUACUUCAAUUACUCCAGAACUUUGUGAACCUUUUCGAGCAGAAGCGUCGUUCAGGCUUAAAAGGUCAAUGGAAUCCUCUUCUUUGACGUUGCCGAGAACCCAGUUGUUCCUUCCUUGUAAUCUAUCUCUCUGUUGUCUUUCACGAUACUCCAGAUAAAUUACAGUCAAUGCAGCAAUCAAGAACCAUAUUAUUAAUACCCAGCUAAGAUCGUGGACGUUUUCUACUCUAUAUCUUUCUCCUAAAUGCUUCAUUCCAGUGAAAAGUGCUGCAAUUCCUAUGGCAAUGGCACCUCUGCCGAUAAUUAAAUUAAUCUCUUUGUGGAAGCAUCCUCCCCAUUAGCAGGUUUCUCCGGUCUGAGAUAUGCAUUCAUUGGUUGCACAGAGGCAAAAACUAUGGCAGCAAUACCAAGCUUAACAUGUAACGAGCUAACAUAGAAACCCCGAAGUUCGGCAACUGCAAAAAGAACACCAAGUAGGAUAAUUGCUAAUCCUGAAUAUUGUAGGUAAAUAUGAAUUUGGUACCAUCCAUCACCCUUUACAUGUUUUAGGUAUCUAGCAGCCAAUAUUCCACCAGGAAUCAAAAUACCCCAGGAGAGGAACAUCAUAAACCCAUGUACAGCUAAGACAGGUUGUAAACCUUGCUCAGCCUCAGAAGAACCACGGAUAAGCAGCACUUGCACAGGCCUUUGACUCGUGACCGUAUGCAUGUUUUUCUCACUGAGAUGAUCAUCAGUCCACUUUGAACCUAUUGCCCAUAUGACUUUAAGAGGAGUUGUAGGAUCAACAAUGUUCUUGCACUCUGGCUUAUCAUUUUGAUUGCAUGAUGGUUUUAAUGGACGUGUGAAUUCCAAAGUAAUGAUGCCAUCUUCUGACCUGCACCUGACAUGUGUCAGAUUCUCAUUUGUUGGAUGGAUGUUCAAGGGACGCUUUCCAUCAAUCCAAUAUGUAUUUAAAUGCCCUUUUCCAGUAUCGCCAAUCCAGCCCACAUAUGCAUAGCUAUUCACCAUCCCAUUACCGAAACCUAUUGCAAGAUAGCCACUCUUCUUCACGCCACGGGCAGCAAUAGUUAUUGAAUCUUCUGAUAACGUCCAAAAGAAAGUGACUUGUUGAUCAUCUAAAAGCACACUAUUGUUAUACAUAUCGGACAGGGCACCAUCAACAACUUGAACUUUCCAUCCCAUCUUCUCCUGGUACAAGGACUGAUAAUACACUUGAUCGGGGGUAUUCCUAUCGGGAACCCAAAUCAAUUCGUGAGGAUUUGCUACAACUCCUUCCGCUUCUGGCCCUCCAGAAUAAAUAGUCUCAGUUGCAUUCCUUAAUGUAGCAUUCCCACCAAGAGAAUCUGAAGUAAUAUACAAUGCAACAUCAUGCCCUGCCUGCACCAAAAACUUAACUGGCACCCCUCUUUCCACUCUCAACACCGGUGCUUCCUUAUUAUUAAUAUACAAAACCUUAGACGGACUUGGCGGAUUUGGAUAAUGCAACACCUCCCCUGUUGUAACAACAAGGGGGACUUCUGUAUCAGCAAUAAUCAACUCUUGAUCCUCAUUAUCAUCAGCAUCCAAUGGCCCAAAACAAUCAUCUACCUUCUCUGAAACAUUAAGAACCAAGUGUCCAUAUGCAACCUUCUCUGGACCCCCAUGAAAUUGGGGCAAAAAAUGAGACCGAUUUUCAUUUGGUGGUUUCAUCAACCCUAAUGCCCAAAUAACCCUCAUAUCCUCAUUAGGAUACACAGGCAAAUCAUACUUCUUAUCUGUCGAAUUCAAUGGUUUCCUAAACAUAAUUAAAGAAACCCCAUCUCUCCUAUGUCCAUAAACCAACCUAGUAUUAUUCACCAUCAUGCCAUUUUUCGAGUUCUCAUAAACUACAUCAGGGCAAACACCUAUAGCUGUCCGGUCUUUAGAACUCAACUUACAUUCAGUAUAAGCCGUAAUGUAAAAAUCAUCAACAAAAGGCCUACCUUCCUCAGUAAAACUUGCCACCGUAACAUCAGCUUCGGACAUCAGCUCCUUCGUCCUAUUCGGAUUCGCCCACCCAAAUGCCAUGUAAUAGGUCGUCGGCGCCGCCGCUUCUAACCCGAUCUCGAUCCAAUUUUCCUCCACAUUCAAGUUCCACCGGACCCUAUAAUUAUCCGACAAGUUCUUGCAGUUAUCAAACACUGUAUGCACCGAGUCCGAAACCGAAUCCGACCCGUUUCGAGGGAGGGUGACAUGGCCGAAGUCCGAGGUGCUGGCGAUGUCCCAGAUUGAAAGAACGUUGAUCUGGUCCCAGGUUAUGUCGGGGAGCAAUUGGACUGAAAACGAUGCGUUUUUUGUAAGCUGUUUGAUUGAGGCGUUGACCGGAGAUGGGGAACCCGCUGGUGAGGUCAGAGAAGUUGAGGGAGACGGUGCCCCAGAAAACGACGUCGGACGAGCAGGAUAACAUGUCGAAUCCGGUGACCUGGAAAGAGCAACCAUCGAGGAUUUUGAGAUGGCCACGGAGUUGGUGUCGGACCAUUGUGAAGUUCGAUUCGAACCCGACUAGGGAGCUGGUGUUGGAGCAUUUUUGACCCGAAUCCGCUUUGGAAGAGGCGAUGGAAUUGAUUAGGAAGAGCGAGAGUAGAAGGAAAAUUUUGGAAUUGUACAUUCGAAUCCGGUCGCGGGUGAUUCGAGAAUCCGAAUUCGGUGAUGAUGGAAAAUGAACGUUUUAAAGAGAAGGAAGGAGCCAAUGAGCGGCUGGUGGUGGUGAGUGGUGACUCGGUACAGCCGGAGCGAGUCGUCAACUUGUCUCGAUAUUGUUUUAUAAAUUUUUUUCCUGUUUUUCUGAAGAGAGGAAACCAGAAUCCCAACUAUCUUCUUAACUAUCAGUUUUUUAAUUUUAAUUUAGUUUAAAUUUUUUAAUUUAGUAGUCCAACUAAUGGAGAUUUUUUUUUGCCAAUUUCCGUAAUGAGAGGACAUGAUAAUUAAAAAUUAAUAUAAUAAUAAAUUUAAUUCUUAAUUUUUACAUUUUGUAUCAAUUUAAUCAUUAUUUUAAAAAAUUAAUUUUUAAAAUUUAUAAAUAAUCUCAAUUUGAUUAUCAAAAUUUACCUUUUCUUUCCACUUCCUCUGCUACCACUAUAUCAUUGCCUCUAGUUCCGCCUUCUCCUCCAUCUUUCUCCAAAAAAAAGAAUUUUUUUUUAAUCAUGUUCAAAUUUAAGGUAUUAUAAUUUAUUUUGUGUUAAGUUAGAUGAAGCCUAAGCAAUUUAAAUAUAUGUGCUACUAUUUAACAAUAAAUUAGGUUGAAAUAGAAAGAGGAAAGGUAAGUUUUUUUUGGGAGAAAGGUGGAGGUGGAGGUAAUGAUGGUAAUGGCCCGUGGUGAAGUAGAAGAGAAAAGUAAAUUUUGAGGAUCAAAUUGAGACUAUUUAUAAAAUUUAAGAGUUAAUUAUUUUAAAAAUUUGACUAAAUCAAUUUAAGAUAUAAAAUUUAAGAGCUAGAUUUAUAAUUAUACUCAUUUUUUAACUACCACAUUACUCUCCAUAGAGAUUUAAAGAAAUGGACAAAAAAAAAAUCUCAAUUAGUUGAAUGAUCAAAUUAAAAAAAUUCAUAAUUAGGUAACUAAAAAAGAAAAAGGGGAGAUAGUUGGGUGACUUGUGGUGUAGUUUACCCUAAUAAUAAAAUAUAAUAGGGUAAACUAUAGAAUUAGUCAUCCCACUAUUAGUGUGUUUCUGUUUUAGUCACCUAACUAUGAAAAUUUUCAAUUUUAUCACUAUCGUUUUAGAUCAUUUCUAUUUUGGUCACUCAUGUUUUAGAUCGUUUUUAUUUUAUUCACUCUUCAGUAAAUGGUUAACCAAAGUUAUGAUGUGACCUUUUUCAACUAGUAUAAAUAAUACAUUUAGUCUUUAAUACUUACACAUUUUAUCAAUUUGAUCCUCGAACACAUAUAAUUAAAUAUAAAGUAUAUAUUAUAAAAACGUACAAAAUAUAGUUAUUUAUAUAUAUUUAUCUAAAUAAUAUUUUAUGUUCUUAUAUUUAAUUAUAAUUAUAAGGUUCAAAUAUGCAUUUAGCCCCUCAAACUUGACACCUUCUCCCAUGUUGGUACUUAUGAUUUUUUGUCCCAAGUUGGUACCUAAAAAUUUAUUCCGUCAAGGGCUUUGAUACUUUUUUUUGUUACAAUACUAAAUAUAGGAAACAUGACACUCUUAGGAUGCCAUAAUCUAUUUUUUAUAAAAAAAUAAAAAAUUUAAAAGAAACUAUAUGAAAUUUAUAUAUAUUAUUAAAAUAUAAAAGAAAUUAUAAAUUAUAAAAAUAUAUGUAACUAAAAAAAUUAAAAAUAUUACAAAAAAAAUCUAAAAUUCAAGUUGGAAAAAUCGAAAACCUAGAAAAUUUACACAUUUUUCUAAAUAUAUUGCAAACAAAUUAGAUGAAGAUAAAUUAUAUAAUAAAUUUUAUACAUAGAGAUAGGUGUAAAUUAUUACACGAUUUUUCAAGUUAACAAGAAUGCAAAAGAUGAUGAUUUGAAAAUGGCUUACAAGAAGCUUUUUCGUUUUCCUUUUUUUUUUAAUUAUUUGCUAGGUGAUGGGAAAAAUUGAGUUCCUUUGUUGAAAAUGCUAUAAAAACCACAAAUUUACUAAGUUAUGGGGGUUUUGAGUUUUUGGGUUUAUCAAAAUCACACACACAUAUAAAUUUAUCAGCAUUUAGUUAUAUGUGUUUAAAUAUAAUCAUUUUUUAUAUUUAAUUAUAUGUGUUUGAGAAUAAAGUUGAUAGAAUUUGUAAAUAUGGAGGGUGAAAUUUAUUGAAUUAUUUAGAAUAAGAAUCAAAUUGAUAGAAUGUGUAAGUAUUAAGAAAUAAACAUGUUAUUAUUCUAGUUGGAAAAGGCAACAUCAUCACUUCCGUUAACUAUGUAACGGAGAGUGACCAAAAUAGAAACAAUCUAAAGUGUGAGUGACCAAAAUAGAAAUAAUAUAAAAUGUAAGUGACUAAAUAAAAAAAAUUCAUAGUUGGGUGACUAAUUCUAUAGUUUACCCUAGAUGGUAGAAGCAAUUAGGAUUAAUUCCACCAAACAUCUCAAACUAUUACUCAUAUUUUAAAUUGAAUCCUAAACUUGUACACAUUCUAAUAUUAAAUUACUCAAAUAGAAUGUGAUAACGUGUUAUGCUAUUAUUCAUCGAUAGUGCAUAGAAUUUAUGCACUAACAAUGCAUCAAAUAUUCUCAUUAAAAGAAAAUGUAUAAAAUAAGUUUUAUACCAUCUAUAAUUUGUAAAAAAAAAUUAUCCAAUAAAAAAUAUAAAAAUACAUAUCUAUAAUUUCACAAAAAGAGAAUUACAUUAAUCAACCUCACAAAAUAUACAUCUCACAAAUCUGAUUGAGAUUAAAAACAAAGAAUGCAUGUAUUGUGCAAUUAAAACCAUGAUCCAUAUUCAACUCUAAAGUACUGAACAUAUAAUUUUGCAUUAUUUUACCUCCCUUGAUUCUUCACAAACUCUUUGGAAUAAGUUAACCAUCUAUUCCUUAUUUCAAUUUUAUUAAAAAGAUAGGUUCCCAUAAAGACAGUCUUUACAAACCAGUGCACCUAUUAUAAACACAUCAGGGAACAUUGCCAUGAGAGAGGACCUAAGAAAACAUAAUACAAACUACAUAACAUACAAUCAAGCACCCACACAAAAUGUUUAUUAAACACCUACAGAAAAAGGCCUGCAUACCACCAAGCAAUGAAGUUUUCUGUUCCGUUUGCAACUUCUUGAUCUCGUCGAAGUGUUGGAUUCUCUACCUUUUUGCAAAUCUUUGUCGGACUCGCUCCACGAUCCUAAUCAACCACCAUGGUUUUCCAGUCGUGAAUACAAUGUAUGCCAUGCUCAUUCCCAGCACCAACCCACAUCCAUACCCCAUCAAUAUUGAAAAUUUCCAAUUCAAUUCAUCACCAUCAUCAUCUCUAUCAAAUUUGGCUGGAGUUUCCUCAUCAGUACCACAGUUUUUUGAUAAUGGCAAACCACAUAAAUCCAAAUUUCCCAUGUAGGAAUCGUUAGUGAAAGUAUCAAAUUGUUUGCCUUGAGGAAUGGGUCCCUUGAGAUUAUUUUGAGAAAGGUUUAACACCUCUAAGAAUCCAAGACUUUUUAACUCUGUUGGAAUUCUUCCUUCCAGCUUAUUUGAUGAGAGAUCUAAUGAUUCAAGCUCUGGCAAAUUACCUAAAGAUGAUGGGAUAGGACCUACUAAACAGUUAUGGGAGAGGUUUAGGACAAUAAGUAAAUGAAGCUCACCAAGUAUUUUUGGAAUUUCUCCCCUGAAUUGGUUACUAGAAAGGUCAAUAACCGUCCAAAUGGAUAAUAGUAAUUCAAACUUUAUUUCCACUCCUUUUGCUGUAACAGAUAAACCAUAAGCAUAAUUCAACUCAAAUGGGUCACCUAUCAUGUAAUUUGGUUCAACUUUCUUUCCAUACUCAUCUCUAAUGGCAUGCAUAUGCUCAAAAAAAAGAGUAGGUAAGUAGCCACUGAAAUUAUUGUGAGAAAGAUCAAUGAUUUGCAAUUUAGUUAAAGAAACUGUAAUAUCAAAGCUCUCUAUUUGGCCGUAAAAUCUAUUCGACCUCAAGAUAAGAACUUGCAGCUGAUCCAAAUUUCCUAACCAACUUGGGAAAGUGUCAUUCAAAUUGUUGUUUCCAACAUCGAGAAGAUUUAAAGCUUUGCAAUUACCCAACGAUCGUGGUAGUGACCCUUCUAAUUCAUUGUUGUUGAUGUUUAAACUUCUCAACAUGCAACCUUUAGCAAAAUUUUCUGGUAUUUGACCAUGAAAAUUAUUAUUCCCUAGAAAAACUGCUGUGAGAGAAGAACUCAAGUUUCCGAUGCACUUUGGAAUUGUUCCCUCCAAAUUAUUCUCAUCUAAAGCCAUAGCCACAAGGGAAGUCAAAUUGCAUAUUGAAGAAGGGAUUUCUCCAAUUAAGUUAUUAGUUGAAACUCCAUACAAUUGCAAUAAAGGUGGUGGUGUUGGAAUUCGACCUUAGAGAUAAAAUUAAAAAUGAGAUAGAAUUAGGAGUUUGAAGAUUCUUUGGAAUAAAAAUUAUAAAAUAGCUAUAUUUAUGAUGUAUUACAUGCAUGAUUAAUUUACUACACUAUCACAACAACUUUUAAGUUGUAAUCUAUUGAAGGAAACUACUACCAUCUUCUAGAGAAAUUUUUAUUUCUCUUACUUAAAAGUAAAAUGGGAUUGCGUAAAUGUAUAAAAAAUAGAAGGAAAAAAAAUAUCAAACUAUACCUAAUAGUUUAUUAUAAAAGAGAUAACCAUUUAAUAUCUUACUUAUAUUUCAUUUUUUAGUGUUUAUUAUUAUUUUUUGUACUUUUAUGUAUAUUUUAUAAUUUAUUAUCGGGGUUCACGGUUGUUACUGUCAAGAAUAUCAUCUCUAAGACUUGAAUCUUGUUUUCCCCUUAAGAGAGUAAUAUAUUUUACCACUGCACUGAAUAUUUAUUGGUGUAGUAUUUAUUAUAACUACAAAUAAUUUUAAUUAUCUUUUUAUGAACCUCUAAGUUAGAGGUCAAAUAAAAAAGUAAAUUAAUUGAUGUAGUGUUUAAAUUUUUAUCAUUAUUUUCUAUAUUUGUUUAUUUUUUAUUUUUUUAAAUAUAUAUUUAAACUUUGCAAAAUGAAUGGAUAUAUUUGAACAUGAAACAUGAUACAAUAAUUUAGUGAGAAUGAAAUAAAAUAAUGGUGGAAAAAUGAUAUGAUGACAUUAAACGGAAAAUAAGCGAAUGAAUAAAUAAGUAAAUAAAGGAGAAUAAGAAGAUAAAGACCAAAAACAAUUGCUAUGCCAAUUGUUGAAACUAAUUUUUUUGAAAAAAAGUGGAUCUGACUUAUAUUUUGAAAAAAGAAAAGAAAAUGGAGUCGCCACCAAUCUUUUUAUUUGGGUGUGAUUGGAUCACCUCAUAAUUAAAUCAUUUUAAUAAAAAUUUAAAUUUACUAAAACGAUAAUUUUUGGUCUUAUAAAAUCCAAAAAAGGGUUCGGGAGUCGGUUACGCAUGAGGAAGGGUUAGCACCCUCAACACGCCCAAAAUUGAUACCUUAUUUUAAAAUAAGAUCAUUGUAUUAAAAAAACUUAUAUAAAUCAAAUUACACGUUAAGACCCUUCCAUUUCGGAGAGAGAAAAUGUCACACCCAAUGGGUUAGGGCAUGAUAUUUCACAUCCUCAAAAAUGAGCUUGUCAUUUAAAAAACUCAUGCAAUGAAAUUUAAAAUGAUAUUCAAUUGUUUAAGUCAGAUGAAGAAAUCGAAGCCCAAUACGUUAGGGCCCAAUUUCUCAAAAUUCCAAACAUUGAAUACUGCCUUUAUUAUUUUUUAGAAAAACCCUCAUCUCAAGAAAACAACAUGUCAUAUCCAAUGCGUUAGGACACAACGUAUCGAAUUCCCGAUAAUGAGCUUUUUAUUUAUGUGUUUUGAUGAAUGAAUAUUCUUGAUUAUUUGAAUUCAACGAGGAAAAUUGGAACCCAAUACAUUAGGGAUCAAUCCUCUCGAAGAUCCAAAUACCGAAUAUUGUGUUAUCUUGAAAGCUUUUGAAUAAAAUGAUUCCCAAAACUUAAACCAUAUUAAAAAUAAUUUUUGAGCAAAUAAAGAAUGAUGGAAAUGAUAAUAUGCAAUACGAAGUAAUAAUUCGUAAACCAAAAAAAGUACUCUAAUGGAUGACAAAUAAUCGAUAAGUACAAAUAAGUAAUACAAUACACAUAAGGGCAAUAAUCUCACAAUGCAUGUUGUUUUAAUGUCGAUAUUUAACAAUCAAGAAAAAUGAAACAAAAUAAUAUAUAUAGAACAAUUUGAAGUAACUAGUAUAAAACAAUUUAAAGUAAAUAAUAUGCAACAUAAAUAAAGACAUGCAAAGCAAAAAUAAAUAACAUAGAAGACGAUUUUAAAAUAAUAUAUAAAAAGUUGAAAACAAAUAAUACGUAAAAAGAAAAUUUCAAACAAAGGAUAUACAAAACAAUUUCUUUUAAAAAAAUGAUAUAUGAAAACAAUUCCAAAUAAAUAAUAUAAAAAAAUAAAAUGGAUAAUAGUUUAUAUGGUUUGAAAUGUUUAACAUGUGAAAAACUUAAAAUAAAUAAUAAAAUAAAUAAAUAAUACAUGAGGAAAAGUAUUGAAUAAAAAAAUUGCAAAAUAAAUCGAAAUCAACAGAUUUGGGACUAAUUUGGGAUGAAAAUGAAAUUUAAAGGCAUAAAUUACAAAUGAAAGGAAACGGGGGCCAACUAAAGUGCGCCGAAAAAGGGCGAGGACCAGAUGGGGAAUUAUUCCCUAUCUCAAAACGACACUGUUUAAGGUGUUUUUCCUUUUAAAAUGGUCUAAGGACCAAAUUGGGAGAAAAAUGAAAAUUUGUGGCUAAAUCAAAAAAUAAAAAAGAGAUAGGACCCAAUUGUAAUCAACCUUAAAAGCUGAAGGACUAGGGGCGCGAAUAGCCCCUUUGUCCAAAAACACUUGGAUCCUAAGCGGUUCGGGUCGGGUCAGUCCGAUCCAUGUCUAAACGACGUCGUUUUGGGGCUUUCUGAACCCCUCAUUUACAAACAAUUUAUCAUGGCUUUUAUAGCCAUUUUACAAGAUUUUUUUAAUUCAUUUAUUGUCACUUCUUGCAGGCAAAUGAUUGCUUAAUUUACUUCGUAACUUCUUACAUUUAGACAUAAUAAUGAGGUUUUAAUCUUUUAAGAACUUUUAUUUUAUUUACUUAAAAAUUGCAUAAAUUUAAUAAAAAAAAAGGAGAAUAAAAGAAAAAUGAAAUUAUACCUGUCAAUUUGUUAUAGCUAAGAUAAAGUGAUUGGAGAGAUGUCAAGUUUCCAAUAACAAGAGGAAUUUCACCUGAAAUGUAUAAUUAAAUCGGUCAAAAUUUGUAAAUAUUUUCCUACCAAGCCCUUAAUUUAUUUGUUGAGCAUAUUAGUGUCUGUUUGAUUUACCUAUUUUUAAAUAUGCAAGUUUUGUUUAGUUUUAUAGUACUUGUGACAACCCAAAAAUAUUUUAAUUAUAAUACUCGAAUUUAUAGUUGAAAUGAUGAUGACAAUUAGAAGGAAUAAAAUAGUUCACGCUUAAUAGUUUUGCUCAAAUAUAGGAUACAUCAUCGAAGCUGAACAAAUAUAUAUAUUUUUAGAAACUUUUAUUAGUUAGCAGUGAUUAGCUAAUGUCAAACAACUGAUACUAUUGCAUAUAAUAUGUUUCCCUAAACUGUAUACUAUUUAUCUCUCGCCACAAAUUAUCAAAAACACAUGUGCAUUUUAAGCCAAACAUUUAUAAUAAAGAUAAGAGCCGUAUUGACACAAUUUUUUGCUAAGGAAUCAGCAAACACACACCCAUAACUGCACAUAUAGACACACAUAUAUCUGCACAUACAGAAUACUAGAACCCAAAAAUGUCGCUAGAACCCAGAUAUAGUCUAGGUGAGAAGGGACUAAGGAGUUGAACAGUAAAGAAACUAGUAAGAACUCACAUGAUAAUGAGCUUGUUGUAACCAGAAUACAAAGAUUGGGGCAGAGUCAAGUUUCCAAUUUCUAUAGGCAUAAUUCCCUCCAAAGAGUUGUUAUGCAACGAUAAAUACUUCAACUCUUUACACUUGAAUAAGCUAUUUGAAAUUCUACUAAAAUUUGAUUAUGUGUGAAGCUUAAUUAUUGCAAUUUAGAAAUGUUAUCAAACAUCUAGAUAGUAGAUGACCUAUAAUGAGAUGAUUAGUUUUGAAACUAUUUUUUUAUUGGUGAAAAGAUAUAUAAGAUUUACACAUGUAAGGAGCCUGAAUAAGAAUUAUUAUGAAAAUAUAACUAAAUGAAGCUUGAAAAGAUAUAUAAGAUUUACAGUAUAGUGCCGCAUUCGGUACUUUUUGGAGUGUAGGGAUGGGUGGGUUGAUUAUAUCCCCACAUGAAGUAUAGGGUUGGACGAAGAUGGUGUGUAGAGGCUAGCUGGGUAGGAUUUGUAUACUGCAUAAUCCGUUACUGCACUGAUUGCUGAUAUUGUAAUAAGCCAAGGCCCAAAUGAAUGAUUACUUCUGUACUGAAAUAGGCUAAAGCCCAAACUGAUAUUGUCACUGAUACUGAAAAGGGCGUAGGCCCAAACUGAGUUUAUUAUGCUUACUGUCUGGUUAUUUUUGUAUAUUGUAUGCUUGUUUGCAUGGGGAAUUACGAGUUUUGAAAACUCACCCCUUUUGUUAAUUUGUACAGGUAAUCCCUACUCAUAGGCGGAUUGACGCGGCAGAGGACUCAGCGGUGGCCACACGACUCUUUUUUUUACUGUUUCGUAUUUAAUUACAUUCAUUUUUAAAGCUUUAUUGGGGUUUUUAUCUGUAAUAACGGCCGCUAUGAAUUUUUGCUUUAUGUUUGGAUUUAACACUACUUUAUGUUUUAUAUCUUCUAGAGGUAGAUAAAACACGAUUUUUAAAAGAAAUGCAUGUGUUUUAGCAAAAUACCCACAAUGACACAAGCUGUUUUAAAAAGCUUCCACAACGUAUAAUGUUUUGCAAACUAACGAUUGAUUAAAAAUCACUAUUUUAGGAUUAAUAAAGUUAACGAAGAGAUCUAAACAGAAAAUGUUUUAAGCAAAGUUACGGUGUUUUUCAACAUGAGCUUCGGUUUUCAAACACACUACCAUGUGACACCGCCAGAUUCAACCAUAAUGUCUAGGCCGAUUUGGGGUUUUACAUCUAUUAUGGUGUGUAGUAGAGUUGGGUAGGAUGUUUUCUAAUAAAUCUGCAUUCUAAUCGAUGGUAAUUCAAGAAAUACUACACUGGAUAUUAAAUCCAAUAGUAUCAAGAAUCCACAUUUCACUAGUUUAAUAUUCAAACCAUCAUAUUUGUUAUAUUGAAUUUAAGUAAUUAGUAAUUCAAGUUAUUGAUAUUUUUCUUAUACCAAUAUUCUUAUAUUUUUCUAAUUUCAAAGUAGUUAAAGGAUUAAAUGUGUAAUUAAUUGUUUUUAAGCCAAAAGUGUUAUAAUAAGAAGUUAAAAGAUUGUAAUUAAUUAGUAUUAUAUAGCGCGAUUGUAUUAUAAAUAGAAGAGACUGCAUAACAGUAACAACAAAAAAGAGAAUAAAGAUGAUAUUAUACCUGUUAAGUAAUUAGUAGAAAGAUCGAUGUCCGUGAGGGAAAUAAGGAAUUAGAUACAUUGGUCCCAUAAUAUGUCACUCAAAAUCUCAAAUUCAUCCAACAAAAAGAAAUCAUCACUUUAGUUAAUUAAAUCAAGAACAAAUAAAGUUAUGGAUGAACAAAUAUGGGAAGCAAAGAAAUGUGAUGGAUCAAAAGGGACGGAUAAGCUAAUUUCUGCCAUAAGGUAGAUGGUGAACUUAGGAUGUGGAGUUUCAAUAAAUACCUAAAAAUACCUAAACUUUUGGCAAUUCAAAUAGAUUAUACUAAUUUUUAAUUACUUAAAAAUAUUGCAUAAAUUUAAUAACAAAAAGGAGAAUAAAAGAAACAUGAAAUUAUACCUGUCAAUUUGUUAUUGCUAAGAGAAAGGUAUUGGAGAGAAGUCAAGUUUCCAAUAACAAGAGGAAUUUUACCUGAAACAUAUAAUUAAAUCAAUAAAUAUAUAAUUAUUUUUAUUAAUUAUUUUAAGAGUUUAAUAAGGCAAAUCUAAAAGGUAGAAGAAAUAGCUAAUUAGAAGUAGUGUGUGAUUCAAAAGGGUAUAAAGUAGGUCCAAAUUAAAAAUCAAAUUUUAAAAUAAUUUAAUGUAAAAUUUAACUCUUUUCUUAUCACCAAAUAAAUUUACUUUCAGAGAAAUUACAAGUUUUAAUAAAAUAGUUGAAAUAAGUGAUUGUUUAUGACUAGGUGAAAAUUAGAUGAAAAAAACAUAUAAUUAAUAAUUUAUAUAUCUAUUUCUCUCAUACUAUGGACUAUGGUCGAGCAAAAAUUAAUAAAAAAAUCAAACGGAUAGAAAUAGCUUAGUUACAAGAUUGAUGUUAAUCCAAUAAAUUUUUAAAAAAAAACACAUUGUUUCCAAAAGGGUAAGAAAUAGGUCCAAAUUAUAAUUCAGAACAUAAAUUAAUUUAAUGUAAAAUUUAAAUAAAAUUUAAAAUUCUUUCAUUAUCAAAUAAAUUUUCUUAAUAAAAUACUUUUAGUGAAUUAAUUAGAAGUCUUACUUAUUAACAAUAAAAAAAAUAUUUAUCCUUGUGCCAGAAAAAAACACCGCAUAGAUCAUAAAAAGGAAAAACUAAAACAUCCAUAAAACCACUAAACACAAAAUUCAUAGUUGUAGAGGAGGAUUAGAUACAUUGGUCCCAUAAUAUGUCACUCAAAAUCUCAAAUUCAUCCAACAAAAAGAAAUCAUCACUUUAGUUAAUUAAAUCAAGAACAAAUAAAGUCAAAAUCUCAAAUUCAUCCAACAAAAAGAAAUCAUCACUUUAGUUAAUUAAAUCAAGAACAAAUAAAGUUAUGGAUGAACAAAUAUGGGAAGCAAAGAAAUGUGAUGGAUCAAAAGGGACGGAUAAGCUAAUUUCUGCCAUAAGGUAGAUGGUGAACUUAGGAUGUGGAGUUUCAAUAAAUACCUAAAAAUACCUAAACUUUUGGCAAUUCAAAUAGAUUAUACUAAUUUUUAAUUACUUAAAAAUAUUGCAUAAAUUUAAUAACAAAAAGGAGAAUAAAAGAAACAUGAAAUUAUACCUGUCAAUUUGUUAUUGCUAAGAGAAAGGUAUUGGAGAGAAGUCAAGUUUCCAAUAACAAGAGGAAUUUUACCUGAAACAUAUAAUUAAAUCAAUAAAUAUAUAAUUAUUUUUAUUAAUUAUUUUAAGAGUUUAAUAAGGCAAAUCUAAAAGGUAGAAGAAAUAGCUAAUUAGAAGUAGUGUGUGAUUCAAAAGGGUAUAAAGUAGGUCCAAAUUAAAAAUCAAAUUUUAAAAUAAUUUAAUGUAAAAUUUAACUCUUUUCUUAUCACCAAAUAAAUUUACUUUCAGAGAAAUUACAAGUUUUAAUAAAAUAGUUGAAAUAAGUGAUUGUUUAUGACUAGGUGAAAAUUAGAUGAAAAAAAACAUAUAAUUAAUAAUUUAUAUAUCUAUUUCUCUCAUACUAUGGACUAUGGUCGAGCAAAAAUUAAUAAAAAAAUCAAACGGAUAGAAAUAGCUUAGUUACAAGAUUGAUGUUAAUCCAAUAAAUUUUUAAAAAAAAACACAUUGUUUCCAAAAGGGUAAGAAAUAGGUCCAAAUUAUAAUUCAGAACAUAAAUUAAUUUAAUGUAAAAUUUAAAUAAAAUUUAAAAUUCUUUCAUUAUCAAAUAAAUUUUCUUAAUAAAAUACUUUUAGUGAAUUAAUUAGAAGUCUUACUUAUUAACAAUAAAAAAAAUAUUUAUCCUUGUGCCAGAAAAAAACACCGCAUAGAUCAUAAAAAGGAAAAACUAAAACAUCCAUAAAACCACUAAACACAAAAUUCAUAGUUGUAGAGGAGGAUUAGAUACAUUGGUCCCAUAAUAUGUCACUCAAAAUCUCAAAUUCAUCCAACAAAAAGAAAUCAUCACUUUAGUUAAUUAAAUCAAGAACAAAUAAAGUCAAAAUCUCAAAUUCAUCCAACAAAAAGAAAUCAUCACUUUAGUUAAUUAAAUCAAGAACAAAUAAAGUUAUGGAUGAACAAAUAUGGGAAGCAAAGAAAUGUGAUGGAUCAAAAGGGACGGAUAAGCUAAUUUCUGCCAUAAGGUAGAUGGUGAACUUAGGAUGUGGAGUUUCAAUAAAUACCUAAAAAUACCUAAACUUUUGGCAAUUCAAAUAGAUUAUACUAAUUUUUAAUUACUUAAAAAUAUUGCAUAAAUUUAAUAACAAAAAGGAGAAUAAAAGAAACAUGAAAUUAUACCUGUCAAUUUGUUAUUGCUAAGAGAAAGGUAUUGGAGAGAAGUCAAGUUUCCAAUAACAAGAGGAAUUUUACCUGAAACAUAUAAUUAAAUCAAUAAAUAUAUAAUUAUUUUUAUUAAUUAUUUUAAGAGUUUAAUAAGGCAAAUCUAAAAGGUAGAAGAAAUAGCUAAUUAGAAGUAGUGUGUGAUUCAAAAGGGUAUAAAGUAGGUCCAAAUUAAAAAUCAAAUUUUAAAAUAAUUUAAUGUAAAAUUUAACUCUUUUCUUAUCACCAAAUAAAUUUACUUUCAGAGAAAUUACAAGUUUUAAUAAAAUAGUUGAAAUAAGUGAUUGUUUAUGACUAGGUGAAAAUUAGAUGAAAAAAAACAUAUAAUUAAUAAUUUAUAUAUCUAUUUCUCUCAUACUAUGGACUAUGGUCGAGAAAAAAUUAAUAAAAAAAUCAAACGGAUAGAAAUAGCUUAGUUACAAGAUUGAUGUUAAUCCAAUAAAUUUUUAAAAAAAAACACAUUGUUUCCAAAAGGGUAAGAAAUAGGUCCAAAUUAUAAUUCAGAACAUAAAUUAAUUUAAUGUAAAAUUUAAAUAAAAUUUAAAAUUCUUUCAUUAUCAAAUAAAUUUUCUUAAUAAAAUACUUUUAGUGAAUUAAUUAGAAGUCUUACUUAUUAACAAUAAAAAAAAUAUUUAUCCUUGUGCCAGAAAAAAACACCGCAUAGAUCAUAAAAAGGAAAAACUAAAACAUCCAUAAAACCACUAAACACAAAAUUCAUAGUUGUAGAGGAGGAUUAGAUACAUUGGUCCCAUAAUAUGUCACUCAAAUUCAUCCAACAAAAAGAAAUCAUCACUUUAGUUAAUUAAAUCAAGAACAAAUAAAGUUAUGGAUGAACAAAUAUGGGAAGCAAAGAAAUGUGAUGGAUCAAAAGGGACGGAUAAGCUAAUUUCUGCCAUAAGGUAGAUGGUGAACUUAGGAUGUGGAGUUUCAAUAAAUACCUAAAAAUACCUAAACUUUUGGCAAUUCAAAUAGAUUAUACUAAUUUUUAAUUACUUAAAAAUAUUGCAUAAAUUUAAUAACAAAAAGGAGAAUAAAAGAAACAUGAAAUUAUACCUGUCAAUUUGUUAUUGCUAAGAGAAAGGUAUUGGAGAGAAGUCAAGUUUCCAAUAACAAGAGGAAUUUUACCUGAAACAUAUAAUUAAAUCAAUAAAUAUAUAAUUAUUUUUAUUAAUUAUUUUAAGAGUUUAAUAAGGCAAAUCUAAAAGGUAGAAGAAAUAGCUAAUUAGAAGUAGUGUGUGAUUCAAAAGGGUAUAAAGUAGGUCCAAAUUAAAAAUCAAAUUUUAAAAUAAUUUAAUGUAAAAUUUAACUCUUUUCUUAUCACCAAAUAAAUUUACUUUCAGAGAAAUUACAAGUUUUAAUAAAAUAGUUGAAAUAAGUGAUUGUUUAUGACUAGGUGAAAAUUAGAUGAAAAAAACAUAUAAUUAAUAAUUUAUAUAUCUAUUUCUCUCAUACUAUGGACUAUGGUCGAGCAAAAAUUAAUAAAAAAAUCAAACGGAUAGAAAUAGCUUAGUUACAAGAUUGAUGUUAAUCCAAUAAAUUUUUUAAAAAAAACACAUUGUUUCCAAAAGGGUAAGAAAUAGGUCCAAAUUAUAAUUCAGAACAUAAAUUAAUUUAAUGUAAAAUUUAAAUAAAAUUUAAAAUUCUUUCAUUAUCAAAUAAAUUUUCUUAAUAAAAUACUUUUAGUGAAUUAAUUAGAAGUCUUACUUAUUAACAAUAAAAAAAAUAUUUAUCCUUGUGCCAGAAAAAAACACCGCAUAGAUCAUAAAAAGGAAAAACUAAAACAUCCAUAAAACCACUAAACACAAAAUUCAUAGUUGUAGAGGAGGAUUAGAUACAUUGGUCCCAUAAUAUGUCACUCAAAAUCUCAAAUUCAUCCAACAAAAAGAAAUCAUCACUUUAGUUAAUUAAAUCAAGAACAAAUAAAGUUAUGGAUGAACAAAUAUGGGAAGCAAAGAAAUGUGACGGAUCAAAAGGGACGAAUAAGCUAAUUUCUGCCAUAAGGUAGAUGGUGAACUUAGGAUGUGGAGUUCCAAUAAAUACCUAAACAUACCUAAACUUUUGGCCAUUCAAAUAGAUUAGAUUAAUUUUUAAUUACUUAAAAAUAUUGCAUAAAUUUAAUAACAAAAUGGAGAAUAAAAGAAACAUGAAAUUAUACCUGUCAAAUUGUUAUUUCUAAGAUAAAGAAAUUGGAGAGAAGUCAAGUUUCCAAUAACAAGAGGAAUUUCACCUGAAACGUAUAAUUAAAUCAUCACUUUAGUUAAUUAAAGCAAGAACAAAUAAAGUUUUGGAUGAACAAAUAUGAGAAGCAAAGAAAAAUGAUGGAUCAAAAGUGACGAAUAAGCUAAUUUCUGCCAUAAGGUAGAUGAUGAACUUAGGAUGUGGAAUUCCAAUAAAUUCCUAAACAUACCUAAACUUUUGGCCAUUCAAAAUCAAAUUCUAGUGGUUAAAAUUAUGAAAUGAGUAAUUAUUAUUUUUACAGCAAAAAAUGUGAGUAUAUAAAGAAAAAUAAAAAUAAAAAUGUAGAGCAAUAUAAAAAGAAGUUUUAAGGUAAGUAGGUUUGUUAUUUUUAAGAAUAAUAGUAAAGCAGGACAUUUGGUUUUGCUUAUAUAAGAAGUUGGUUCAUGCAUAGGGAUGUCAUAUUACCCAUGUUUGCAUUUAAAUAUUUGUAUUAAGAAAUAUUUUAUUUGAAAGAGUUUAAUAAUUUUAAGCUGUCUAAUAAUAAAUAAAUUAGUCUAAGAAAAAAUAAAGCAUCUCAAAAUAUAUGUCUUAUACCAAUAUUCUUAUAGUUGUCUAAUUUCAAAGUAGUUAAAGGAUUAAACGUGUAAUUAAUUGUAUUUUUAAAACGACAGUUAUUUUAUUUUCUAUAUUUGUUUAUUUUUUAUUUUUUUAAAUAUAUAUUUAAACUUUGCAAAAUGAAUGGAUAUAUUUGAACAUGAAACAUGAUACAAUAAUUUAGUGAGAAUGAAAUAAAAUAAUGGUGGAAAAAUGAUAUGAUGACAUUAAACGGAAAAUAAGCGAAUGAAUAAAUAAGUAAAUAAAGGAGAAUAAGAAGAUAAAGACCAAAAACAAUUGCUAUGCUAAUGAAUAAUAUCAAUAUUUCUAUGAUGAUAACAAAACAACGAUUAAACGAUAAUCAUGUUGUGGUUAUUAUCUUAGUAUUACAUUGAAUAAAUAAUAAUGACAAGAACAAAGAAUAAAAUAGAAUAAUAUGUGCAAAUGAAUAAUAUAGACAAAGAUAAAAUAUAUAAAUUUUAAAUACUAAAUAAAUGAUAUAGUAAAUAAAUAAGCAAAAUUAAUCGAAAUACAAAGUAAAUUGGAACUCAAGCAAAGUUUAAAACUCAUAUCGCAAAAUAAAUGAGGGAAAGGGACCACAAAUAUACAAAUAAAAUGAAAAUAAAUAUAAAUUUUAAAUAUAUAAAAAAUAAAUAAAAAAAAGAAAUAACGAAUAAAUGACUAAAUAAAUAGAUAAGACAAAUAUAAAAAAAUAUUAAAUUUAAGUGUUUAAAAAUUAAAAGAAUGAUAAACAAAUAAAUAAAUAAAUUUAAGUAUUUGCAAUUCAAAUUGAUGAUAUUUUUCUUAUUCUUAUGCUUUUCUAAUUUCAAAGUACUUAAAGGAUUAAAUGUGUAAUUAAUAGUUUUUAAGCCAAAAGUAUUAUAGUAAAAAGUUAAAAGAUUGUAAAGUUAUUUAGUAAUAUAUAGCACGAUUCUGUUAUAAGUAUUAUAACAGUACCAACAAAAAGGAAAAUAAAGAUGAUAUUAUAUCUGUUAAGUUGUUAUAAAAAAGAAUGAUGAUCACGAGAGAAAUAAGGUUUCCAAUAACAGAUGAAAUUUCACUUAAAAUCAUUAAAAUUUACUAACAGAUCUUAAAAUCGUUAAAACUCAAUGCGGGUAGGUAUAAGUCUGAAACAUAUAAUAUCAACUAUGUACUCUGUAAUCAAAGUUAAUUAAGAGAAAUCAUAUACUCUAUUUCUUUCCUAUUCAAGAAUAUCAACACAUAAAUAAUAAGGAUAGAAAAAAAUAGGUAAUUACAAGUCUUGUGUGAUUCAAAAGGGUAUAAAGUAGGUCCUAAUUACAAAUCAAACCUUAAAUUAAUUUAAUGUAAAAUUUAACUCUUUUCUUAUCACCAAAUAAAUCUACUUUUAGUAAAUUAGGAGUUUUAAUAAAAUACUUGUAAUAAAAGAUUGUUUAUGACUAAGUGUUUUGUUUUCAACAUAUUUGGAAUUAACUUGCCUUAGAAAAACAGUCUCUAUUAUUUUUAAGAAUAUAUUAUAAAAGCAAGAUAUGCCACUUAGAGAAGUUUCUUUAAGUAUUUUUUCUCGGCCAAAAUAAAAGGGUUAUUGUUUAAAGUCCCGUUUCAUUACUUAAAACAAUUGUUGAUGGAAAUUGGAUAAAAAUGAAUGAAACAAUAACCAAGAAUUGUUUACCUUUGAAAUGGUUGUUACUAAGAGCCAAAGUCUCGAGCAAAGUCAAAUUUCCAAUUUCUGUAGGUAUACUUCCAUCCAAGGAGUUGUAACCCAAUGAUAAAAACUUCAGCUCUUUGCACUUGAAUAAACUAUUUGGAAUUCUACCGGAAAUUUGAUUCCCACCCAAGCCCAACCUUUCUAGUUUUGACAAAUUGCCUAGAGUAGAUGGGAUAACACCAACGAAGUUGUUAAGGUACAAAGACAAUCUUUGAAGUUU